GGAUCCUCCCUCUUUAAUUGCUAUGUAUGACUGCCCAUCGCCCAAAAAGGGCACAAAAAGUUGGGGGAAAAUUUCUAUGAUGUAUUAUUGGUCAUGUUUGAUAAUGAAAAUGACCUAAGAAUCUACUAUAUACCAUUUAAAUUCUAAUUUGACCUUGUUCCAUACAAGAAGUAUUUUUAUGCUAAUAUCUUGUUUGGAUUGAUGUUUGAGAAGUAAAAAAGUUGCCUUUUAAGCAAAAUUUGUCGUCCCAUGGAAUAAUUACUCAUGACUAACUAAGAAUUUUAUUGUCCCGCAGAAUUAGUAAUUAUUUUUUAUGGACAUCCAACAAUUAGACCCCAAAUAUUCGUUUGUGAGUAUAUAACGUAAAGAUACUCAAAAUUUUUUAAAUUAGGUUAUAUUAUAAUAUCUUGUCAUGUCGAUAUCAUGUAUUUAUGUUAUACCUAUAUUUCAUGACAAAAAUAAUAAUUUUGGAAAUGUCUAUGUAUACUUUACUAGUGACAUUAAUUUUGACACAUCAUAUUAGCAUAAUCAAUCAAUGAAAUUGCUUAAUAAUUUUUUAUUAAAAAAUUACGAGUCUUCUAAAUUUAAAUUAGUAUUUUUUUUAAAAAAAAUUGAUUCAUAGUAUAAGUAUAUUAGUGAGUAUAAUAUAACAAACAAAAUUGUCAGUUGCAUAAAAAAGUUCAAAAUCUUUUAAAUUAGGUCUUGUUAUGAUGUAUUAUGAUAUAGUGCAUUUUUGUCAUCUUAAUAAAUGUUAUAAACAAAAAUAACUUUGAUUUAUAACGUUUUCUUUUCAAUUAUGCUCCCCAUUUAUAUAAUUAUUUUUUAAAAAUAACCAUAAAAUAAAAUUAACUAAAAUAUGUUAUUGUAAAUACUCUAUUUUAUAUUAUUUUAUAAAAAUUAUUUUCUACUUUCUAAUUAUCAAACAUUUUUUUUACGAGUUUUCUUCUUAACAUACCAUUAGUUCUAAGAUGUGAUUGAAUUAAAUGAUGAAGCUAAAUAUCGGAAAUGUUCAUAUGGAAUUGAUUGACAUUACAUUUUGAUCGAUACUUUUCAUUACCUACUUGCUUAUGUCUAUGUCCCCAUGACCAGGUAAAGGAAUUCAAAUUCUUCUUUCAAAAUUUUAAAUGGUUUCAUGUUUUCGGAUUUUUUUUUUUCCCUUUUUAUAUAUGAUUGUAAUAUAAAAAUACUAAAGAAAAUAAAAUAUAAUUAAAAUAAAAUUAAAAAACAUUAUAUAUUUUUAAAUUAAAAUAAAUAAAAUGAGUUUUAAAUAACAUAUAAAAAUUAUUUUAUUAAUUUUAAAUUUAUUUUACAUUUUUCUAUGUUUUUUUUUCUAUUUUUUUGCCUAUUUUCUUUAAUAUAAUGUUGACUGAAAAUAAAUAAAUCGAUUGACCUCAAUCUUCAACGUCAUCUCCUCAACUUUAUGCAAAUCUGCAACUCUUUUUCUACCAAACACCCCCACAGGGAAAUGCGAGAAAGUUGGUACCACCAAAGGAAACCCAAGUGGAUAUCAUUUUCUGGCGUGCCAAACACCCCCAUUAGGACAGUGGUACUUUGUCCACAUCAGAUCCUUAUCUGGAGACAAGCGCAUUUAAAGCCAACCCACGUGGCAGUCUCACCACCCUCCGAUUCUUAAAAGAGCGUCGGUUGCUUUGUCCCUUUCCACCCCUUCCAGCUCAGUUAUCCUCAAAAAUAUAUGUAAUAAAUAAAUAAAUAAAGGACAAAAAUGAUGUCACGUAAUCAGCAACAAAGGCUUGGACCGUUUUUUGACUUUCAACAUCGCACGUGACCGCCGCCUUUUAUUCGAGGUUCGGCGAACGUCGUCGCUUUGUUACGUGUCUAAAGCAAAGUACACGUGGCACUCUCUUUUGAUCUGCAUUGCCAAUAAUAGUUUAAAAUGCAAUCAAGUGCCAGCUGGGCUGACACUGGACAACUGUUGCGUCACCACUUCACAUUAUUUAACUAAUUGACGUAUAUACCCUCAAUCCAGAAUCCAAUCCUUUUUUAGGUCCAUCUUCUAACCUAUAUAACAUUUAAAAUGGGUUAAUUUCACUUACUCCGUCAGGUUUACCAUUCAUUUCAAAUUAAGAGUGUGUUUUAUAUGUUUUUAAAAAUAUUUUUCACCCAAAAAGUGUUUUUAAAAAAUAUUUUUCACCUAAAAAGUGUUUUUAAAUAAAAAAAUUAGAUCUUUAAUAAAAUUUAAAAAAUAUUUUUAAAAUUUAGAAAAUUACUUCUAGCAUUAAAAAAAUUACUUAUAAUAUUGACUUAUCGAUUAAUUCUUAUUUUUAAAUAUUAUAAUUGAUUUAUAAAAUUAAAUUAAAAUUUAUUUUAAAUUAUCAAUUUAAUAUAUUUAUUCUUAUAAAUUAUAAUUAUAGUAAAAGAGAUUUCAUAACACUAAAGGAUCGUGAAGUAGCAAAAGAUAUUUGAAAAUAAUUAUGAAAAAUAGGGAUAAAAAGGUAAAAUAAAAAUAUGAAUUUAAGAAUAAGUUAAUUGUUUUUACUUACUACUUAAAGUUGUUUUUAUUUUACCAAAUAUACUUAAUUUACUUAAUGACUUGAAUUAAAUUAUUAAGUUACUUUAAGUUAUUAAAUUAAUUUACCAAAUACACACUAAUUAAAUUAACCUUGAAAAAAAUCUCAUAAUAAUAAUUGAAUUUAUUGCAUUUAAAGCAAAUAAUCUUUAUAAAAAGGAUAAUAAGUCACUAUAAAUUGUAUUAGAAUAGAUCAUUGAUUAAUGUGAAUACUUACUUAUUUUUAAAUUUGUAUAUCAUCUUUGCAUUAUAUAUGUAAUGAGUUUUUUUAAUUAUAUAAACAUAUGCGACAUUUGUUUUUUUAUUGAAUAAAAAAUAUUAAAAUAUUUAACUUUUUUUAUUUAAUUAAAAAUAAUCUAUUAAUAUCAACUAAUAUUAUCAAACUAAAUCUAUUAAUAAUAAAUUCAUUUUAAUAAUAUCAGUUAAUAUUAAUAUAUUACUUUUAACUUAAUAAAAAAAAGUUAAAUAUUGUAAUUUUCUUAUUCAAUUAAAAAACAAACAAAUUAUUUUGUAAAAAAAAAUAAUAAUUCAAAACAAUUCACAAGUAGCUAUGGAUGUAGAAGAUGGGUCUUGAAGUUCAUGUAUAAAUCCAAAAUGUUGUUCUUCAUGGGUUGUAGUCAAAUCUAGUCCAUGAUAUGACAUUUCUUGGGAGAAUGGGUGGUUGCUAUUUAUUUAAUUUUACUAAGCAAUCAUUCUUUUACGGACAUUAAAAGGAAAAAAACAAAUCAAAUUUUCAGACAUAUCUUUCUAUAAUUAUUUUCAAAUUUUGGAUUUAUUUUAUAUUGGUCACAAGGAGCCGACAAGGGUAUAUGCGAGACAGAGUUUGGAGGGUAAAAAUAGUAAAGAUGAUGGGAAGAGGGUAGAUCUCAGUGACGGGGAAAAAGGAAAAUGCCAAAAAGGGUAAGGACACAGGGCCCUUGAUCUGCGGCCUGGGCUCGGUCGUCCACAUGCGCUUGGAGAGUCAUGGUUUUGAAGAUGAGGCUGAGAUUUGAGUCGGCCCGCCCCACAUUUUGUGAUUAAUUAUUUAUCAUUUUAAAGAAAAGAACAGAAAAGAAGGGGGGCGUAGGACAACAUGGGUGGUUCCCAUGAAAGCCCAGGAACAGGCCACGAUCGUGAGAGUUUCGAUUAGGUCAGCUGGAUUUUCAGUAUCCCUCCGCCCUCUUCUCAUGGGCCCCCCUUUGCCCCUUUUUUCUGGCCCACAUCGCUCGUGGUAUGUUUCCUUACCUUUAGGGGCUUUUUUGUCUUUUGGUUUUCGGGCCGGGUCGUCUUUCCUGGUUAAUAGACCAUGGUUACCUAUCUGAUUUGAUGUCUGCUUAGGAUGGUAUUAUUAAUUUUGUCCCGAAAUUACUAGAAUAGACUUCCAUUUCGACAAUUUUACACUUUUUUUUUGGCCUUUUAUAUGGAUUGCUUUUCCUACGAGGUUAUUUGUCAGAUGUUCUUCCAGCAGCGCCGAAAGUUUACCAUAAAAAUAAUAUUUUUUUUGAAAAAAAACUAAGCCCCGGUUGAUUUUGGAUUCUUUAAGUUAAUCUGAGUUUGAAUUGCAUAAUUUAAAAUCUCUUUAUAAUAUUAUUUUAAUAAAUUUAUAUGAAAAUUUAAACAACUAAAAGGAUAAAAUUUCAAGACAAUCACAAAAAAAAAAUAUAAAUUUAUGUAUUUUUUUAAAAUAAUGAAAAACAUAUAAUAUAAUUUUAUAUUUUUUUUUAGAAAAAUAAAUAUUAUUAUAUAUAAUAAAAUAUAUUAUAAAUAUUAUAAAAAUAUUAAAUCAUAUUUGGGUUAGACUCGAGUCGUCUUAAUCUUAACUCGAUCUCAAUUAAAAUUGAGUUCGAAUUAAAAAAAAAUCUAAGUUAAGUACAACAUGAAUAUUGAAUAUGAUUAUUGAAACUUGUUCAAAUGUCAGGAUCCACAUAAAUAGCAUCGUUAAUAAAAAUACAAGAAGGGGAAGAAGAAAAAUAACAAAAAUGAAAAAGAUUACGAUUAUGAUUAAGGUUUAGUAGGUAUACACAAUUAAUUUUUUUACUUUUAAUAAACAAGGAGAAAAAAGGACGGAAAAGAAAAUGAAUGAUUAGGAUAAGUGGUUGGGUUUAAUAAGUAUACACGAUUAGUUUUAGUAGGUAUAUACUACUAGCUUUAACUUUUAAUAAAUUCUUUUAUCUAAAAAUGGAAACAAAGAGGUGCAAAAAGGAAAGGAGAAAGAGAAGGGAAAGGAAAAGGAUUAGGAUAAGGGGUGGAGUUUUAUAAGCAUACACGAUUAGUUUUAACCUUUAAUAAAUAUUUUUAUUUAAAAUUAAAAACAAAAAGAUACCAAAAAAGGAAAAGGAAAAUGAUUAGGAUUAGAGUGAGGAUUAUGGUUUAAUACGUAUACACGAUUAGUUUUAAAUUUUAAUGUAUUAUUUUAGUUGAAAUAGUUUGAGAUAUAUUUUCCUAAUUUUUUGAAAGGUGUGUUUAAUAUUCAGUUCUUUAAAUAAAUUUUAGUUUUUUUAAUCUAAUAAUAACUUAAAUAUUAAUGCAUUCAAAUUUACAGCAGUUAAUUUAGAGUUCGUUUAACAAUAUUUUUAAGAAGUGUUUUUGAAAAAAAAAAUUGUCCAUUUGUUAGUGAUUUGAGGAAGUAAUUCUAAUCUUUUUAACACUUGAAAUUUUUUAUUAUUUAAAUCUUAAAAAGAUUAGAAACAUUUUCUAUAAUUAUUAUCAAACACACUUUUAGAAUAUUAAUAAAUUACUUAUAGUGUUUUCUGAAAAAGUUUUCAUUCGAUGGGUGAUUUUCCUGAAAACGCUUAAAAAAAUAUUUUUAUUAAAAAUAUUUUAAUCAAAUAUGCACUCUUAGAGUGAGUUUAAUAGUGAUUCUAGAAAAUUUUACUAGUUUUUAUAAUGGUAGAAAGCGUUUAACAUUGAUUCUAAAAAGUGUUAUUAACUUUUCUAUCUUUCAAACAUUAGAAAAAUUAGAAAUACUUUUUAGAAUCACUAUUACGUUUGGCAAAAAGUGUUUUUAACUUUUCUAUCUUUCAAACAUUAGAAAAAUUAUAAAUACUUUUUAGAAUCACUCUUAUAUUUGGCAGUGAUUCUAGAAAAUAUUUUUUUGUCAUUUUAAUACUUUAAAUUUUUUAUCUUUAAAGUAUUAAAAAAAUUAAAAACACUUUCUAAAAUCAUCGUAAAACAUACUCUUAGAGCCCAUUUGGUAGUGAUUUUAGGAAACGUUUUUAAUAUUUCUAAUACUUGAAAAUUUUUAUCACUAAAGUGUUAAAAAUACUAGAAACGCUUUUUAGAAUCACGCACAAACAUCACAAGUGAUUUUUCAUAUUUUUAUAAACAAUUGUUUUUUCAAAAUUAAAAGCGUUUCCUAAAAUCACUAUCAAAUGGAUUCUUAAAAUGGGUUUGAUAGAGAUUUUAGAAAGUAUUUUUACCAUAUCUAAUACUUGAAAAACCACUAGCAAACAUACUAUUAGAGUAUUGAUAAUAAUUAUAGGAAAUAUUUCUAACCUUUAUAACACUUGAAAUUUUUUAUCCUUCAAGUAUUAAAAAUGUUAGAAACUUUUUCUAUAAUAAUUCUCAAAACACUUUAAAAUCACGUUUGAGAAUUAUUUCAGGAAGUAUUGAUAAUAUUUAAAUAAUAAAAAUUUUUAAAUAUUAAAAAAACUAAAAUCACUCCGUAUAACCUAAGGAGACAUGAUAGAUAGAAUCGGGUUAUUAUUAUUUUUAUUAUUAAAUUUAAAAUUUUAUUUUAAUUUUAUUAUUUUUGAGAGGAAGGUAGGAUUUGAAAAAGUGAUAAUGUUGUCCUUAUAUUUAAAAAGGAUGCCUUUGGUUUUUGAAGGCCAGGGGGUGUUGUGGACCGACGACUUGUUAAACUGUACCUUUCAAAUGUAGGGCUUUCAAUACCUAACAAGCAGCAAACCCACGCACUCUCUAAGUUCCAUUGUCCAUCGGAUUCACAACAUCUUGGAGAUAUGUCCUUUUUAUUAACUAUAAAUAAUUAAAUUUGAUCCCCAUUUUACAAUUUCAAAUUAUUUGAAAACAAAUAAUGACAAUGAAAAUGUUACUUAAUUAUGGGCCCAACUUAAUCUCAAAUCAAAAGAAAGUAUUUGGAACUACCCAGUAUAAAUUAUGUUCGAAACGUUUUCGAAAACUAUUAUAAAAAAAUAAUUUUAAAAAAUGGUUUUAUGAUAUUUUCUAAAACAAAAUUUUAUUUGAAUAUUUAGAAUAUGUUUGAUAAUUGUUUUAAAUAAUAGAAAACAAUUUUUUAUAUUAUUAAAUUUGUUUUUUAUUUUUUUGUUUUGAAAAAUAAAAAAUCGUUUUUGAAAACAGUUAUCAAACAAGUUUUUAGAAUUAAUUCAACUUAUAUCUCAUGUUUAUAAAUUUUUAAUUAUUUGAAAAUUACUUUUUUUCUGAAGGCUAAAUUAGUCAUUUAAUGCAGCAUUCUUACUGUAAACGAAACUAACGUUAGUGUAUCAAAUAGUAUUUGGAUUAAGGUUCGAGAUGAGGCCAAAAUGACAAAUAUUCCACGCAAUUAUUUCCAUUAAACAGAGAUUCAGGCGCUAGGGUUUAGCAUUAAGACAGAAAGUGAAGAGGAUAAAAGCCGAAGAAUGACGAAAAUACCCCUGUAAUAGCAUCCAACAAAAGGUUGAACUAGGAGAGCCGUGGCCAUGCAUGCCUCACAACAAGUAAUUGUGGAUGCCAUGUGCCAUUGAGCAGCUUUUGUCCUUACCCUCUAUCCGAACGCUUAGUCGUCACUGUGAGCAGUGACAGUGGCAGUUUCGUUGUUUUAUUCAAAUCUGGGGGUUAGUUUGGAGGUGGGCAUGCAUAAAAGCCGGUGCUCACCUCUUUCGCUCAGAGCAUCGGCAUCACCUCCACCGUUUCUCCCUUUUCUCUCUUCUUCUCUCUUAAACUUCGCUUCAACCAGACACUCCCAAUGAGAGCUGUGGCGUUUCUUUUGCUACUAUUGUGCGCCACCUGCCACAUUGCCUUAUCCUUCACCGACGGUAAGUGGCAUUUUCCUGGUUUACCUCCUCUUCUUCUUCUUCUUCUUCUUCUUCUUCUUCUUGAGAGCUGAUGGUGUCUCUGUUCCAAUGUUUUUAUCCUCCGUUGGAUUUGUUUGACUAACUUUAUUUUACGGUUGAGAUUAACGGUUAUUUGUACAUUAUGCAUUGGCACUAGGUUAGGAUCAAUGCUAGCGGUGGCCGGCAGCGCUGCUACUAGCUAGAUAAACUGACCAAAUUAACCCUACCUUUCAUGUCGAAUUCUAGUCUCAGGAAGGGGCUUAAGGGUCAUUUAGAUAGUCAUAAGUUGCAGAGGUUUCUGGCCGAGAUUCAAAAGUUGAGGGGCAAAUAUGCCUUUUUACGCUUCAAUAAUUUGAAUCUCUCGUACUGCUGCGGGGCAGAGGCGGCUCCACAUGCUCUCAGUAUGGAGAGAAAGUCUCAGCCGUCCAUGUGCUCAUAUUAAUGGCUCUGAUAUGAGCUGUGUGGGCCACUAAGUAUCUGUUUACAGUUCAGGUGAAUAGAAGUGUGUUAAAUGACAAUAUUGGCCAUUCUAGUCCCGCCAUAUGGUCGUCGGUCUCACCGUCGUAGCUUUCAGCUUCUAACGGCCUUUGGCCUGCUCGAUAACCGUAACGAAAACAUGGGUGUUAUCCUCCUUUCAAUUCCUUUGUCAAAUGUUUUCAAUUUCUUGCAAAUUUAUUGAAGCUAAAUUCCAAAUAAUACCCACUGGAAAACGCAGGACUAUUACCGAAUGGGAACUUCGAGCUGGGGCCGAAGCCAUCGGACAUGAAGGGAACGGAGGUGAUAGGCCCGCACGCCAUACCGGAAUGGGAAACAUCGGGUUUCAUCGAGUACAUAAAAGCAGGACAAAAACAAGGCGACAUGUUGCUGGUCGUCCCUGAAGGAGCCUUCGCAGUCAGGCUGGGGAACGAGGCUUCCAUAAAACAGAGAGUGAAGGUGAUCAAGGGAAUGUACUAUUCCAUUACCUUUAGUGCCGCCAGAACCUGCGCCCAGGAGGAGCGCUUGAACAUAUCAGUGGCGCCCGACUGGGGAGUCCUGCCUAUGCAAACUCUGUACAGCAGCAACGGCUGGGACUCCUACGCCUGGGCGUUCCAGGCUGAUUACGAUGUGAUCGAGAUCGUCAUACAUAACCCAGGCGUAGAGGAGGAUCCAGCUUGUGGACCGUUGAUCGAUUCCGUUGCUUUCAGGGCUCUGUAUCCUCCCAGACCUUCCAGCAGUGAGUUUUUAUGGUUUGAUUCGUUUGAAUGCAUAUAAGCAUAUUGCAUACUGCAUACACAUUAUUUAUUUUAUUUUUUUAACAUUUGGUACAAGUAUAUAGUAGUUAUGGCACUAUGGUCCCCUGCAUUAGGUCCCCCUCUUAUAUAUUGGACCACUUGUUUCGGAUUGGGGCUCAUCAUAUAACUAUUUGUGGGUAGGUUUGAAGGCCCCGUUUUCCGCUCUGCCUUAUAGGUAUUAGUCAAGGUUUGCUCAAAUCUGUGAAAUACUGUGAAGCCCAAUUAAAUUAUUGGGCUGAUCCGGUUUUGUUUUUUCACUCUUUUUGAUAAGGAACACCUUGUACAUGCAUUAUUGCAUUUCCAGGAGCUGUAAUAUGGUGCUCGAUAUCUCUCAUUUAUAACAUUUCAGACCCUUUUUUGAGGUGGGAUGAUCCCGCUUAUGUCGGGUAAUGGGUCGCCCAAAUAAUGACUCCUAAGGGUGUGAUGUAGAAUGUCAUAAAAGACACCCAUACAGGAAAAUAAUCGGUUUUUAGGUGAAAUGAUCAAAAUUUGGACCUUAGGUUGUCUCUAUGAAUCACACCCAACAAACAAAUUAAUGAGACACAAGUAUAUUUUUCGAGUGGCUAAACCUUCGUAUUCUUUCUUAAUUCAAUCAUCACAUACUUCUUUCAUUAGGGUCAUUUCAAUUUCACAUUUAGACCAAGACCCAUUUAAGACAGACAUAGAAAGUACGAGUCCGACGCCCAGAGAUCACAUUUUGUUAAAUACAUAGACACGAAGUUACCUAUAGGAUAUAGCUAUUGCUUUCAAGAGUUGUGUCAUUUAUUGGCCCAGGACUUAAGUGGUUGGCCCGUUGAAGACCUUGCAAGCAUGGUGACAAAUCGCCUUUAUGAAGUAGGCCAAAGGGUGGCAAAAAUGGCACACAUCUUCUAUGGGUGGAUAUGCAAGAAUCUGAUCAAUUAUGGUCUACUCUAGAAAAAGAAUAAUAAUAAUAAUAAAAGUUUAAGGAUCUAGCUUUUUGGAAUUAUUAAUAUUUUCAUGUCUUGAUCAUGCAGAGAACCUACUGAAAAAUGGUGGGUUUGAAGAGGGCCCAUAUGUGUUCCCCAACACAUCCUGGGGAGUUCUCAUCCCACCCAACAUUGAAGAUGAUCACUCUCCGCUCCCUGGUUGGAUGGUGGAGUCCCUCAAAGCCGUCAAGUACAUCGACUCCGACCACUUCUCCGUGCCGCAGGAGAAACGUGCGGUGGAGCUGGUGGCCGGAAAAGAGAGUGCCAUAGCCCAAGUAGCCAGAACCAUCCCUGGCAAAACAUAUGCGCUCUCAUUCUCAGUAGGAGAUGCCAGCAACUCCUGUGAAGGGUCCAUGGUGGUGGAGGCCUUCGCCGGCAGGGACACCAUCAAGGUGCCAUAUGAAUCAAAGGGCAAAGGAGGCUUCAAGCGGGCUGUUCUCCGUUUUGUAGCGGUAUCCAACCGAACCCGAAUCAUGUUCCUGAGCACAUUCUAUACCAUGAGGAGUGAUGACUAUGCCUCCCUCUGUGGACCUGUUCUUGACGAUGUGAAGCUGCUCAGCCUCCGCACUCCUCCUAGGCACAUCUAAGCCGGCGGCCAGUGUUGAUGCAAAUUAAAGGGGUGGUUUCUGUUUUGAAGCUCUGCAACUCUGCAGAAACAUCAGUUAUACUAGAAGUAUUUUUGCUAUAUGAGAAAGCGAGGUGCACUAGCUUGAGUUCUACUACAAUCUGGAAAAAAUAAAUAAAAAUAAAUAUAUAUAUAUAUAUAUAAAUACUAAUUAAUGUAACAAUAUAUAGUAUAUGGUAGGGUGUGAUUUUAUUAAGUGGUUGUGUACUUUUUUAGAAAAAUAAAUGACAAAAAAGGGAAAAAAAAAAAGAAAAAGAAAAAUUAAAGUUGUUCGUGAUAUUAAGAUCAUAUGUUUGUGUUUGGGUUCAUAAUUGUACUGAUUUUCGAGGUUUGUUUUAAUUUGAGAUACUUAAACAUGGGCAUAGCCCAAUCAUGAAUGAGUCCCAUGCAUGUAUUCAAGUUUGAAUCAAGAAUCUAUGGAUCCUACUUAAUCUACAAAUUGAGUAUUAUAUCUUCACAUUUACAAAUGGGACCAUUCUGACAUUACUUUAGCUGAGAUGCCUACUCAACUCUCUUACUAUUCGGGUGCCCAAAAUCCUAUGGUUGAACGUAGAUGAAAUAUGUGAAUCAGGUGAAAGAUUUCAAAUUGUCGAUCUUCAUGCAAUGAUUCCUGGUGAAGAAAUUACAGAAAAAAAAAAACACAGAUUUAAUGUGAUUCGAUGAAUUGCUUACGUCUACGAGAACAAGGAAGAAAACUUUCACUAUAUGUCAAAUUAGGGUUACAUAAAAUAAUAUUUAUACUAAUCAUCAGAUAAUAAAAUUCCAAAAAUGUCCAUGCAUCGUACACUCCCCUCGUUCCACUCUGUUCUACUUCGACAUUUGUCAUUUUUUUCUCUAUGUGUCUUUCUCUCAAUAUGAACCACAUACUACAACACAAAAAAAUACUCGGGCAAUGCUCAAAGAAGAUAGGAGAAAGAAGAAUACAAAAAUAAAAAUGAAGUAUACUUGGUGUCGUUCUCUUUCUCAUGCUGACUUACAAAAAUUUAAUUUCAAAACAGAGGUCACAUGAUGAUAAUGACACGAGAAUUUGGAGGGGUAGUGGUGAAAUGGGCCGCACAAUUGAUCCUACCCUUUGUAUUGGGCUUCAUUUUGCUGGAUCCAAGUUUGUCCGGAUAAUAUAAUUUCAAUAAACUGAAAUCAGCCCUUAAAGACAAGACCCAAAUUGCCAAGCCCUAAGGCACGGCUGGGUUACUGCCACGUGCAUUGCACGUGGGGUGUAAAAAAUCACAAGAAGAAUGGAAUCGGACGGUGGAGAGAGUCGCGUUAGGUUGAAGCUACCUGAGAGACGCUAAAACCCUCUUAUAGAAACCCUCGCGUUCGUGUUUGUCUCCCUCUUUCUCCUCACACUCUCUCUGCGGACGCAUUUUCACAGGGGUAAAUAUGGUGAGUUUCGUUUUCCUUUAUGUUUGUUUCUCUAGAAAAAUUUAAGGGUAUUUUCUUUUGGUUUAACAAAAAGGAAAAAAAGAAGACUUAUCCAGGACAAAUUGAGCUUUUGAAUCUUGUGAUUUAUGCUGCAUUACUUUCUGUUGAGUUGAGAUUCUGUUCUUCUUAGUCAUCAAAAUGUUAAUUGAUUUUCUCUCGUUGUCCUACCUUUCGCAAGCAAUCAAUCGUAGGAUAAGUUUGGUUCUGUGAUUCGAUCCCGUUCGAUUGAUCUAUUGAUUUUUUUUCUGUCGUAGGCUUUGCCUAAUCAGCAGACUGUUGACUACCCAAGUUUCAAGCUUGUAAUCGUCGGGGAUGGUGGAACAGGUGAUCACAAUAAAAAUUAUAUUCUUUGUUCUUCGCUGUGUUCGGUCGCUGAGAAGACCGAGGAAAAACGAAGACUUCGUUUUUUUCUUUUUUCCUUUUCAUUAUCUGGGACUUGAUGGAACAAAAACUUCCCGUCUUAAUCAAUGCAACUAUUUUGCUCGAUCGAGUUCCUUUUUUUUUUUUGCCUUUUCCUUUUCUUUAAAAAUGAAAUGCAAUGAAACAUAUUCGAAAAUUUCUUUUCCCUUUUUUCUUUCAUUCAGAAGUCAAAUACAGGGUUCGGGAUUUGAUUUUCUAUUGCCUGUAGUUAAUAUAGAACCUCACUGUAUCCAAGUUUAUUUUCCCCAUUUUGUGCAAUUGGGGUUUUCGUUGGGGUUCUUGUGAUUAUAAAACUGUAGAGCUUAUAUGGAAAAGGGAUCAAAGCCUUGGAACUCAUUUUAUGUUGUGGAAUUUAAUGCACUUUAUUUACAGUGAUUUUGCUAAUCUGAAAGUGGUUUGCCAAUGCAGGAAAAACAACAUUUGUUAAAAGACAUCUUACAGGCGAGUUUGAGAAAAAAUAUGAACGUAAGUUUGGAGAAAAUGUUAUGCUCUAAGUUUUCUAUCUUGUAUUUACUUAUCGGACUGUUUGUGAAGAUUUUCAAAGUGCCCUUCAGGCCUUAAUAGCCCAAAUGAGAGGAAUAUUCUAUUCCCAAAGCAAAAGAAAAUAGUAUAUUCUGAAUGCAAACUAAUUUUGUUUUCCUUUUUCUUUUUUAAUCAUGAUAGCAACCAUUGGUGUGGAAGUUCAUCCGCUGGAUUUCUUCACAAACUGUGGUAAGAUUAGAUUCUAUUGCUGGGACACUGCUGGGCAGGAGAAGUUUGGUGGUCUUAGAGAUGGAUAUUAGUAAGUAAUUUUACAAAUUGGUGUUGCUAGCUCAUUUUUUUACUAAAUUUUUUCUGUCCUGAACAUGUAUUUGUAUUUAAUAUAUUUGACAAUUUGAUGUUCAUAUUCAUUGCAUCACAAUAUUGUAUGUAUGAAAUCUUUUUCUUUGGUUGGCUGGUUUUUUCAAUUUGUGCUUUUGACCUUCAUACUGUUGUUAGAAUUUUGAUUAGAAUUGAAGGAUUCUUUGUUCUAUUAUAACCAUCUUAAUAUUUUUUUUUGGUGUUGCUCAUGGUGUUCUUCGCUUACAGUUGGUUGAAAUUGUUUUUCUAACUCAUUGGUGAAUGUUCAUGUGUUUAUUGAAUGUGCAUGAAGCAAUCGGAAGUUAGAAACUGUUUUUUCAUAUGAUUUCUGAUUGAUGCUAAUUUGGUAUAUUUUAGGCUUCCACAUUUGAUACCGUCGGUUUGGGUUAUUUGUUUCAUUUUAUCUUGCUGUAGAAGUUAUUGGUGAAAAAAAUGGAGAUAAGUGGUUUAUAAAACAAUUUGUAAUCAAGUGGUUUGUUUUCUUUUGAAUUGGACUACCAUGUUUGUUUGGGUGAAUUAAAAGAUUAUAUUUUUUAAGGCAGGUUGUAAUUUCAGUUUGACUGCCCAAGUUGUAUUAUUGAUAAAAUCAAUUUUAAAGGUGUGUUUCAAAUUGCUUAAAAGGUCAAGUAAAAUUUUACUUUUUGACUUCAUAAAUGUCAAAAGAAAUAUAAAUAUAAACUCUGCAUUUUGGAUAUAAUAAUUAUGGACAUUUUAGACCUGGAGGCUAGUAUAUGAUGAUGAUAUGUAUCGGUUAGGGUGUUGUUGUGGUUUGGUUGUUUUCAGGGUGGUGUUGGUAUUUGGCCCUCUUCUCUCCAUUGCCAGCCUUUUGGUGUGUACUUUCUUGCACCUCUUUGAUGGCGCUUUUUAAUAUAUUCUGUCAUUUACCUAUCAAAAAAAAAAAGAAAGAGAUGUGUAUUGAAAUCAUCAAUUAUCCAAUUAUAUCAGUUGUCAUCAAUUGCUUAUUGAAGUCAUGUUUCAGACUUUCUGCAUUUGAAGCUGAUACAUAUCAAAAUUAUCAUUUUAUAUUGCAAUUUGCCCUUGGCCAUCCAACUCUCUGUAGCCCUUCUUAUCCACUGCAAAAUCUAAAUAUCUAGCUCUUCAAGGCCCAUUAUCAAUUCAUAGUGCAAUUCUCAAUCCGCUCUGUUCAUCCAAACAUGAAAUGUCUGUAUAAUGUCAAUUUAUAUACAGACUUUGAGCCACAUGCUUCCUUUAGAUCAUUUUGUGCUAAAUAAUAGAAAUUUGGUAUUGUUCAUGCUUCACAUUGUUUUUCAGAUUUCACCUUUUUUGAGGAUCACAGCCUUUUCAAGCAAUUUGCUAAAUUUUUGUUUAAUGUGCAGCAUCCAUGGGCAAUGUGCCAUUAUCAUGUUUGAUGUUACUGCUCGCUUGACAUACAAGAAUGUUCCAACAUGGCACCGUGAUCUUUGCCGGUGUGUACAGGAAUCCUGAUUUCCUAAAUCUUAGCAAUUAUCCAUUAGUGAAGACUUAUUCUGAGCCUUAAAUCUUAUGAAGAAUUUUCUGGUUUACCAAUUACAGGGUUUGUGAAAAUAUCCCCAUUGUGCUUUGUGGUAACAAGGUUGAUGUCAAGAACAGGCAGGUGAAGGCAAAGCAGGUUACUUUCCACCGGAAGAAGAAUUUGCAGUAUUAUGAGAUAUCAGCUAAGAGCAAUUAUAAUUUUGAGAAGCCUUUUCUCUACCUCGCCAGGAAACUUGCUGGGUAAGGAAGGACUGCACUAUAAUUCCUUUAUUUUCAUAUAUUUCCAAGUAUGGAGCUUAAGGUAAUCAUCACCAAAAUCGGUGUUGUGGUGGCAGGGAUCCUAAUUUGCAUUUUGUCGAGUCUCCUGCUCUAGCUCCUCCGGAAGUUCACAUCGACUUGGCUGCACAGCAACAGUAAGCAUUUUGUGACAACCAGAACUAUCUCUUCUCAUUGUCUCUCACUCUCAAAUGCACACACAAGCACAUACGUGCUCCAGCCAGCUCUGUUUGGGAAGUGUUUUUAAGAACAGUUUUUGGAAAAUGUUUUCUUAUAUUUUGUAGAAUAAAAGUUUGUUUGCGAACCUGAAAUAUUUAAAACCUAUUUUCUAUGUUUUUUAAAUAUGUUCUAAAAGAUGUUCUCUAAAAAUAUAUUAUUUUUUGCUUUUGGGUUGUUAAUCGUGUUUUCUUACUUUUUUGUUCUUUAUAAUAAAAAACUGUUUUAAAAAACAGCUCCGAAACAAGGACUAGAUUUCUAAGUGGCCACUGGUUACAUGAUUAGUGUUUUCUUACUUUUUUGUUCUUUAUAAUAAAAAACUGUUUUAAAAAACAGCUCCGAAACAAGGACUAGAUUUCUAAGUGGCCACUGGUUACAUGAUGAACGACUAUUGUAAAACUGUGGUUUGGUUCUGAAUCAUGUGGUGGUUUUUGGCAGGCAUGAGGCUGAACUUGCUGCAGCUGCUAGUCAACCCCUUCCAGAUGACGAUGAUGAUGCGUUUGAAUAGAUGGAGGGUUGUUCCCUGUUGUCCAAUGUCUUCCCAAUUUUUCUCCCAUACAUUUAGGACUUGGUAGUUUUUUUCCCCUUUUUUUGGGCUUUUUUUGUUUCUCCCUAUAUUUUUCUCUUGUGGUGAGAUUUGAGGUGGGUGGGGUUUUUCAAUUUUUGGUUUGGUAUUGUGAGAUUUAUGCUGGUGUUUUGUGUAUGACAAAGAUUACAUAUUUGAAAUUAUGUGGACUUGCGAAUGCCCCUUUUCCCUUUUCCUUUCUAUAUAUAUCUUCGCAUAUGUGAGGCUUGUCUAUUAAUAGUAAAUUAAGUUAUUUGAUUAGAAGGGUAUUUCAAAACUCAAUUUUAAAAAUUAAUUUUUUAUACCUUAUUUUGAUAAAAAUGAUUUUAUUUUUUUCUUGUAAAAAUAACUUUUUAUUAAAAGCCUAAAGGUAUUUAUGUUCAAAAUGGGUUAUUUAUAAAAAGAAAGUGGGAUGAUUAAAUUCUUAAAUUUGAAGAUUAUUUUAUCAUUUUUAAAUAAUUAAUUCGAAUAAAUUUGUAUAUAUAUAUAUAAUAAAAAUUUGAUUUAUUUAAAUAUUUAUAAGAGUAGACUUCGGUUUAUUUUAUAAUUCAUUUUAAUUAAAACAUUAUCAAAUUUUUAUUGAUUUAUUUUAAAUAUUUAUAAUUAGUAAAUUUUGUUAAUUUAUAAUUAAAUUUAACUAAAAUGUUAUUAUUCAAAUAAUAAUAAUAUUUUCAUAUUUUAUAAUAUUCACUAGAAUAAUGCCAUUUUGUUACAAUAAUAAUUAUUGCUAUUUUAUAAAAUCAAAGAAAAUUGUAAUUACAAAACUAUUUGUUAUAUUUUCUUGAUUUUAUUUUAAUAUUAAUAUAAUUUUGGAAUAAAAAUUACUUAUUUAAAAAGGUUUUAAAAUAUCUUGUUGAAUCGUUCCACCUAUUUAUCAAAGUAGGAUGGAUAUACAGCAAUUCAUUUCUUUAUUUAAAUAUGAAAUAUGUCCAUAUAAAUAUAAAUAUUUUUUUCAAAAUUCAAAUAUCUAUUCGUUGGAUUUAAAUGUAAGAAAUGCUAUUAUGAAAAGGGCAAAAUGGGAAGGGACAGAAAUAUAGGUCGGCGCGUGGCUUGGUGCAAAGUGUAGGGCUGAGAUAGAAGCGCCGGUUUAAAGCGGGAUCUAAUCCAACGGUUGAGAGAAAUAGCGUCCAUCAAAGGCUAUAAUGAAAACACGCGGCGCCUACUUAUAUAUAUACGGCUAAAACUCCUACUACCACCGCAUUCAAAACUCAAACCUUCUUUCCAAAGCGCUCCUUGGCGGCUUCCAUACGAGAAACUCACGCUCACCCUCCAGAUGGUUUCCCCUCUCUCUCUCUCUCUCUCUGCCUGUUUGGCUGCUUUGAAAGAACAAGGAUUCGGGAUUUUCUUUUCCAUCUUCUCCCGUUUCUCAGCAACCAAACACCUUUUUUAGUCUAGACGUGUUUUUCUGAUCCGUUUUCUUUCUUCUACAGGCGCUUCCAAAUCAGCAAACUGUGGAUUACCCUAGCUUCAAGCUCGUGAUUGUCGGUGAUGGCGGAACAGGUGCACCAUUCGUUUUUUUCCUCUCUCUCUCUAUAAAAUAAAUAAAUAAACCUCGCUUCUUUUCUGCACUGGUUUCUGUUAUUUAGAUCUGAUUUUUAAAGUCCAAAACCCUAACUUUCUUUGAUUACUGUAAAAACUGCGGAAAAGAAAAGGAGAGGGGAUUUUACUUUUCUUUUCUUUUCCUAUGUUUUUUCAGCAACCAAACGGACGGUUCAAAAUGUCUACAUUUCCUGUAAAUUUUGGAAAAUUUAUUUUAAUUGUAAUGGUUGUUUGGAUUUAUGUGCAGGAAAGACUACAUUUGUGAAACGGCAUCUCACUGGAGAGUUUGAGAAGAAAUAUGAGCGUGAGAACUCUUAUGUUAAUAGAUUUAGUUUCUACAGCAAUGCAAUUUUUAUGGAUGAAUUAAGAUGUUGAUGUUUGUUGUGAAAUUGCGAAUUACAGCAACCAUUGGUGUGGAAGUUCACCCAUUGGACUUCUUCACAAACUGUGGAAAGAUCAGGUUCUAUUGCUGGGAUACAGCUGGGCAGGAAAAAUUCGGUGGGCUCAGAGAUGGAUACUAGUAUGUGUUAUCUUACUUGAGCAAUGAUGAAAUAGAUCAUUAACUCAUUAUUCUUUUGAUAUCUAGUGUUUUACUUUUAUUGUAUUUCCCUAAUCCAGUGGUUUCAAGGGUUAUCGCAUCUUUCAAUGUUGAUACUGCUCUCUCUCAUAUGUUUCACAUUGUGGCUCAUUAUUUGUACGUCUGUUAAAAUUUUGUAAUAUUUUUAAAUGGCGAAAUUUUAAUGUUUUCUCUCCUUCCAGUGUUUGAAAAGCAUAUCCUUGAAAUCAUGGUUGAAAAUCUGGAGUUGCUGUUGUUCUUGCAACAUAAUAGUUAACUUGUUUGGAUGCCUUUGCUCAUGUCCCUUCGGUCAUGUCAUGUAAACUCUUUCAUUAAAGUUCCUAUUGGAGAGUUCUUUUUUUUUUUUGUCAUAUGCGGCAGUGUGUUCUUACAAUCUCAUUAAUGGACAGCCUCCUCGAUCAGUACAAGCACAAAGAAUUUCUUUUUGCUGGUUUUGUUUUUGACUGAAACAAACAAAAGCCUUUCAAUAGUUUGAAGUCAGAGAAGGCGCCUUUCAAUUUCUCAAUGUUUGAUAGGCAAUACCAUAAUAGAAUGUUACUUUUUCUUCCUUGAUUCUAUACUUCUAUCAUGCUCUGAGAAUACAUUAAACUGAAAUUAAACAACAGUAUCUCUGUCAUGUCUCUGAUUGUGAUGGAAGAUCCUGAUGUUGAUGUAGAGAUUUAAAAUUGAUUUUUGAUGUGUAGUUCUAUGAUUCCAUUAUGAGAUCAAAGGUUCCAAUAAUUUGUCUUACAUAAAAGGUUGGGACUUUCAAGGAUGAUAUGCAACCAUAUCCCUACAUUUGAUUGUAAUAGAAGAUCCUGAUGUUGGCAUAGAGAUUUAUAACUUAUUUGUGGUCUAUAUUUCUAUGAUUGCAAUGUGAGACUCAAAGGUUCAUUCCAUUUUGUUGUGUUAUAUGUUGGACAUGAUUUUAGUUUGUUAUGUCCUCAGUUUUAUUUGUUGAUCACUGGAGGUGCCAUGUGACACCUAACAGAAAUGUAUUCAAAUUCUGAAAAGGAAACAAGUGAACUCUAUAUAGGGAAUCCUACUGCAAGGGAAUAUUUUUCUUUACGGCUUUCUAAGAUAUGUUUGUUAAAAAGUUGAAUUCCUUUCAAGUUAAAAAUCUUUUGUUCAUCAAAACUCAACUGGGAGAAUUUUCCGAUGUUCUAUUGAAAUUGUUAUUUUUUUUCUUUACGUACCUGUUACCUGUGAGUUCAUGAUCGCUUCUGCAUGGUGCUUGAUGUUACAAAGUUUAUAUGUCAAUACAUACAUGUUCCAAGCCUUCUAUGUCUUUGUAUGUUCCCCACUUAUCAGGAGUUGGUCUCAUGUUUAUUGCAUGUGCUUUUUUGCCUUUAAAAUCUUAUCAUGCUUCUAAGUGGUAAUAUUUGAUUUUCUGUUUGUGCAGUAUUCAUGGACAGUGUGCCAUCAUCAUGUUUGAUGUCACUGCUCGUCUGACAUACAAAAAUGUUCCAACAUGGCAUCGGGAUCUCUGCAGGUGCACAAAUGGAGCCAUUCUUUUCUUUUUCCUCCUCCUCCUUCUCCUCAUCAAAACUGCCAUCACUUGCCUUCUAUUUUCUCCUAUAUUCUGUGGUGGUAGUGUUCUUACUGGCAAUUAUUUCUGCUGUAUUUAGGGUGUGCGAGAAUAUUCCAAUUGUUUUAUGUGGAAACAAGGUGGAUGUGAAAAAUAGGCAGGUCAAAGCAAAGCAGGUUACUUUCCACAGGAAAAAGAAUCUCCAGUACUAUGAAAUUUCUGCAAAGAGCAAUUAUAACUUUGAGAAGCCCUUCUUGUACCUUGCUCGAAAACUUGCAGGGUAAUUUUUUUGAAACCUUUUCUAAUUAUUGCUUUCAUACCAGUUUGGGCUUAGUGCCUUGAUGCUUUUGUUUUCCCUUUUGGCUAAGACCAUACUUGGUUUAUUGCUGCCUGCAGAGAUGUCAAUCUCCACUUUGUUGAGUCACCUGCUCUUGCUCCUCCUGAAGUUCAAAUUGAUAUGGCUGCACAAGCUCAGUAAGUGAUUCAUACCAUUUUUCUUUUAUGAAACAGUCCUUGUGAACCUUCUUACCUGCUAGAUCCACUGAGAGAAAAAACUUCUAAAUGUAAAUUUUUGCUGUCAGUAUGUGGGUGAUAAUCAUGCCUUGAAAUUACUUGAGGAAAACACAAUAACAUAUUAGUAGCUUGGUGGUUUGUUGAUGACCGCAUAAAUCCAAUUCAAGAAAUUAUGUUGUAGCUUAAGAUUAUCUGGGGAAUUUCUAACUAUUGGAAGCAAUAAUCCAUCUUUAAACACAUUGGCCAUUUGGGUUAGAGUUUUGAUUUUGAUAUUGUACCCUACCAAGACUACCAGCAUCACUGCCAUAGAUUAUGAAAAAAUUUCCAGCUAAUAUGCAAUAUUUAGCAAUUUUUUUAUGGAGUUACGUGGAAAUUUCUUGCUAAGACUAACUAUUUUGGUGAUUUUGUUUCAGCCAUGAAGCAGAGUUGGCAGCAGCCGCAGCACAACCACUUCCUGAUGAUGAUGAUGACACGUUUGAGUAGUGGGGAUUUGGCCGCCCAAGCUUGUGUUUGCUUGUCUCGCCAAACAAAAAUGAGAGAAACUGUUGCGAUGUUUGCUAUUAUUGCCCAUCAACAUGUUUUGGUUGAGAAUUUGUUCCUGCAAUGUGCCUCAGUUUUCCAGUUGAAAUCGAAGGGUGGGGGGUUGUACUAUGAUGAGAUUCAAUGUCCAGCUUCUUCAUUUAGAUAUCUAGAAUCUUGUUUUUCAUUUCAUGCAUGUUGAAUGUCAGGGCGGAGGUGUACUGUCUUGCUUGCUCCUCUAGUUCUGAAGUUAGAAAGGAGUUUUCUUACUUUUCCUUUCAUCAUUUGGUGUUAUUGUCCAAUAUCCCUUUCAUCAUUUUUAGCAUUAUCAUCAUCUCCAUCGUUGGUUCUUUUUACUCUUAAACCAUCAUAACCAAAAUCCUAAAAUUAUAAUUUUAAAAAAUCACAAACAAAAUUGAAGCAAUAUAACAUUAAGAAGCUUUCAAUUGAAUUGUAUAUAAACCAAAAUGAAAAUUAGGUAUCUAUAGAAAAAAUUCUGAUCAAACAAACCCUUGAAUGAUCAUAAAGCCAUUAUAAUUCAAUUCUACCUGUUGGAUCAAAGUUUGGUUGAAAUCUUAUGGUUAUAUCUUCAUCUAACAGUAGGAAGCACUUCCCUACAUAUGGAUUGAAUUUAAAACACAUGGAAAAAUUUUCAACCAUUGGAUCAAGUUAUUGAAGAUGAUAGAAAUAAUUGUAUAUCCCAAAAAAAUCGCCAAACUACCAGCCCAUCUUUUGUUGACUUGUGUGAGAAAUUUUCUAACAUUUUGGUCCAAGAUAAUUGAUGAAAAUAUCAACAAUCAUAGAUAUAUCCAUACUUUAAUUUUACGGAUAUAUUAGAGAUAUAUCAAUAGAUAUUUUAAAAAAAGAAAUUCGAUAAACCAUGAUCAAAACUCAUAUAAAUAUAAGAAAAAUAUUAUAACAAUGUAAUUAGAAAUAUAAUAGACAUUUUAAAAUUGUUUUAUUGAAAAAUUUGAUAUAUGUAUGAUAUAAUUUAUUAUAUUUGAUAAUAAUAUCAUAUGAAUUAAUAAAAAAAAUAUGAAUUUUGUAAAUGUGCAUUUAUUAUUAAAUUACAUCAAAUAUUAUUUCAUAAUAAUAUUAUGAUAUUAAUUAUAAUAUGUCUAAUUUUAAAAUUUAUUUAAUAUUAAAACAAUGAUUCAUUUAAUUCAAUUGUAUUAAAUGAAAUAAAAUAAAUGAUAAUAUAUGUAUAUUUUUUUAAAAAAAAUAUUUAUAUUCCUUAUAUUUAAUUAAUAUAUAAAUAAUAUUAAAAAAAAAAAGCUCAAGAAAAUUAUCACCAUAAUUUUUAUAUUUUUAGUGUUCAAUUAAAUUAAAUUAAAUUUAAAAAUAAAAUAAUUAAAACUAAUUUGUUUAUUAUAACAUUUUGUUUUUAUCAGUGUUGGUAUAUAUUAAUUCUAGUGCACAUCAUGUUAUGAGUAGCCAGGCAGCCCAAUGGUGAGUGGGGGUCUCUAAAGGCUUGUUUGGGCAGCUGCAAUUCAAAAUUUGAAUUCUCUUCAUUUGAAUUUUGACCGGGCAGCCCCUAAAGAAUCUUUAGAUCAACGCAGGGAAGCUCAAAGCCGUCGGAUCAGCGGACCAAGGAAGUAGGGAUAGAGCGCCGUUUUCACAAAAAAAAAAAUAAUAAUAAUAAAAUUGCCCAUAAAUCGCCAAAUUUUCACAAGAAAUUUUGACGAAAUUUCAUCCAUUUUUUCCGAAAUUUUGAUCUAUGACGGUAACCAUGGAGGAAAAUAUCGGGAUAUAUCGGCGAUAUAUCGCCGAUAUAUCGUGUAUCGGGAGGAGUCGACACGAUAUUUCAUGGAGAAAAAUCGAAGAGAAGAUAUUUCCGUAAAUAUCGUCAAAAUAUCGGCGAUAUAUCGCCGAUAUAUCGGUUCGGGGAGAUAUAUCGAAGAUUUUUUCAAAAAAUCUCCUCUGGUGGCAAAAAAUCGGUGAUAUAUCGGUGAUAUAUCGGAGAUAUAUCGGUGAUAUAUCACUGAUUUUUUGGUGAUAUUUCCCCUCCUUCAUGCAACAUGAUCUGACGGCUCAGAUCACGCCUGUAUUGAUCCGACGGUCUAGAUGUGAUUCCAAUGGUAAUAUGGCGAUCCAACGGCCCGAUUGCUCCCAGUUUUUUAUCCAACGGCUAAAAUUGAUUUUCAACAGUAAAUUAAUGUUCCAACGGCUAUUUUGGCCCAAAUUUCUUCUAUAAAUAACCCAAAUUUCAUCUAUUUCAUCCAUUUUUGCUUUCAUUCUUCAUUUGCUCUCUCAUUACUCCAAUUUUUAUUAAGGUUGCUCAAUUAUUUAAUUAUUUUAAGGUAUAUUUGUUUUAAAUUAUAAUUAAUUUUAUUUGCAAUUGUAAUUAAUUCAUGUAUUUUCAAUUAAUUAGUAUGUUUGCAAUAUGGAUGAUUUAAUGCUAUUUUUACAUUCAAUUGUAAUUAAUUUUUAUAUUUUUAUUGAAUUAACUUAGGUUGAUUUGAUUAUUUAAUUAUAAAUUGAUAUGUUUAUUUUAGAUGAUUAUUUGUGAUUUAUUUUCACAUUUAGAAUUAAAUUAAACUAGUUAACUUAGCUAAAUUAUUUAAUUAAUUUAAUUAACAUGAAAUAGUAUAUUUUGAAUAUGAAAUAUGUUUAUUUAAUGAAUUUAAUGUGUACAAAUUAUUGAUAUUUAAUUAAAUGAAAUAUUUUAUGUGACUUUAUAAUGAGAACAAUUACAAAAUUAACAUUUCUUAUAGAUCGACAUGAUGUAAUUACAUCUAAUAUCGCAAAUUAUAUCAUAUAUAUAUCAAAUUUUUCAAUAAAACAACUUUAAAAUGUCAAUUAUACUUCUAAUUAUAUUAUUAUGAGGUUUUUCUUGCAUUUCCAUGAGUUUUUAACAAUUUUAAGUCUACCGAUAUUUUUUUCCAGAAUAUCCGCCGAUAUAUCUCCGAUAUAUCCGAUAUAUCCGUAAAAUCGAAGUACCGAUAUAUCCGUGAUUACCGAUAUUUUCUUCCAUGACGGUAACAACCAUGGGUUUGUUAUAUCCUCCUUUAUGUGAUUAUUUUAAAUUUUUUUGUCAAAUUCAAAUCUUAUUAAAAAAUUACGUUUAUUUUUUUUUUACUAAAGGCAAUUUUAAUAACCAUGGUUACAAGGCAAAAUUACAUAAUGCCCAAUCAUGAGGUAAUUCAAAUCUGAUAAAAAAAAUUAUGUUUAUUUUUUCAUUUUUAAAUUAUCUUUAUCUUAUUAAAUUACUUUUAAAUUUGAUUUAAAUAAUUUAUUAAAAGUAUUUCAUAAUAAACACACUGACGAUGUUUCCUUUACGUAUUUUACAAAUUACAAACUGCAAAUCUUUAAGCUUUAUAAAAAUUAACAAAGCAUUUCUUAGAUUUUCGUUUUCGUUGCUCUAAGCUUCAGUUUUUCAUAUAUAUAUAUAUAUAUAUAUAUAUAUAUAUAUAUAUAUAUAUAUAUAUAUAUAUAUAUAUAUAUAUUAAUUUAUAAAAUAAUAAUACGAAAAAAUUAAAUUGAAAAAAAAAAAAAACAGAGGAUAGUUUUGUCACUAACCCACAUGCAGGACAUUUUUUUAUUAAGAAACCUUGAAAUGGGCGUCACAACUCUUCCCAAUUGCCGUCCCAUGUAAGUGCGUCAGAGAUGGAAAAUACAGCCGGACAAUAUGAAGCUCGCAAUUUCCACAAAUAGUAAAUGAUAACAGAGUCAAAUGCAGUCUACCCACCAAUGCCUUCCAAAACCCAGGGAAAAAAAAGAAACUAGAAAAGAUAAAAUCCAGACUAAACAACAUGUAACAGAUCAAAAACAGUUAAAGAGGGCUGAAUAUACCACCGGUCUCACAAGACUUAAGGCAUCGAGGGAUCUCCUCUUCAUGGUCAUUCCUCAAUAAUAGGAUAGAGGUGCAGCAACUCAUCUAUUACCAAGUCUUCAAUGAACCAAUAAUAGCCUCAAGGUUUUCUUCUUAUGGCAAAUUUUCCAGAAAAGUAUCAUCAGAAUCACAAAUACAAAAACCUUGUGCUUAAUCAUCUGACCAAUUGUCAUUGACUGAUCCAAUGGAAUUGCCUUUCAGGUUUUUCAUGAUCACUACAAUUUGAAAGUAUCACCUCUGCCCCAACCUUGUAAAUACGUGUCUCAAGGUCCUCUUUCACCCUGUUCAACCACUAAAAAUGGUUACCUAUAGAGCAGUAACAACAGUAAAUAAAAGAAACAAAUUAUGAAAGAAAAAAAUGAAAGAGUGAGCCAUUUAUAAAUUGUCUUACAAAAAUCAAAAUAGACCAUAAGAACUAUUCAGGGUUCUUAGCAGACAGAACUUUACCAAUUAACUAGGAAGGAGGUCAAGCUUUUUGAGAAUCAAAAAACAUAUGAUCCUGUUGAAUCUGAAUAAUUCAGAUCCUAGCAAAACAAAAAAAUAAAAAAACAAACAAAAAGGAGAAAAGAAAAGAAAAGAGGAAGCAUUAAAAUGUGAUCACAUUUCAAGUAGGUGAAACUACUAAAUAAAAAUUGUAACCAUUUUCUGUCACAUAUAUAUAUUUGAUAACGCGCACCUCAACUAAUCCCAUGGAGCCCUGAAGCUAACGACCAGACAAUCCUCCAGUGGCCCUGAGGGGACUCGAACUCGUGACCAUUGGGGAGCAAACCCAAGACCGGACCAACUGAGCUAUCCCUCAGGGUUCAUUUUCUGUCAUAUAUCACACAAGGUUGGUUUAACCGCAAGCAGGAGAAAAUAUCUAGUGGUAGUAUACAUUUUAUCCAUUACACUCAGAGGCAUCAAUCCAUCUCUACAAAACAAAUUUUAGAUGCAACAAAUAAAAUGAAUUGAAAUCCUAUAAAUAAUAUAAUAAUAAAAGGGAAAAGAACAUAACAAAAAGGAAAAGAAUACAAAUCACCAUAGUGGAAAGAAUACAAAUAACCAAAGGGAAGAUGAACCAUAAUCAACCUACUGCAGCAACUACCCCACAGCCAAUUCCUUCCGACCCAAUAAAUAAAUAAAUAUUGUAUAGUAAGUUGCAUGUAAGAAAAGAUACAAAUGUGAGGCCUGAUAUUGUGAUAUAUAACAAAAUGGUAAAAAGCAUGAAGAUCCUGUGUAAUAUGAUUGUUUGGAGAAAACACUAAUAAUUCCACAAAAACUGGUUGAAAUUAUGUAAAUUCUACAUCAUAGAGACAAGAAAAUUGCACACAAUCUAGGCAACCUUGGUAUUGUUUUUUAACAUGAUUAACAAGCCUGUAGUGACAUUCUUUCAGACACCAGCCAAUAGGUACUAUGACUUAGAUUAACCACUCAGCAGUUUGCUUCACUUCCCCCAAAAAAUUAUGAAGUAAAGAAAUAUCCCUCAACCAAAACUUAGGCACUGAGCAGCUUCUUCCCUAGAUGACUACAAGGAACUUACUUAGCCCCCACAAAACCAGCUAUCCCAGGCAAUGUUUUUCCCCUCUUUUGUAAAUUUCCUCAUUCAAGGAUAAAGUGAGUUCCUGAAUCAAUUUUAAAAUUGUAUGGUCAUCCCCUCAUAACACAUCCCAGGGAAUUCAAUAGUUCUUGGGUAAAUAUCACAGAUAUUGUACUUUUCUUGAUUAGGUUGUGAAAUUUCUAAAUUAAUCUACACAUUUUGAAUGAUUAUAUACUCCAAUGGCAUGCAUAGCUAUUUUUUUAAUAGGUAACAUUUUCUUUUUCCUAUGGAAUCAAACCUGGAACCUUCCCAUAUCCCUAUUGCAACCACUUGCUACUUGAGAAUAAGUUGCAUAGCUAUUCUCACCCUGGGUUUCAAUCUUGAAUUUCCCAAUGUGUUCCAUCUGUCAGAACAAAAACAAACAUCCUCCCUCCCUCAUCUAAUCAUCACAAACACCCACAAAUUAAAGGGUGUUUUACUGAGUGUAUUAACACUGAGUUCUGACAAGCAAAGAAAACAUUAAAUGUUAUAAUAGUAUGGGCCAAGACACAAAUAAACAGAAAACAGGGACAAUGCAAGAAAUACUGAAAAUUGUUUAGAACUCCCCAAAGCAAUUGUGAAUAUGGAUUUUAACAAGUUAGGACGACAGUACAGGAUUUUUUUUCCUUUUCUAUUCUUCUCACUAACAUAUACAGUUGGUAUAAGGAUUCUCAUAGCAUAUCUUUCAUAUGAUCAUGACUUACAUCUCAUAACAGAAAAAAUAAAUAAAUAAAGGUAAAAAAACAUGCUUAAUAUAAUCUUCACCAUUUACAUUUUUAUUUUCUAUGCUAUUUCUGUAUAACUACAUGAAUUCCAAAACUGCAUAUCUGACUUGGUGAGUCAGAGAUUCUUAAAUUUCAAGAACAACAAACUUUGAACCAAUAUGCAAAAGGACUUCACAUAAGUGAACUUGCAAUUAAUUUAAGCAUCCUAGUUGGGGGCAUUUAAAGAAAUGAGGUUGCUAUUCAGUUUACCUCACAUUCUGGUUGUGGGGUGGGGUGGAUGGGCCUCCACCGUUUUAUCUUCAAUAGCAGUUAAGUUCCUCUCGUAAGGACGGAGUUGUGGGUGACAGCUUAAAAGUAAUCAAGUUGAAAGAAAUUGAAGAGAUGGAAGAAGAUUUUUAUCUUAAAUGUAGGGGAAACUGAUUCUCAACCAAGAUACAAUUUAUUGUUCAUGACCUUUUUCAUGUUUGAUUUGCAUUUUACACCUUUCCUUGUCUCAAUGGCUGCAAGAUAUAAAGGCUUUUGAGGAAUCUUAUAUUGGAUGGCCCAAUUUAUUGUUCCAAUAUCUUCUGGCUGAUCCUAGGUCCAUGUCUACUUAUGGAGAAAAGUAGGGUUUGGCAUUUGAGAUUUGUUGAUUGUGAAAUAAGCACCUAAGGAACUCUUUUUUAAAUUUUAAUAUUUGAUAGUAAGGAAUAUUGAUGGGAUUUUUGUAUGAUACAAAAGUCUCACUCCUGUUCUUUAUUUCUUAAGCUUGGUCCCGCUUUCUUAAGCUCACUUGCUCACCAUCCUCUGUCCUCAAGUCCAACCCAACCCAACCCCGUGCAGCAACCAACACCACCCCCCCAAACCCCAAAGACCCCAACACUGACCCACCCAUUGGCCCACCCCUUCCCUCUCAAAAACCUAUCCUUCACUCUCUCCCCCUUCCCCUUUUAGUUAUAUAUAAGUUCGUUCAAAUGCAGGAAAAUACGAAUUUAGAUUAUUUUACCAAACUUGUUCUUCGAUAGGCAAUUUUUUUUUUCCUUUUUGGUACCUGUUGGGACUUUAACCUAGAACCUCCCACAACCUCGCCUCCACCCUUUACCGCUUGAGUUAGGCCUCAAAGACUAGACUAUUUUAAUAAACUUAUUAUGAUUUUGUCUCUCUUCAUUUUCAUAGUUUCAAGAAUAAAUUGGUUUGAGAAGGACAUGGACUUUGAUCUGCUGAUGAAUAGGAUGGUGCAUUGCAUAGCACAACAUGAAGUGCAAAAGGUGCAGCAACCCCUAUACAAGAAUAUAGGAUAUACCAGAAAGGAAAGAGCGAAAAAAAGAAAAAGAAAAAGAAAAAUCAAUGCAUGAAUGAAAUAAAGUAAAGAAGUAACCCCUAACAAUGACUUACACUCAAACCCUUCCCAUGUCUUCAAAAAAAUCCAAACACCAUAAAGAUUUUGUUCCCAUACUUACAUCAUAUAGCUGUAGACAACAACUAAAAGAUAGUAGAAUAUCUGAGUUGGUCAGAAGAAAAGAUACAACAGAUCAAAAAUCCAUAUUAGUAGAGUUGGGAUAGGAUAAGCAAAAUUCUUUAAUAGACUUUUACAUGUAUAUAGCUCAAACCCAUUUAUAUCAGGAAAAAUUUCCAUCGCAGAAAUUCUAUGUUAAAUCCAUUGUUGCAUCUUUAACUGAAGGUGGGGAUGGGUCAUUCCUGAAGAAGGAUGCAUGUGCUCUCUGGCUACAAUUAUGGGGGACUCUUUGCAAUCUGUAAAUCAACCACUUCGUAAGAAAGAGAGUUUUUUUGGAGGAUGUCUCCUUUCCAUUUGCAGGUAGAAGAAGCAUAAUAGAAGAUUCUUUUUUAGCUUGGAGCUUAUACACCACAUAAGUGCGAGGAAAUCUUUAGAAAUUUUAUUUUGCGAGGAUUUACAGUCAACCAACCUUAAAAGAUUUUUCUUCUUUUCAAUUACGGGAAGAUAUGAGGAUAUGCUGAUUUCUUUCCUCUCUUUUUUCUAGGUUUAUAUACCUUGUAAUUACAUAGGUAUAUAUCAGAGGGUAAUAAAUCCUAUUAAACAACAUUCCAAAGAACAAUUGCAAGAAUAUAAGUAUUUUUGUAAAUAAUAUGGUCUAAAGUCGUGAAAUAUUAAUGUAUUCAAAUCACAAAUUGAAGUAAACAAUAAAAAGUAAUACGCCAGAGAUAUUGUAAAGAACAAUUCAGAUUAUUUUGGAACAUUGAACUGAAUAAAAUUUAGUACUGGCACAACUUGGAAUCAUGAACUCCCUAUACCAUUGCAUUUCCUAAUUUUGAAAUCAAACCACAUUACAAGGUGUAUUAUCCAAAGUAGUGAAAAAGCAUAUAACUGCAAACAAUAAUAUUAUGAUGCAAUAUGCAAAAAGGAAAAACACAGAUCAGCAUGCAAGAGAAGCAAUGAUGUGCAGUAUUUAAAUGAAAGUUUAACAAGGACACCUUCCACAUCAGGAAAUUCAUGCCAGCUUUGUCAAAGUUUUGUUUUUACUUUCUCUGACAUAAGACGCAUCAACGGUUCACAGCAAGCCUGAAAACCGCGCAUCAUCUUUAGACCUUUGGAAGCAAGGCAUGCAUGCCUCCAACUUUGGCCCUGGAAAAUGCAGGGGAUUCAUCAAUAACAUCCUCAAAACGGAACUUCCUAUGCUGUCAAAACGUAUGGAUGAAAUCAAGUUAUUAUAAAUUAGUUCUGGAAGAUUUUUAUAUCAAAACUGAAGAGUACUGAAUAGCUGCCUACUACUUUAACUACUCAUACAUAAAUCAACCCAUACACUAACUAAUAAAAGGAAAUAAAAGUAAUGGGGAAAAGGAAACAAAAUUGCCAUUUGCUAGAAGAUGUAAUAACAUUGUCAACAUCCAUGCCUCAGAUUCCAUAUGUACACCCACAAUACAAUAAAAAUGCUUCAAUGUUCAGAAAAAAAAAUCAGUCACCCUGUCUUACACAAAAAAAAAAAUGGAUGAUGGACAUAUAUCAGAUCACUUUCAAAGAUAAAGACUUUCAAACAAUGCAGAAGUCAAUAAGAGUUCUCUCACACCAAAUGGAAAGGCUAUUAUCUUCACAUAAAUUACAUAUAUUGCCUUGAAAGAUACAAUUUGGAUCACAAAGGCUGUAUCUUUUCUCAGUUCUCACUGCAAAUAUAUCUGUUGCAUUUGCUUAGCAUUCACAACUAUUAAAAAUAUAUUCCAGAUCUUUACUAGGAAAUACUUAAGGAUUAUGAGCUCAGAAAGAAAAACUAAUUGAGAAGAGUAAUAACACCAGGCCUGAAAAUAUUCAUUUCUUUAUAAGAUCUCUGGUACAUAAUUUCCAAGUUACAGUAAUUCAUCGUCAAGACAACUGCACAUUGACCAAAGAAGACAAAGCUAAAAAAUUUAACAAUUUAUCCUGCUUCUUACAUUGUCGGAGGGGCUUUAAAGCCAAGUAAAAAAAGAACCUAUUAUAAAAAGAAGGAAAAAAAGAAAACCAAACUACUAGUUAAUUACAAAAAUUUAUUCCAGCAGAUAUUAAGUUCUUUAGCUCCAUCAAAUGUUCAUCAUUUGAAAUAUGAAGUGAACAGCGAAGAUUUGUCAACAUUGUUGAUUGUUCCCAACUUAAAGGCCCAGAAGCAUGCAAUGCCGCUAGAGUGCGGCGAUAAGCAUGCAACUCUAAACUAUGGAUACUUGCUGCUAAUUCCUUUUCAAGAGAAAUGGGGCACUUUUCCUCCUCAUCUCUCACAUCUCCCUCAUAUCUCUCAUCUUCCUCAUCUCCCUCAUCUCUCUCAUCUCUCUCAUCUUCCUCAUCUUCCUCAUCUCCCUCAUCUCCCCAAUGGUAAAAUGAUUCAGCAUCACUACAAAGGUCAUCUGUAUCUUGUCUAGGAUGUGCUAAAAUACAACUGGAAAACUUAUUAGGACCAUUAUUAUUAAUGCUACAACUACCAACAGAGCAUGACAUGCUAUCAGAAUCAUUAGAUUCUGAACUUCUUGCAAGAAAACAAUCAACACCAUUUGGUUUUCCCCUCUCCAUUUCGCAAUAUUUAGUUGAACGGUCAUUAAAGGAAGCAUGCAUGUAUUUUUCACCCAGAUUCAAUCGUGGGUAAGCAACAGCAUCUACCUUUGCUCGUAAUGGAGAUGAAUACCCGGUGAUCACUCGUUGGCGUCCACCAUUUUCGAUUGCUCUCAUCUUCUGAAUGUUUCCAGAGUAUGCUUCAAGACCAGAGGAGCAAUAUGGGGAUGCUCUCUUCAAUGUCUUGGAUGAGACCAUAGGAGAAUCCUGGAAAUCAGCAUGCUUCUGAAAAAAAUCAUCUCCUGCUUGCAAUUUUAGCUUCAUAUCAGCUUGUGGCACCUGGAAACUCAUCUUCUGAUGACAAUUUGAAGUUAACAGCUUGUUGACUCUCACAUCUUCAAAAGUGAUAGAGCCCUGAGGGCAGAAGCCAAAAGUUAGUAAGUUAAUGUAGAAGUGAAGAUAACCAAUAAGAAUCACCAACAAUUUUAGUAUUGAAGAGAAAAAGACUAAGAUCAGUAGUGGACUUGCAAUUUUAAAAAGCCCCAAUAUCCUAACAUAACUACUUGAUAAACAUAAUUUAAAAAAGGAAAAAAAAAAAAAAGGAAUACAUGAACUUGACUGAAGAUGCAAUUCUCAAAUGCCGAAACCAUGAGCAUAACCAAAACCAUUAUUGAACAACUAUUUUAAGAAGUUUGCAUUCGGACCAAUAACAAGAAACAAAACACAAGAUCAAUCACCAAAGGAGGAUAGAAAAUUACUACAAUAGAACCAGAUUAUUACCUGUCCAAUCACAACCCAUUUGUCAUCUAUCCAAGCUUGUCGCACUCUGAUGUUAGACUUGUGGACUUCAAAUUCGUGGCAAGAUCCAAGUAGCCUAACCAAAUAGUAAACCGCACAUGUAACCUUCAAAACCAUAGCACAUUUCCAAGAACCAUCAUUGAACACCUCCACAACAUCACCAGUCACCCAACUUUCCAUACCUUUCACAGGGAGAGGGCAAGGUCUAAUAGCCUUCCUAGACACCCUAUCCACAUUCGCCUUAUUUGUCAUGCCCAGAUAAGAGUCAUACCUAACACUGUAGUUGUGCCCAUUACCGGAGAUAAUUUCAGCACAGUGCCAGGCACCUGAAGGCACUUCCUUUUUGUUCAAUACCUCCACUUUACUCCCUUUCCUGAAUUUCAUGUUGGCAGCAACUUCACUAAUCUAACAUUCCAAAACCUGUCACAACCAAGAAAUUAAAUAAAAAUUUAAUCAGAAAAUUCCAAUGCAUUCCAUAAGAACAAAACAACUACAGAAAGGGUUAUAUUAAUUCCAAUGCUUUGUAGAACUUCCCUAUUUCUAUCUUUUUUCUCUUCAAACCUGAAAUCCGUUUUUUUCCUUCUUAGGAGCUGUUUUCCAUUGAAACAAACAGAUCAGGAAGAAGAGAAGAGAAUGAGAACAACUUUUAAAUAGAUCUUUAAAAACAGUAGUUAAUGAUUCAAAACUUACAUAAAAAAUCCCAUAAUCAAAUCAUAUAAAAACAAAAUCAAGGAAAAUAAAAAUUAAAAGUUUGAUUCUCAAUAUGAAUUUCUUGUACACCCAUCACUCACGGGAAACUCCAAAAUGCCCAAAAAGUAUAAAGAGAAAAUAAAAAAAAAAUAGUGAACAGUUCAAAAAAUUAGUCCCAAUUUUUUUUUUUAAAAAAAAACAUCAGAAACUUUCGAGAAAACCACAAGCAAACUUUGAUCACCAAAAUCCUUAUAAGAAUUAAUCAAAUCAAAUCAAAGUAAAGCAAACCAAAAUCACUAAAUACAUGACAACAAAAACUCAAAAUCCGAAAAAAAAAUAAAUUAACACAUACACAACCUAAAUUUCUCAUCAGCAUGCAAACACCACGAAACUAUUCACUCAUUUCCAAUUAAAUAAACAGUAAUUGAAAAAAAAAAUAAACAAAUAAUAUUGAAAAUUUGAAAACUCUGAAACUUACCUUCAUCAAGAACCAAGCAGAGCAGAAGAUGAUUUUCGAAACCUGAGAGCUGAAUCGAUUUUGCAGAAAAAAAUAUAUGAAAACUAGGGUUUGUUAAAAUGAAUUUAUUUGAAGAAAAUAAAAAAAUAAAUACAAAGUUAAUUUAUACUAAUUUUGCAACCCACAAAAAGUGGAGGUGCGCAGUGCGCACAACCUACACCUAAUUCGUAAAGCAGGAAAGGUAUAAGCGUAGAGGAUCGAGAUCCCGAGUUCAGAAGCACUCUCCUGAUCUUGCCACGUUGGCAAUGAUGGGUUUUUGAUGAGGUGUCAAGAUCAGAGGAGGGAUGAGAAAUAUUCGGGUGUGGAAUGGAGGUACUACGGUUGUCGGAGCAGGAAUUCGUAUUCUUAAAUAUUUGUGAUGAUAAGUAUUUGAUGACACGUGUACAGUCAAAUAGAUUAUUGGGAAUUUUGGGAUUUAUCUCUUAGGUAAUUUUUAAUCCUAGACUCCUACUACAACUGCACCUCUCCAUUUUAGAAUUUUUUAUUUCUUUCAAACUUAUCUGUUACGUGCCUUCUCCAUCAGUUUUAUUGGAAAUCAAUUAACUAAAUAUAAAUACUCUUACCUGAAUUUGUAUUGAUUUUCCAAAUAAACUAACCAAACACCAUUCCAUAUUCCAUAUGUGUGGAUUGAUCUUUAUUGAUAUUAUUUGUACUCUUUUAAUUUAAAGAAAAACUAAAAAUAAUUUUAAUCCCAACCAUAUACUAAUACCCUUCUUAUACAAUUUUCAAACCGCCCUAAUUUUGACCAUCUUUGAAAAUUUGGAAUAGAGAAUGAGAAUGAAAAAUCAAUAUCGUCUAACAGGAUUUUGAUUCCACUCUUCUACAUGGUAUAAUAAUUCAUCCUUACUCUCAUUUUGUUUCCAUUCCUAUUCUCGGGUAACAAACGGACUUCAAUUGUAUUGAAAAAGGGGUCAAAAGUAUUGAUUAUAAGAACCCAAUAAAUAUUUGAAAUUUUACAUGUUUUGGGGUUUCAUUGAUUAAGAAUUAAAAUACAGAAUUAAAAGAGAAAAUUGAAGUUUGGUCUUAUUCAAGGGGCGGAAAGGCAAGAGUGGAUGAAUGUACAAGCUGGACAUUGAAGUUUUGUUGUACCAACCUCUCGUGUCAUUGUUGCCUAAUCUCAAGUGGUAUAAUAUUUUAGAAUUCUUGGAAUGAUAGAGCCAUCAAGCCAUCAAAUAAAAGAAAGGAAUGGGGGUAGUGUAUGAGUUGCUUCAAUUGACCCAGGAUGAGGACCAAAAAACAAUGUCAAGAUUCCUCCCCACAGGCAUCGAUAUGAUGCCCUUCAUUGCCUUUUUCUUAAUGAGAAGCAACAGAGAUUCCAAACCUUGUGUAAUGUGAGACAGAUCCAAAACCCAACGAUGUUUGCAAUGUAAACCAGGGCAGGCAGCCAGUUAUUGUGGGGUUGGAGCCUGAGGCCAGCAGCCUCACCAUUGCCCACUAGGCAAACCUGCAACCUUACCACAGAUGGCUAACAGAUUUAUCAUUUAUAUGCAGUUGCUGUAAACAAUGCAUGGUCCCUGAAUUUUCUUCCUUAGAAUGACGGUUAAUACAAGCCUUCCAGGAAGAUUGGGGUGCUCAACAACAGCAUCCCACCGUGAUUAACAAUAGUAUCAACCCAUGAGAACAUGUAGAAAGUUUCUCUUCGAUUAAAUAAACUUAUAAAAAGAAUACCAUAUUUCCAGCCUUAAUCUUACAAUUGCCGGUUUGACUCAAAACCAUGACAGCCUAUAGCCAGUUUCAGAAAUUCUGCGUUGGGCAUCAUUUUAUACAUAUAAUACCCACAUAGAAAGAACACGAUAGUGGGUUAUCUAGCUGGGUCCAUGUUUUCUCCUUAAAGGCCAAAUAUCCCAAGAGUAGGCAGCACAAAAUCUGAAUAAACAAGGCCAACAGAUCCCUCCCAAGACAGAUACGAGAGAAGCGUGCUUCAUACCAUCCAAGGUGUUACACAUUGGAAGGUUAGCAAUUCUGGAUCGUUAAUAGCGGGGCAGAGUCUAGAAACCUGAGAAAAGUAAACACAUAGCUUAUCUAGAGAUCAAAACGUGCAUGCUGGCCUGAGCAUUCAAAAGAAACAACAAACUUGGGGAUGAAUUAGAAAGGUGAAUAAGGUUGGCUUUGAAUUUGCAACCAUGGACUUGCCUCUAUUUCAUAUUGAAGUUCAGAUGGCAUAAAUGUCCAGAAAAGUACAAAAUACCAAUGUUUCAGAUCCAUGCCAUUCAUCACGUAUAAAUGCUGCAAAUUGUUAGAAAGGACAGAAAAAUAAAAACAGACAGCAAAGGAGGAAACCCAUCUAAGAAGAUAAGAUACAUCUUAGGGGAAAUAAGAAAAACUCUAAGAAGGCAUAGGGGAGCCUAAAGGUGCAGCAAAACCCUUUUAGCCAAAGAAGAUCCAAAUUGCUACCCUAAAUUCAAUAUACAAAUGCAUCAAAAGGCAAAGAAAUAUCCACAAUUUCUCUCAUAGAUUAAGUGCUAAGAAAUAGCCAAUCUAGAAUUAACCAUCUGAUCACAUUACUCAGGUCCCACAAUAAUGUGAAUCUUACCCGUUUUCUCUAGUUUCCCAAGCCCCCAUAAGAGUGCCAAAAUGCGAUGAACUGUUGGCACUAGUCCUACAUUUUGUCUCUGUAGACCAGGCGAAUGCAGGCUCCAAUACCCAACCAAAGGGCCACUGCUGUAUCAAUCAAAAAGACGGUCUUCAUUACUGGACAACAAAAUUGAUUAUAAAAUUUAUUAACACUCUCCAAAAAAAAGGAAGGUACUGUUAAAACAAUAACUCAAACCACUUCAGCUUCACCAACCAAUCUCAAGAGAAAGAUACAUGAAUACUGCCAGUAACAGUAUGCUCUGGGUUAUCAGUGGAGAACACAUUAAAGUUUAAUUUCAAAUGGCUACAGGGAAAGAUACAUGUAUUUUAGAUACUCAAUUUGUUCUUGUUACAAUAGAGACUAGAAUUUCAAUCUCUAACAUGAUACUUUGACUUUUAGUAAACACCUAUAUCCCUAAAAUUAUAUAUGAAUGGAAUAUAAUUGAGUAGCCAAACUAUCAAGCUUGAAACAGCUUGACCAUUCCAGCUAUAAGCCACAAGUGAAAUAGAAUCACUAGUUCACUGAUAAACCAGUAGGCUAUAAAUUUUGCUUACAAACUCAGAUCUUGCUUACCAACCAUGAUACAAUACUGCACAUUUCUGCAAUUAUCAUUCCUGUUAUCAAUAAUUAACAGGUUGUCUCCACAUGAAAUCCUUCACAUGCCAAAGUGGUUAAAAACAACACAACCACACAAACAUGUGGCUAGUAAUAGUGGCCUGCUUACAAUUACUUAUCUCAAACCUGCAGUUUUUCAGUUUAUACAGCAAGAAAUCAGGUCUUUACACUAGGAAAAUUUAAAAAAUUGAUCAAUUUAUGCAACAAUAAAUGCCAGGAGUAUCUUAGCAUUUGCUCUAUUAAAAAAGGAAAAAUCAUAUAUUGGCACAAGCAAAUGUCAGCCAAUUUGAUAACUUAUACAAAAAAAAGUGUAUGGACUUAUGGUUCAUACCUCGAGAGAAUGCAGAAGGUGUAAUCAAUGUUAAAGGAGUGCCCAGCAUUCUAGAGUUGUUUAGAUCCAUUGAUCCAGGGAAAGAUGAGGACAGUCAACCUAGUAGAUAAGAAGGGGGGAAAAAAGGAGCAACUGGUAAGUAAUGCACAAGCCCAUCAGAGUGAUCCCUAUAUAUAAAAAACACACUAUAGGAUAGUGUAAUGGACCUUAUCUUCUUGGACGGAUAAGCUUACAAGGAUAAGCGUCACAGCUAACAACAUAUUUCUUCCUUGAUGACUUAAACAAAGGCAAGAAGCAAUUUACAAAGAAUGACCAAUUGAGUGCUGAUUUAACCAUGUGAAGGCCUAGAAAGGGAUCGAUCUCCUUUGAACUUUCCAUUUAUGAGAAUAUCAUAGGUUACAUCAUCAGGUACAAGGCCUCUGUCAAGCAUCUCAUCAUGCAAUGUAAAAGCCUCUUUCAAAUUCCCUUCCCUGAAAUAACCAGCUAUCAGUGUGUUAUAAAUAAGAACACUAGGAGUCAUAUUUUUCCUAUCCAUCUCUUCCAAGAUCUUCCGUGCAUUCUCUAGCUGUCCUUUAUUGCAAAGUCCAUUUACCAGAACAUGAAAUGUGAUAAUAUCAGGCACAAUACCCUUGGAAAGCAUCUCCAUGUAAAGAUCUGAUGCAAAGACAAGUCUACCUUCUUUCAGCAAUCCAUCAAUCAAAGUUGUGUAUGUUCCUAAAUCACAAGGAAUCCUGUCAUUGAUCAUCUUCUUAUACCAAACAAGUGCUGCUUCCAUGUUAUUCAGAUCUCUGAAGCCACUAAUCAUGCUGUUGUAAACAAUUCUAUUUGGGGAUAAGCCAACUUCAAGGAGUUCAAAGAAAAGAUCUUGUGCACUUUCCAUAUCCCUUCUUUUGCAAAAACCAUCAAUAAGAGCACUAUAUGCUGUAACAUCCAAUUCAAGACCCUUUUCUCUCAUUUCAUCCCGCGUUUUCAAAGCGAGAUCAAUCCUAUUACUUUUGCAGAACCCAUUAAUCAAGCUAGUGUAAGUAACAACAUUUGGGGAAACUCCAAAUUCACACAUCUCUCUAUAAACAGCCAAUGCAGAAUCGAUGUUACCCUCCUUGAUAAAUCCAUCUACAAUGCUGUUGUAAGUCAUACAGCUUGGAAUGAAACCCUCCUCCAAAAAAUUCUUCAGCUUAUCCCUUGCCUCUGACAUUUGGCCAACUUUGCACAAACCAUUGAUAAUUGUAUUAAAUGUAAAGUCAGUAGGGGCAAUAUUUAAGCUCAGCAUUUGGUCAAACAAGUCUAAGGCUUUUUCACUAUCACCUUUUUUGAAAUUCCCAUCUAUCAAAAUAGAAUAAGUGACCACAUUUGGUUUCAAAUCCCUUGCGAGCAUGUCUGAGAAUACACUGGAUGCCAUAUCCAUAUUCCCUUUCCUGCAGUGGCCAAGUAUCAUGUCAUUGUAAGAAACUACAUUGGGUACCAUUCCUUGAUUUACCAUAUUAUCCAAUAAACUGCAAGCUUCAUCCAUCUUGCCUCCUUUGCAUAGCCACGACAUCAUGAUAUUAUACGUAAAAAUAUUGGCAACACCACAAUCAACCGCUUCAUCAAACAGCUUGGAUGCUUCUUCCCACAAUGGAGCUUUCAAGUAACCCCGUAAUAGGGAAUUCACAUUAAACACACUAGGCGGGAUACCAUUGAGUUUCAUUUGAGUGUACAGUUCAGAAGCCUUUUCAAUGUUCCCACUGUUACAGCAACCUUCAAUCAAGACUGAAUAUGUAACUUUGUUCGGAAAAAGUCCAUCUUCAGUUAUCUUAUUAAACAAAUUCAAAGCACUAUCCAAAUUGCCUUGAGCACAAUACCCCUUCAUUAAACUCGUUGCAACCACCAAAUUCAUCGGCUUCCCACAAUUUAUCAUCUCCUCCUUUAGCCUUAAAGCCUCCACCAUAUUUCCCUGUGCCACACAAGCAACAAUAACACUAGUGAAAGUGGCCUCUGAAGGAACCCACCCCCUCUCUUUCAUCUCCUCCAACAACUCAAGACCCAAAUUCGAAUUUGGUUUCUUGCAAACAGCCUGAAUAAUAAUACUAUAUGCCCCUGCAUCAAGUUUAACACCCCUUUCCUUUGUUUCCCUAAAAUACUCCUCCGCCUCCUCCACCCUCCCUUCUUUCAGACAAGCUCGAACCAUGACAUGUACUGUAAAGUGAUCACCAUAUAUUCCUCUCAAAACCAUUUUAUUAUACAAAUCUCGCAAUUCCCCAAUCAUAUUUCUCCUAACCAGAGCAGUCAAAAGAAUAUUCAUAUACGGAACCCAAGGAAUCACAUCCUGACAGAUCAUCGCAUUGAAACAAUCGAUUGCAUUUUCAAUUCGAUUGGCCCUAAUGUAAGCAUUUAGCAAAUAAUUAAAAACCCGAUGAUCUAAUUCAAAAUCGAACCUUUUUGCGCAGUUGAUUAGAUGAUCAACAAAAACAACUGGACUGGGAUCCGAAUCACCCGAGACAUAUCGAUUAAGCAAUUUCCGAGCAUGUCCAUGAGUCUCAGGCGACCGCAUCAAAAUGUGGAGCAAAACACAGUAGGCAUCUACCCCUCUGAUAAAACCACGCUGCGUUUCGGCCCGUUUAAAGUAUCUCAGAGCUGAUUGUGGGUCAUUGACGUGGCACAGAAGAGCAUCUAUUACAUGGUUUUGUGAGAGAGGCGUGGUUUCUUGGUGAAUUUGCGAAGUGGGUACGGUGUCUUGGGAGUAUCUUGGAUAUGGGGAAGAUGAGUUUCCUGGAAAACUGGACUCUGGACUGAUUUUCUCGGGAAAAUUGGCUUUCGGAUUGGGAUCCUCGGGAAAAUGUGUAAGUGAUUCUGAGGUGGAUUUCUCAAGAAUCUCUGGUUCUGAUAUGGCUGGUGGGAUAGAAACAGAGCAGACACAUUUCGGGUUUGUGAAAGGCCAUCGUAAAAUUGGAGAGAAUGUGGACAAAGAAAUUGCAGAUCUCAUGCUUGGUUUCUGCAGAAACGAAGGGCUCUACAAAACCUCGAAGCUGUUAAACUUAAACCCUACCGGUCCUCGAUUGUGAUUUGGGCCUGGUUUGCUAUGGGCUGGGCUUGUUUGCAUCGGGUCGGAGAUUUUAAACCCAAGCCCAAUUUAGUCGGGCUCUGACUGAAUCUCAUGUUUCUAUGAUUGAAUAAGUAAUAAUUUGCCUAUGGCUAUAUUAUCAAACCUUCUAAAAAGACAGCACCAAUCAGAUGAUGCCAUAUAUCUAUUUGUUUAUAUCCCAACUUUGAUCAUAUUUAUUUAUACCCUUAUCUAAAGGUUUAAAUAUUAUCAUAUACAUUUUAUCACUUCAUAGAUGCCACCAUGGUACCUAACAUUGUCCUAAUAAUUUUUAUAAAAAAAUUAUAUACUUUCUAUUGGUUACGAUAUCAUUGAUUAUGUCUGAAAAACAAAUUUUAUGAUACAAUUCAUUGAUAAUGAAAAAUUAAAGUAUAAAUAUAAUAUAAAACUUGCAAUGUUAUGUAUAAGAAAAGAUAAUUUUUCAAAACUAUUUUUAAAACAAUUACCAAACAUACCCUAAAUUUUCCCAAUCCGUGAUUCAUAUGUCCCAAUCCUUAGUUCUAUUCUUGACUCAUGAACCCCUUAGCAUGAUCUCUUCAAUCAACUAUCAAAUGCUCAUGAAAAAAUACCAAAUCAAACAUAAUGAUAAUCAUAAGAAUUUGAUUGAUUAAUGACUACUAUCAGUUCAUAUUUAAUAUUGUGACCGAAAUACAAAUAGAAUGUCCUCUAACAAGAUUGUGUGGUGUUGAAUGCGAUGAUACAAUUUGCUUCACAGCCUCAAGUGAAUAUACUGUCCAUACCCCAAUUAUAUUCACAACAGGAAAUUUGAUAAAUUUUGCUUUGCAUUGAGCUUUAUAGGAAUCCAGAUGGAUGGGUCAUGCCUUUGCUAUAAGAAAUUGAAAAUGUGCAUUGUAGAGUGGGACUGACUACAAUCCUGAAGGUUGAGUGAAUAGAUAUGUAAGUAAUGGAGCAACCACUGCUACGCUUAAACUGUUCCCCAGCAAUGCGUAUCUGCAUACAAAAGCAACUCAAUUAUAUACAAAAUUUAUUCAUCACAAAUAUUUAUGAUUUACCAAACUUUGCUGUAAUCGACUAAUCCCACGGGGCCCUGAAGUUAAGGACUGGAUAAGCCUCCAGUGGCCCUAAGGGGACUCGAACUGGUGACUAUUGAGGAGCAAACCCAAAGCCAGACCAACUGAGCUACCCCUUAGGGUUAAACUUUGUUGUACUCUUACCAUGAGGCCAAUAGAUUUUUUUAUCCAGAUUGAAAAUGAAUUAAAGUGAGAAAAAGAUGCAACUGGGAACUAUGCAAACAGGUCAGAGAUUAAAAGAAACAGAUAACAACAUAUGAUGUGGUAAUUACUUAUUUCCACUAUAAAACACCCAACCCAUGAAAACAUAUAAAUUGCUCCAUGCUAAUAGGACUUUUUCAGAAGGAGCUGAAUGUUCAGUUUCAUCAAAGCAAGUGUUAUAUCUUUUAUAGAAACAGCAAUAUAUCUCAUUAUAUGUUGCACUUGAUGAGGCAUGCAAACAUAAUGGUGAAACAUGAUACUAUUAAGGAUUGGACUGUUAAAGAAGAAACUUCUAGGGAGCUCUCCUGAGGAGAGGCAACUGCUAAGAUGAUGAAAAUGUACAAAAUUUUAUGGUUUCGUCCUAUAAAGCGAAGCUAUAAUACUCGGUCUCUCCAAUUUUCUGGGUUUUAUCUACUAAAGGGAAGCUAUGAUACUCGGAUUCUCCAACUUCAGCCAGCGUAUUCAUAUCAACACAACACCUUAUGGGUGUGAGUAUAUAUAGCAUCAUUGUUUAAUACUCAUAUUUUGUUUUGGAUAUGGUUCUUUGAUUCUAAUUGAUUUCCUUUUACUACUACCACAUUCCUUAUCAGAUAGUUACAUUGAAGAAAGAGAGAGUUGCUGGAACAUGACCUUUUAGAGUAAUAUUAAAAUAUAAUAAAGAAAAGAAAAGAAAAGAAAUAGAUAAAAGAGAAGGAACAAAGCUUUUAUUCUUUGUUAUGAUCUAUCCUAGUGUCCAUAUUCAUUAUUGGGAACCUUUUUAGCUAAGUCUUAUUAUUAUAUCCUAAAAUUUUUACAUCUAAAAUAUCAUCCACCAAGAAACAUAACCUACCCACACCAGAACUCAAACCCAUGCAACAUUUAAGUCAAGGGUCAAGCCACUUGAUUGUAGGACUGGGAAACAGUUCUAUGGGAUUCCAAAAGUUGGUUUCCAUGUGAAAUACAUGCUUUAGAUCACUAAUCCUAUCAACAAUGUAAACAUUAUCUUAAGAUCAUAAAAAUUAUAUUUCAUUCCACAAUUUAACUGGAAAGUGAAAAAUAAACACAAAACUUAGAAUAUGUUAGGAAAAGAAAUGUCAAUUUAUCUAACAACUAAACGCAACAUGAGACUAGCAAGAGCUUAGGGUAAAUUAUAGUUUCUUAACCAGAUCUCCCAUCUGUUUUAUUAGUAAAUUGGUAAAAAUUUGUCAAAGUUCAUUGUUCCUACUUUCAUCCAAUCCUCACACAAAAUCAUAAUAACAAAAACAGAGGGAUAAAUGUAACAUACCGCUGUCUAAGGUUUACAUGCUGUGGAAAGUGAAAAUCCUCUGGGAAAGAAUGCAGAUUAGCAACCUAAAAGUUAUCAAAAUCAUAAAUUAGUUGAUAAGAGACAAAGACAAAAGAAGAAAGAGAUAUGAGCAAAAUUUACACACCUCUCUAGGGGUAAAAUAUCUAAGACACUGCUCCUCCAACAAGGAUGCUUUAUCCUUCUUUGACUGCAAGUCGCCCAUUUUAUAGAAGUCAUGAAAAAUGAAAAUGGUCAUAGCAAUAAUUUCUAUAGUGUGAACUAACCUUGAAUGCAAACUAAAUUUAACUCAGAUAUUGGGAGUGUUGCAGAGAACUACCAUGGGUUGCACAGAACACUGGGGGCCGAAUUAAUUGCGGGAUGUGAACUAAACAAUCAAAUAUUUUGAAACUAAAUCUGGAUAUUGAUCCAGUGAAAUGCCUGGUUGAAUUAGACCAGGGUUUUUGGUCGCAUCCAUCCAACAUAAAUAAAUAACUAUUGGGAACCAUUGGAUGCUAAAAAAAUUCUGCAAUCUUUCAACCGUUCCUAAAUUUUACAUCAUGUAUAAAAAUAAGAUCAUCACAUCUAAGGGCUAAUAAGUAUUUGAGCUCACCAAACAAAUGAACUGCCAUGGCAAACAAGCCCAUAAGUCCAUUUGAUCAAGUAUGAUGAACUCAAAACAUUGCGAUGAGCCAGGUUGCUGAAACCUUCAUGUAAUGGCCAAAGCAACCAGACCAGCUAAACAGACAAAAUUUUAUAACAGUAGUCCAAACUAACGGUUGCAAGAGUGCCUGAUAUAAUAUGAGAAACAAUCAAGACUAAGUUUUUAAAAUAAGAAUAUCUAUCACGAAUCAGCUCUAUGCUGUUUAAGAGACUGUCUUUACAGGACUCACUCAGAUAUUCAAGAAACAGUGAACAUAAUUGAAAUUCAUACCUGGCCAGUUGCCAAAAGAGAGCCAGUACCCUUCACAUACCGAUAAUAACUUUUUGUAAAACAGCAGCAACGCUUUGAGUCAGGAUAGACAAUAUCUAUGAUCUUUUUAAGGAUUCAUUAAAAGAGAGAGAGGGGUUUAUUCAAUAAAAAGUACAACAUGACUAAUUACAAAUGGUACAGGUAAUCAACGGGAAUAAGCAAGGAUACCCAUAGCACUUCCCCACCUCUCUAUCAAGCUCAAUGGAACAGAAAACUGGUCCCAAGAAUUACUGUCAGAUCUGUCUCUUUCAUUGUUCUCCAACUCUCCAGAAGCAUCUGUAGAAACACUAAGGGUGUCCAAGUAGCUGGACUCUGUUUCUAAUGGGUUGAUAGUAUUCUUGAAUUCAAGAAAUCUCUCCACUGGCUCACAUGAUUGGAGCAACUUAUCCCAGAUCUUCUCUGAUUGAUCAUGUUCAUCAAUCAGUGAGUCAUCCUCAUGACCAAAUAAUGGGCUUGGAGUUGAAAGUAGUUGGUUAUUGAAGAGUUGGUUUUCAAAUGAUAAAGGUUUCCUUUUUGCCUGUAGCAAUAAGUAGAUUACAUUUAUCAAUUAAAAAUCUGGACAAGUGUGUGUAUAGGACUUCUUAAAAUCAUGAUAAUUUUCCACCCUUGUAUCCAACAAAUGACCAUAAAUUGGUUAGGCUUUUAGUUUGAAUUGCAUGAACUUCCACAAACCACCUUGAAUGAGACCUGAUUUUUUAUAACAACCCUAAUUUUUAAAGGGAAAUAUUUAUCCAAUUCAUAACCCAUCCUAAGUUCCAUCACCUUGUUUAUUCUUAUAUGGAAAAGAUAAGAAUAAUGACAAUAAUAAUAGUUAUAAGUGAGACAGCAUUUACCAGGCAAAAGUAUCGUGGCCUGGAAUAUGGCACGCCAAAUUGUAUUGGGCUCAAAAUAAAUUCCUGGGUAACAAAACCAGUUUUUGAUAAUAUCUCAAUCAUUUUCUCAUGUGUAUCAGAUGUCUGCAACAAAAAAGACAGUACAAAAGAUAAGCAAAGAAUACUUGAUUGAAAAUAAAAAAUUUAUAUGCCAAGUUCACAGACCUCGAAUCCAACAACAUUCUCAACAAAAAGCAUAAGUGGAGGAUGUAAGGUGUGCUGUAUAAGUUCAAGAAUCUUGAGAAAAGAAAAUGCCCGGGCAUCGCCAGAGUGCUUUUGGAGACCUAAUCACAAAAUAUUUUGAGAAAACAUCAAUCCAAAGAUAAUUCAAAAAACAAGAAAAGGAAAGCAACAAUAGUUCACCUUGUCGGGUGUAUGGCUGGCAAGGAGGAGAAAGAAGCCAUGCAUGAGCUCUAUAUCUAUCAAGAUCAGCAGCAGUAAGGCUCUGGAUGUUACCCUAGGACCCAAAAAAAAAAGUCCAUUUUAAGCAUCUUAUAAGCCAAAUGUCAAAUUUUUGAAAUGGGUACCUCUGAUUUUCUUAUUUUUGAGCAGCUCAAAAGCCAAAUACCAAAAAUUUGAAAAAUGGGCAAUUAGGAUUUUCCAUUUUCAUGAACAGCCCAAAAGCAAAAAAUAAAUUAUAAAUAAAUAAAUAAAUAAAUAAUAAUAAUAAUAAUAAGCUGCCUACUUUCGGGUGGAAAGCAGUAUUCCUCCAUUUAAUUGCUACUGAGAAACAUAAGGAAAAAGAAGGAAAAAAAGGUUUAUAUUUAUGUUGGUUUGAUUCUAAGCACAAUUAAAAUUUAAACCAAAGAGUAGGAAGUAGAGUGAGGUGAAUGCCAAAUUCUGAAAAAUCUAAAGAAAAAGGGUUUUUCUGCAUAUUGCGAAUAGGAGUUGAAGUGGAAAGAGAAGAAAACCUGGCAAGGGCGGUGACCGAAAUUGUGUUGAUAAACAUCGUUGGCAAUGUUGUUGAUGUCGAAUGCUUCGACAAUUUUCGCAUUCACACCUCCCCUCUUUAAAGAGUAUCUCUAUCGAAACAUACACGCAGAGAUACACUGAAAUUAUAACGAACACAUAUAUGCAUCUACACAUAUGGAGAGAGAGAGAGAGAGAGAGAGAGAACCAUUCCGCCGAUGCCACUGUAGAAUUCGAGGACUCGCCAUGGAUCCUCACCUUGGGGAUUGCACAAACCCUUCUCCAUUGAUGGGUGCUUCCCCUGUGAGAGAGAGCGGCGCCAACUCAGUGCCUUCACGAAAGUUGCAUAUCAUACGACGUCAAUUGUCGUCUCUAGGGAUGAACUUGGGAAAAUCAAAGCAAGAUAUGGUUUUAUACUACAAUCAAAUUAAAUUAUGUAAUUUACUUUUUAUUAAUAAAAAUUAUUAUAGAUGUAAAGAAUUAUUAAAAUAGUUCUCAAGACCAUUUCUUUUUCAUGUAAGUUUUUAAGAGUUUUUACAUUUUAUAUUAUUUUUAUAAUUUUAAAAAUAAAAAAUAAAAAAUAUAUUCAAACGGACACUUGAUUAUUUGCACCUUCAUGCAAUAUUUCCAAUUUUUACCAGCAAUUAGGCUAAGAAAAAUAUUGGUUAAUGUGAAAUUGUUGUUUAAUUUGACAUGCAUUUUGUUCAUUUCUUGUAAGUUGUAUUUAAUUUAGGGAUUUUUGUCUCGAACUUAAUAAAGAGCUGCACUUUAGUACUCUAGCAUCAUUUAUUAACAGACUUACUUUUUUUACACUUCGAUUCAAAUUUGGUAGAAAAAACUUUAAAUUAACGUUGUUGAAGUGAAUUUUCUAAAAAAGAUGUUCGCAUAAUUAUUCAUAAUUUUUUCCUUCCACUAGAAAAUGUGGCAACUUAAUUUAAACUAUUGACAUAUUUCUUUACAUUCUAAAUAUAUUGUAUUAUUCUUUAGUAAGACGAUAUGUUAUGUUAUAUUUAAUUUGUGAAAGGAUAAAAUAAAAAAUAAUAUAGAAUGUAUAUUUUUUUAAUAUUUAAAAUAAAAUUUAUAUUAUAUUCCAAUAUUUUUUAUUUAAAAAAUAAAAAAUUUCUUAUAUUUAAUUAUAUUCAUGAUUAAAAAAUAUUUAAGUUUUAUAAAUAAAUUUUUUUAUAUUAUGUUAUUCAAUAUAUAAAAAUAAUUUAUAUAUCAUACAUUAAUAUUAUUUUAUAAAUACUUUUUUAACCAUAAAUUUAAUUUAUAAUGAAAAUUUUUAUUUUAUAAAAUGAUUACAUAAAAAAAUUGAUAAAAAAAAAAUUAUGAUACAUGAAAUGAAAUAUGCAUAUUUCAUAUAUACAAAGGAUAAAAAAAAGAUGUAUUUCAUCAUUCAUUAAAUAUGGGAUAUUAUAUAGUAUUUCAUCUUUUAUCCUAUCACAUUUUUCCCUUGAUGGCAAAUCAUCCUUUGUAGUUAAGGCACUUUUGAGUUGUGCUUUAAGAAUUUUAAUAUACGAUUACAUCAUAUGGCAAGUUAACAGGAUAUCUUUGUCCAUCCAUAUGUCAUGGACUUUUAGUCCAAUUAUGCAUUUUUAUUGCCUUUGUACCCUAUUAUAUGCUUUUGAAAUCCCUAAAGCACAAAUAUCCCACUAUCGGGGAAUGGCUCCCUUUCCUCUAAUUCUUAAUGAAUGAAAUAAUUAAGCAUGCCAUAGAAUUUACCCUAAUAAGAUCCCAUUGAUUGUAACAGGGGACAAAGAUAUUCCUUAACUUAAGGUUUUUAGACUUUUUGUCUUAUAAUUUAAAAGAAAUUUGAUGUAUUCUAAUAUUGAUUCCUUUGGGUAGGUUUAUAGGUUACAAGGGGAUAUAGAAUGUGGUUAAUACGAUUAAUCAUGUUUCCAAAACUUGGGUUUAGAUUACGGAGACAUGAGGGAAAAAAAAAAGAGGAAAAAGUGGAGAUAGGGUUAAGUAGGUUCGGAAGAAGGAAAGAAGGAACAUAGCUGAGAUUUUACCAAGAGUCUAACUGAAUCACAAUGUUUUGUUCGAUUGUUCUAGUCCCGCAUCCCAUUCAUUUGUAUUUUGAUUUCAUUUUUUUAUACUUUGAUCUCAUUUGUUUGUACCUGAUUCCAUAUAUUUGUGUUAUCUAUCCGAAUGAGAUUGCAAACUAAUCAAUAUCCUCAAAUUUUCUUGUAGCAAUGAGAUAGGUCAAACACUUAGGAAGAAUUAAUUUCAGUUUAAUUAAUAAAAAGGGAAACAAGAAAAAUAAAAUAAUUGUUCUUUUGUGAUUGUACACCUUUCUUUAAUGUCUUUCCAAAUAAUACAUCAACGAGUCCACUGAGGCUUAUGCCUCAAGCCUCCAGGCAUGACAAGCGUACUUGAGCCGUGCCUUUGCCAAACCUUGACCCGUAAGUCUAAUGCAUUUUUUCCUUGCGCCUCAUCGCAUUUUCGAGGCGCUUUGCCAUGAAGCACGCCUCAACAUGCACCUGAAAACAUAUCAUAGAAUGAGAAAAGGAAAAAAAAUAAAUUAAAAUAUGAUAAUUAUUUAGAUGGAAAGGAAAAUAUUCCACUGCAAAAAACUUAAUUAUAUAUACAAAAGAGAAUAUACAUACAUAUACAUGAUGGGUAUCAAAAGGGCACUAGUGGUAGGUUUGGCUCGAUGGAAAAAACAUGGAAACAAAGGAAAACAGAAGUUGAAACGAAGACAAAAACAGAGGGAGAAACUAGAGAGAGAUGAGCAAAGGGAAAAAUGAAAGAAGUACUUUAACACUACGUCCACCGUGAAAUAGAGAGGAGGCAACCUCGACAAGAGAGAAAACAUAGAGACACAUUGCCGAUGAGAGUUGUCAAGAUUAGGGUUUUUUUCUCUUUUCUUGUCCUAUUUGUAUUUGAUAUUUGUUUUGAUUUUUGUUUUUUUUGAUACAUCAAUGACUCCAUUGAGGCUUACGCCUUAACCCUCAAGGCAUGAAAAGAGCACUUGAGGCAUGCCUUAGUCACGCCUUAACCUUUAAGGCAUAUGCCUUCUAGGGUUGAUCUUUUCUUCCUUGCACAUCACCUCAUUUUUGCAGGGAGACCCUUCAACGUUGUCUUUCCACCACCAUUAAUUGCAAGGAUUGAAUUGCUCUUAUAAAUGGUUUAAGACGUGCAAGCAAGCAAGCAAGCUUGACCAAAACUCCCACUUAUGAACCUGAAUAGAUUGUUUAUGCCAUGAGACUUGCAAUUCUAUUUCAGCUUACCACCAAGAAGUGUGAUUAAAAAUACAAAAUAGCAGAGAAGAGACAAACAUAGAUUAAUUAUCAUAAAGAAACUCCACAACCUUACUUGAAAAACAAAAGGAAUAGACAAAAAUCUUUCACCUUACAGCUAAAUAAAUAAUGUUCAUUAGGUUUCUUCAUCAUCAUUGCAACCUAUGUUUGGAAAUUCACAUUCAACAAAAGAGGUCAUACUCUGGCCUCGGAUAUCGUCUGAUAGUUUCUGCCCUUUUCAAUACCAAAACAACUCUAUUUUUGAAGCAACCAUCAUGGCAAAAAUGUAAACAUUUUCUAGUUAUGUACUAUUUUAUGGCAGAAAUAUACAAAGCUAAACCCAAUUGUGCUUCCAGAGAACAUUCAAUUGGUAAGCACAAGCUUUCCACAUGAAGCAAUAUCCUUGCCAACAGGGGACACAAAAAGGAACUUCAUACAGGCAGCAAAUAUAACCUCCAAGAUUUUCAAAAGAGCAUAUCAAUUUCUUCCGCAUUCUACUGAGAUGUGUCCCAUCAGAGAGUCAACCAUUCACAAUAUUUCAGGUCAAACCCAUGAAACAAACAAUACAUUAUUCCUUAACAAGAAUCCGUGCGGCCAUAUUAAAACCAAAAACCAUGUGUAUCAUGAUGCACUGGGAAAAAUAUUAGAAAAAUAAUAGGGAUAAUAAAUACCUGUAAUUGAAUUUCAUUCACCAAUAAUCCCGGCAAGAACACAAUCCAUCUUUGAAGUGGUGGAAUCUCUUAGCAUCUCGUAUGAUGAGCUCCCUGCCAACAAGCUUUGAAAUGAUCUUCAGGGCAGUGUGACAGUCACCACAAACACGAAGAUUCUUGAUUACCCUAAUAGGUGAACGCGCUGGGCUGCUGAGAAGGCCGUAAGCAACAGCAAGUCUCUCACUAUGAGCAAGAAGAGCUUCCUCCUUGCCUUCUUGGUCUAUGUCAUGCAACACAAAUCUGGUCUCUGGCACAUAACCAGCCUCUUUCAUUUGUGCCUUCAAUCCCCUUAGUUUUGCGUAGAUCUUGUCAUUCUCAGGAUGAGAUGUAUCCCCCGCUCGAUAUUCAUGGACCCUGCUCCUAACCUCUAAAAGAUUUUGACUGGCCAAUUUCUUCUUCUCUUUCUCUUUCUCAAGGUCAGAAGCUUUCACUGGUACAAGGCCUGCUUUUGAUUGCUCAGUUAAGCGGGAGGGCUCCAGAUGCUCAACAAGCUCAGCACAGCGAUCCCCAAUUUCCAUAUUCCCUUGAACUCUACAUAUAUUCAUCAAGGUUUCCCAGACAUCGACACUUGGCUCUAGCGGCAUCUUCUCAACGAACUCUAGUGCUUCAUCCAAGUACCCUGAAUUACCCAGCAUGUCCACCAUACUCGCAUAAUGCUUCAUUGAUGGAACAAUGCCAUAAUCCUUGCUCAUUGAAUUAAAGUGCAACAUCCCCUCAAUGACAUCGCCUAAGACACUGCAGGCCAUGAAGACCCCAAUAAACAUUUGACCAUCGGGUUUCAGUCCUGAUUCCUUGAAUUGAAUGAACAGAUCAAUUGCCUCCUCUCCAAGAUCAUUCUUAGCAAACCAUGUUAUCAUGGUGUCCCAGGAUGUCAAAUUGCGCUCUGGCAUUUUCUUAAACACUGCAUAUGCAUCAUCCAUGGAACCACAUUUUGAAUACAUCUCUAGGAUCCUGUUAUAAGUACUCACUUUGAGAGGGGAUACUGAUUUGAUAAGGCUCUCGUGAACAGCUUUUGCUUCUUGUAGUGCUUUAGCCUCCCCACAUGCCUUCAUUAACCGCAGGUACCUGGGCAAAUCCACAGGAGUGUGCUGCUUCUCCAACAAUCCCAAAACUUCUAUAGCUUCCUUUACUUUUCCAUCCUUGCAGAAAUCAUCCACCUCCUCAAGAGUGCCACUAUAUUGGCUACUCUCUGCAGCUUCUAAAGACUCUCCAUCUGGUUUGUAAUUACUUGAUUUUGGAGAACCCACCAUGCUAUUCUGAAACUCAUUAGAGUUUGUUUGAUAUUGAGCAACAUUUGGGUUCUGCUGAUAUUGAGCAACAUUUGGGUUCUGCUGAUAUUGAGCAACAUUUGGGUUCUGCUGAUAUUGACCAAUAUUUGGGUUCUGCUGAUAUUGACCAACAUUUGGGUUCUGUUGAUAUUGACCAACAUUUUCUCUAUAGUACAUAUUCUCACUUGGCUGAUACUGCUGUAGAUUUUCUCUAUGAUAUCCACUUGGGCUCUGCUGAAAUUGCCUGAUAUUUUCUCCAUAAGUCCUAUUUAGGUCUCCCAGAGUCUCCGAUAUGAUCUGUUGACAAUUCCCAUUCCGAUUCUGAUUCACUUCUGCUCGUCCCUCACUGUAAUAUGAGUUCUGUACAUUUCUGUUUUGUCCAUAAAAGUCAUUCGACUUUUGCAAUGAUUCUCCAUAAUUUUGCCCACAAUACCCAUUAAUAUUUCCACUUUGCCCAACUAGGUUCUGCUGAUAUUCAUUUAUAGUGCUUUCCCUACAAAGCUCGUUCUGAUUUGCCGGCAAGCCUCCAGAACCUUGCCUAUAAUUCCUACUAAAAUUUCCACUCUGGCUAAAUGGGUUCUGCUUAAACUCGUUUCUAGCAUAUUCCCUGUAACCUCUAGGAUUUAAGUCUUGAUGAACUUCGGAAGAGUUCAUGGAGUUUCCUCCAUAAAGCCCAUCUGGAUUUUGCUGCAAAUCCCGGAAAUUUUGUCCAUUAUACCCAUUAAAAUUCACAUUUUGCCCAAUAGGGUUCCUGUGAAAUUCAUUUCUAAGGUUUUCCUCAAAACCCCCAUUAGGGUUUAUGCUUUGUUGAGCCUCCACAGAGUUGCCUCCAUAAAACCCUUGUGGGCUUCCGGAAAAAUACCCACCCGGGCUUUGCCCAUUUGGUUUUUGCUGAAACUCUAUAUGAUUCUGAUUGUCUGCGUCAAACCCAUCAGGGUUUUGGUGAUUCUCUGGAGAAUUUUCUUUUUGAAACCCGUUAGAAAUUUGAAAAUCGGCUCUUUCAGCGGCAGUACUAAGAUUCUUCAAUAAAGUUAGGGUUUUAGAUGAAGCCGAGGAGGAGUUGGGAGAAGGACAUACCUUGGAUAAAGCAGUGAGAGAGUUGAUUGUAAGAAGCGUAGCUCUCUUUGCGGACAUUGUUUACCUGUCGUGGUGAGAUAAUUCGAGAGGAGAGAGGUUCAAGACAAUGGAGAGACAGCGGAGGAGGAAAGAAACCAGAGAAGUUAAACCCGUUGGCUUACAAACCUUAAACCCUCGCAACCAUUGGCCGCCAAUGAACAGUCUUGGGCCUAAAAUUGGCUUUUGAAUUGGGCCCACUGUUAGUUGACAUCAGGUUCCCAUAACUCUUUGCCUUUGACACCUCUUUUCUCAAAAUGCUAGAUGUGAUCCACGUGCAAGCCAUAUGAGCUAUUAGUUAAUAAAUUAAUAUUAUCUAAAUUUUAUUUUAAUUAGUUGGUAAAUUUUAUAGAAAUGUAAUUUUUAAAAAUUAUUAUAAAAACAAUAUAAAUAUUAUUAGUUAAAGAGAUUAUGAAGCUCCACCUAUUCCAUAAUCGAAUGUUUUAAUAACAUAUAUCAUAUAUUAUUAUCAUAUGACCGUAGGUUCAUGGUGAGACCUAAUGUUGACAUCUUUUUGUAUUUUGAAAGGGCUUUAAUGGUAAUAUAAUUGAUUCAAGGGUGAUAAUAUAAUCUGAUCUUUAUCCAAUGAUUAUAAGGGGCUUCUGACAACUAUUUUUAUGAUACAAGAGUAAUAUUUGAUCAAAAAUCAAUUUAGAUGCAAUUUAAUGGCUAUUAGCGGUUCCUAAAAAUUAUACGACCUCCAAUUUAGAACAAAAAUUUCCUAUAAAUACCUCAUUCUCAAUUCAAUUAAAAUCUUUUUUAAUCUUAUAGUGAUCCUUAAAACAUUAAGACAAAACAGGAGAGAGGCUGAAGUACGUAAUUCUAAGCUGCCUUAAUGUCAAAGAUAGGAAGCUAAAAGAGAGAAGUCUAAGGUAGAUCAUCUUAGGCGGACCACCAAGUGCAAUAGUUUAGUAGUUUCAAUGGGAAGCAAACCGAACAAGAGAAAGAAUUUCGAUCUUCGAUGCAUUGCUACCUUUUAUUUUUUAGGAUUAAUUAAUUAAAAGGGACGAAGAGAUCCCAAAUUUGUAAAAUUAAUCUCUCUCAUUUUUUAACUUGAAAAGUAACUCAUUUUUAAUAUAAAUAUUUUAAAUCUUUUCAUUAUUUACACGUGUGUUUUAAAAAAAUGAUUAUUUUUACAAAAAAGAAAAAAAGAUGAAGACAUUUUUAUCAAAAAUUGGUAUUUUUUAGGUUGAAAAACAAGUAAAAUGUUAGUUUUGUAAAGAAGGGAUGAUUUCGGUUUUCCCAGCUUUUUAUCUCUCAACUUUUAUAAUUUUGGGAUUUUGAUUGAAAUUGUAAAUCAAGACUCAACAAUUGCUUAAGAUAUUUUAUUAAAUUACUAACAUUAUAAAUGAUAAUUGCAACUCAAUUUAAAUUAUUUAAUUAAUAUAAUUUGGAUAUUUUUAAAUAAUUUAAAUUAUUGGAUUAAUUUUAAUAUUAGUUUCAAACCUCGAGGUGAAUGAAAUUAACCAAAAAAAAAAACUUUAAUAUGUGUGCUAUUGUUUCUUUUAUUAUUUUUAAAAUUUGUUGCAACAUUUUUAUUAGUUUUAGUCAAUUCUAAUCUAACGGAUAUUUUUUAUCUAAAUCUUUUCUUAAUAUUUCCAUGAAAACUAAUAUUUUUAUCAUUAGUUUUUAAAAUGUAUCAUACAUUCCAUAGAUCACGAAUCAAUUAUAAUUUUUAUAACAUUAAAUAUAGUAAAUUUUAUUAAAUAUCAUAUAUUUAGUUUACACGUAAACAUAUCUAGUGAUGAUACAAUAUAAAGAUGGAAAUAAUAUAUUUGAAAAAAAAAAUUGUUGAAUAAUCAGAUAAAAUAUAACAAAAUUUUAAUUUGAGAAGUGUAAAAAAAUAAUAAAUUUAAAUUAAAAGAAUUAGAAUGUGAAAAUUCUUGUGGUAAUGACUUUUGGAAUUCCUUUUAUAUGAAAAUUGUUUACUGUAAGUCUGUAAAAUAGUAUAAUUUAUUUACAAUAAGGAACACUAAUGUUAAACAUUUCAAAAUUUUGUUUUAUAGGUAACCAUAAAAAUAAAAUAAAAUAAUAAUGUAAUGUUUGUGGGUUGGCCCAACUCAACUCAAAUCGAGUUGGGUUCAAAUGGAGAAUUCACCACACCAAAUCUCAACUAGAAGACUAUCUAAACAUAAAAAUAAAAAUUUAUAUUAUAAUAAUAAUAAUAAUAAUAAUAAUAAUAAUAAUAAUAUAUUUAAAAUCGGGAACAAUUGUAUUAAAGGGGUAGUAGGAUGUAAUGCCUCUAAAAAAAUAUGAAAUAUGAGAGAUAAAAAUAUUUUUAUUAAUAGCUACAUGGCUCUUAUAGAAUUGUUCAAAUGUUUCAAUACACCUAGUUGUCUCCGAUCUUUGUUUGGUCUUUAAAUUUAGACUAUAUUGUCAAUUAUCCAACUGAGACAUCCAUGUGAGUAGAGGAAAAACUUUUUCUUAUUUGUUUCGUUUGGCUUUUGAAAAACAAAACAAUAGAUUUUUCAUAUCAUAAUCCAUGACCUUAGAUUUUUCUCCUAACUGUAUAAUCAUCCACCAUAUGAUAUCUAUUACUGUUAGAUCUCGCCUUAUUUAUCAACUUAAGAGUGUUUUCAUUUCGUCUUAUUUGUCAACUUAGAAGUUUUCUUUUCAACCAUUUUUUAGAAACACUUGUACCAACUUUUCAAUCUCUUCUUUGCUUUGUUUGGUUGUUGAAAAAAAUAAAUGAGAACGAAAUUUGAGUUUUGUGGUUGUUGUUUGCUUUGAUGUUCGAAAUCUUAAAACUUGAGCCAAAUUAUUGUUCUUUACUCAGUUUGAUAAUUUAGAAAACAAGAAGAAGAUUGAGAAUGAAAUUUAAGUUUUGUGGUUGUUGCUUUGGUGUUCAAAGUCUAAAAAUGUAAACUAAAUAAUUAUGUCAAUGUAGAUUUUUACUGAAUGAAUUAUGAUUAAAUAAUAGUUAAGGCUAAUGAACUAAAUAUAUAAGAGGUGUAUAAGACAAUUCAUUUGAAACGUAAAAAUAUAAAAAUUUAUAUUAUUAAUAAUUUUUAAAAACUUUAUUUUUUAAUUUUUUUUUAAAGAAAAGUCUAUUUAGAAACUUAAAAUAUUUUUAAUCUAUUUUAAAUAUGUUUAUAAAAUAUUUUUUAUUUGUAUUUUUUUAUAUUUAUAUAAUUAUUUUUAAAAUAAUUAUAAGAAAAUAAGUAAAAACAAUUAAAAAAUAUGGACUAGUUUAAUAAUUAUUUUUGAAAAUUGUUCUUUAAAUUUUAUAGAACAAAACUUUGUUUAAAAACCUAAAAUGUUUUUAAUAUUUUUAAAUAUAUUUUAAAAAUAAUUUUUAAAAAUAAUGUUUUACUUUUAAUUAUUCGACAUGUUUAUAUAAUUAUUUCUUAAAAUAGUAUUUACAAAACAAAUGAAAAUAAUAAAAAGAUAACUAAAAGAUCUUCUUUAAAAAUUUUCUAUUUUUUAUUUUUAGGAAUAAAAAAUAAAAAAUAGUAUUUAUUAGCCAAAUAUGUUUUCUGUGGUUUUUUUUUUUUUUUUAAAAAUUGUUAUAAAAAACAAUUCCCAAAUAUAAUAUAUUACUCGGAAACACUUUGUUUUUUGUUUUUAAAAUUAAAAACUCAUUUUUCGUUUGAAAUUCCUUUUAUUUUGUUUUGAAUCACAAAGGUUUUAAAAAAUAGUUGGCAAAAAUGGCUUUGGUUUAUGGGUCCAAUCACUAUCUUGUCCUAACAAUCUCCUUUUUGUACCAACUUUAGACAGACCACUUUAUCCCAUUACUUGGGUGCUUUUCAUUUUUGCCCAGGUUUGUUAUCUAGUCUUUGUAUUUGUUGGUUCGUGAUCACAGCAUUGAGCCAUUGAAUUUAAUUUUGCUUUUCUGUGUACUAAAGAUUCUUGGCUAAUUAGCAGACAAAACAUCAACUGCAAAUUCACUGGCCAUAAAAAACAAACAGUUGCCAGACUACCACCAAUAAUCAAAGAUCCUCUGGUUUGCGGCCAUGAUGGCUACCAGCCUCCUACAAUCACUAAAAUGCUCAUCAACUUUCUGGGGUUCUAUAGAAUGUGGCACCGGAUGAUUAGAAGACAGCUUUGUAAACAGAAGGAUGCAAGAGUCGGUAUUGCAGCUGCCAAACUGGCUAUGCCAUGAAGGAUCCUCGGGAUUACCGUCGGGGUGGUUGAGAUGCCCGCCAAAAUACCAAAAAAAUGGAUUAGAAGUGACAGAAGAGAAAUAUAAAGAAUGUUCAUACAGCAAAUUCAAUCCAUACUAUGACAUAUUUGAUACUAUCCUAGUGACAGCUUAUCGUGAGUAUCAAUCCAUGGGCGUACUAUAUAUUCAUAAGCCCAGCAGCUUGAUAUAAAUCUGCUAUUAGACCUGCAAUACACAGCGGUCUUCUUCCUCUUACUUCGUGGGAUUUUGCACUGCUCUCGAUACGAGCAUGGCUGAUACUUCUUUUCCUCCCAACUUACUGCCCGACGAGGCGAGCCCUGAAUGGAUGAACAAAGGCGACAAUGCCUGGCAACUCACUGCCGCCACUCUCGUCGGUCUCCAGACUGUUCCGGGGCUGAUCAUCCUUUAUGGAGGUGCAGUGAAGAAGAAAUGGGCUGUGAAUUCAGCUUUCAUGGCGUUCUACGCCUUCGCCUGUGUCCUUAUCUGCUGGGUGGGGUGGGGAUAUAGAAUGUCGUUUGGGACGAAGCUUGUUCCAUUUUGGGGGAGGGCUAAUGUUGCCUUGGACCAAGUUUAUCUCCUGGACCCGGCCUUUAUUGGGAAGUUCCCACAGGCGACGAUGGUGUUUUUUCAAUUCGUUUUUGCAGCGAUCACUGUGGUUUUGAUUGCGGGAGCCUUGUUGGGGCGGAUGAAUUUUUACGCGUGGAUGUUGUUUGUGCCCUUGUGGCUGACGUUUUCGUACACCUUUGUAGCAUUUAGUAUAUGGUGUCCAUCAGGUUUUCUCGCUAAGGCUGGGAUUAUAGACUACUCUGGUGGAUAUGUGAUCCAUUUGUCUUCUGGGGUUGCUGGCUUCACUGCAGCAUAUUGGGUAUGGAGGAACCCUAAUUAACCAACCAUAUAUCCUUCUGUUUUUCUUUUUACUCUAUCUGAAAUGAUUUGUGUGAUGUCCUAUACUUGCAGGUUGGUCCUCGGCUAACCAAGGACAGAGAAAGGUUCCCUCCUAACAACAUCCUUCUUAUGAUGGCUGGGGCAGGAUUGCUGUGGAUGGGUUGGACAGGGUUCAAUGGUGGGGAUCCUUAUGUAGUGAGUGUCGAUGCUUCGUUGGCCGUUUUGAACACGCAUGUGUGCACUGCCACUAGCCUGCUCACAUGGCUAAUCCUCGACAUUGCGGUCUUUGGAAAAGCUUCUAUAAUUGGUGCAGUGCAAGGCAUGAUCACUGGCUUGGUUUGCAUCACACCUGCAGCUGGUAUUCCACUGACCUAGGCCUUAAUCUUUUGUUGCAAAUAUGUUCCAUGAUAAACUUCAUUUACCUAGACCCGUGACCAUGUUUGGAUGACAUGAAAAUGAAGACAUUUUUGUAAAAACUUACUCUCAAUGUGUAGAUAUUGUCUGUUUUGGGUCCAAUAUGUCUACAUGUUAAGAGGAGUCCAUAUAUACAUAGUGUUAGAAAUUUUUUAUCUCUAUUCGAUGUGAGAUAUCACAAUCAAUCCUAUGCAGUCACAAUAUCUUUGUUAUAUUUCAUAGGAUUGUGGGAUAAAAAAGACGAACAUCCAACUCAAGCUAAACAAACUCUUAUAUGGAUUGAAGAUCGGUUCUGAUACUAUUUAUAAUAACCCGCUCCCAAUUGUGUAGAUAUUGUCCGUAUGACCUUAAAAUGUAUUAACAAGAUCAAAAAGAACUUACACAUAUAUAGCAACAUAAAACAUUAGACUAGGGAAAAAUUUUCUUAUGUUAUAUGUGUAUGCGCUCCUCCUAGUCUUGUUGGCACAUUAUAAAGUCACGUGAGCUUAUUGGACUCAAAGGCAGAGAAUAUCUACAUGGGAGAGAGAGUUAGUCAUUACAAUUUUACAUUUUAUAGGAAAUUUAGCUCCAUAUGUUGUGCUUAAAAUGUGAAAAUUAAAGCAUACUUACAAGAAGUUAUUUAUCUUUGAUUUAGGGGUUGUACAAGGAUGGGCAGCCAUAAUCAUGGGGAUUUUCUCAGGCUCCAUUCCCUGGUUCACCAUGAUGGUUGUCCACAAAAAAUCUGAGCUCCUUCAGAAAGUGGACGACACAAUGGCUGUUCUGCAUACUCACGCCAUUGCUGGAAGCCUCGGAGGAAUCCUGACCGGUCUAUUUGCUUCCCCAAAGCUUAACCGUUUGUUCUAUGGCUACGGAGUUGAUGUAGAUUCCACUUAUGUUGGCCUAUUUUAUGGUCUUCACAUGGGAGAAGUCAGUAAGGGAUUCAGGCAAAUUGGAAUUCAGCUUCUGGGGAUUGUGUUUGUGCUUGUGUUUAACGUCAUAGCCACAAGCCUAAUAUGUCUUGUGGUGCAACUCAUCGUGCCCCUGAGAAUGUCUGAUGAAGAUAUGGAGAUUGGGGAUGAAGCAGCUCAUGGGGAGGAGGCCUAUGCUAUCUGGGGUCAAGGUGACAAGCUUGAGAACUCAAGGUAUGGGAGUUCAGUCUACGGUGAUGUUGAAUUGCCUAUGCCCAAGCCCAGGGGAGCUGGCCAAGUUGAGAUGACAUGAGACAUGAGAAUGUGUUCCAGGUUUUCGGAAAUUGGCAGACUUGAUCGAUUCAAUAAGAGCCCUUAAAGUAACUUCUGUAUCUGUGAUGUUGCCAAAUCAAUUGAUUGAACUCUGUUUACUUCUUUCUGUUUGUGCUAAGAACUUGCAUGAAUCCUAUUUAUAUGUUCUUUCUUUGUAGCCUUGUUCUUGAAUGAAGUUCCAAUCUCAUUUGCCUUUUAUUUUGUCAACUAAUAAGAAUCUUGAAUAGGGAAGGUCUGAAUUGGUGUAAGUACCAAAAAGGGUGGAAGUUUUGGUAUUCCCUGCCCGCCAAAUGGAAGUUAAGCUUUGGGGCAAUCUGAAGGAAGGUAGCAAUCUUUUCAGGGUUGGGGAAGGUUGGCUACCAAGUACCAAGCAUGGGAUAAUGUCCCAACUAAGGGCCAUCAAGGCCAGAGUCUUGGUGGCUGGUGACCAAAAAUGAAGCAAGGGUCCUUGCAAAAAGGCGCCUACCUAAUGGAUAGUGUGGAGUUAGGAGUCUUAGGACUAACCCAAGAAUAGUCUUAGGACAUGCUCUUUUCUUCCUUGUCUUUAACUUCAAUGAAAAAUUAAAAUCAUUGUCACAAUUUUUAAAGGAGGUUAUUAAUAUUCUAGAAGUUUUAUUAAAUAUAUAAAAGAACUUAGGUUGGGUUUAACAAUAUUAUUAUUUGAAGUGCUAUUUAAAGAAUCACUAUAAUUUUUUUUAAGAAACAUUAUAAACGAUUUUUCAAAAAUUUUCAAGAGUAUUUUUUUAAUUUUUUCAAAUACUUAAGGUUUUUUAAAAGCGUUUUUUUUUUGUUACUUUUUUUUUUUUUAACAUAUAAAAUAUUUGAAUAAAAUUAACCAAAUAAGUAUAAAAGCUCUCAUCCAGCGAAAAAAAUAGCUUUUGACUUCUUAUAAGAAGAAAUUUUUUUAUUUUUUAUAAAAAACUAUUUCAUAUUGUAUAAUUAAUAUUAUUAUUAUUUAUUUCAAUUUCAAUUAAAGCUAAAAAUAAAAAAAAAUCAAAGAUAAUUCAAGAAUCAAUACCAUAUUAGAUUAUAAAAAUAAUCUUGAUGUUUUUUUUUCUAUCAUUUUUCCAUGUAGCAGUUGAUCCAAGCAUAAAUCAGAACAUGGAUUAUUUAAUUAAUUAAUUUAUUUUAGAUAUUUUAUUUAAAAAAAUAUGUAUUUUUAUAUCUCAUAUAAAAAUAAUUACUAAAUUGAAUCUUUUAAAAAUAAUUUAAGUUUUAUAUAUUUAUUAAUCAACGAUAAUAUCUAAAAUAAUUAAAAGUAAUACUUAUAUAAUUAAAAUAUAGUAUUUAAAUGGUCACAAAUAAUAUGAAAUAUUAAUUAUUUUUGGAUAAUAAUUUAAAAACUAUAUUUUAUAAAUUCGGUUCUAUUUUGUGAUUUGUUUUUAGGUAUGGGGUGGAAAAAAACACUUUGCCCUUUUAUUUUUCUUCCAAAUAUAGAUUAGGGUAUCAAACGUAAUAACUAAUAACACCACAUCAUCUAUUUUUGACUGCUAGGGGACGUAGACGUGGCAUCAUCAGGUGGCACCACUCCAUCAAGAAACGCAGAGGGCAAUCAAAGUCAAUUUAGUAAAAUUUAGGGGUGGUUUAGUAACUUCGUUCACCAGUGGAAGCAACCAGGCUCGCUUUAAAGUCUAGGUUUUUCUUCCAAACCCUUUUCUCUCUCAUCGUCACAUUUUCUGUGGAGGACAGCUUCACAGCGUCUCUGAGGUAUAACCCUAGGGUUUUUCUCUCUCUACAACUGUCUUUCUCUCUUGGUUUUUUUUUUUUUUUUUUUUUUUCUCAAUUUCUUGUCCCAUGUUUUCAAUGUACCACUGCUUUGAUCCAACUCCACUUUCUCGCUCAACACUUCGCAAAUUUUUUUCUGUAAUUUUUCUUUUUAUCAUAUUAUAUUAUAUAUAUAUAUUCGAAUUUGUGCAUGUAUAGUUCAUAUUCUGCAGCUGAUUAAUCUGAUAUUGCUCCGUAUGUGUAGUUGGUUUUGAUGCUGUAAUUAUCGGUUUUCAUUUACCAGGGCUUGUGAAGUUGGGCUAGGGUUUAGGGUUUGUGGUUUUAUUCAAUUUUGUAGUUUAUUACUUUCUCUUACUCGUGUCUAUUUAGAUCUAUUUGUUUUUUCUUUCAUUUUCUCUAGUUCGAAUUCGUUUGCUGAUCUUAAUCCUUGUCUUUUUUUUUUCUUUUUGAUUGUUGAUGCCCUCUUCAUUCAUGUUGGUUUUGAAAAAAAAAAGGAUGGUGAGAAUUUUGACUUAGUGUCUGCCUUUGUAUUGUUUUGGUCAUAUGGUUUGAAAGAAUGCUAGAAUAUUUUAGGAGAAGCUGAUUGAUGGCUAGGUGAUGUUGGGAUAAAAUACUUGCUUGGCUUAAUUAGGUCUUGGUGUCUAAAGAAUUUAUGCGGAAUGCUGCUCUUGUGUAUUUUGAGGGAUUAUAGGGCGGUAUACUGCCUUGAGACCUGGCUCAAGUGGUAAAGGUAGGGGAGAGUUUGUAGAAGGUUCCAGGUUUAAGUCCCAACGGGGAUAAAAGAUUUUACCUAUCAGAAAAAAAAAAAGAGGGCAGUGUACAGGAAGGUGAUCUGUGGUGGGUUUAGGUUGGGUCCAAACCCAUCAAAUUUGUUUUUCUUUAAUUUUAAUUUUGCUUCUUUUAUGUUUUUGUUGAACUCUAGCCUUCCUUUUUUACAUUUGUGGUUCUUUUCAACAAAAUUAUUCUUUUGUUUUAAAAAUAUAAGCAUUUUUCCUGCAUAGUAGACUCCAUAUCAAAUCCAAUUCUAUGCAAUCAAAUAUAGUGUAAGGCAUUGAUAAAAAAUGGAGGGAAAGAGUCCAAGACUUCGUAACAAAAUGGAGUACUAAGACAUUGCACAUCUUACAGGUUUGCUUGACUCAGUUUACAAUGUUCAUGUGAUGGAGGAAUGUUGUUCGUAAAUUAUUCAAAUUCAGGCAUAUGUCUUCACUAUCUUAAGACAUUCUGAACCAUGUCACAGUAUCUAUGACAUGGGUAUUUUUGUUCCACACAUCUUGAACUUUCUGUGCGAUGUAGUUAUUCUAUAUGCCUAUAACAGAAUUUUUUUGUAUGACAUGGGGUUCAAUUGCCUGACACUUUUGGAAACCUUGCUGAAAGUUGGUUGACAUUUUUUGUUGUUAUAGUUGAGCAAUGUUGCAUUUUUAUCUGCUACCAAAUUAAAUUGGUGGUGCUUAUUGACUCCUGUUUAUUGUGUGGUCAGGUCAUUAGUAGUGGUGUCUUGACUCUGUGAUAUUGGAAAACUAAGAAAAUGACCAAGAAGAAGAAUCCAUUGGUCUAUCUAGAUGUGUCUAUUGAUGGAGAUCCAAUUGAAAGAAUGGUUUUUGAGGUAUUGUUUUUUUUCCAAUCUGAUAAGUGGAACAUCAAUUGAGUUUCUUCUGUCUAGUUGAUUGUAUAUGUUUGUUAUUUGCAUUUAUAGUCUGUCUAUUAUUUUUUAAUCAUUUGCUAUCUUCCCCCAAAGUGAACCAUGAACAUUUAAUUGAUUUCCUGUUUUUCUUUUGGGGUGGGGGUUUGCAGCUGUUCUCUGAUGUUGCUCCCAAGACUGCAGAAAAUUUUCGUGCACUCUGUACAGGUAACAUAUAUGUGAACAAGUAUUUCUAAGAACUGCACCUUUCUUUCUCUAUUUGUAGCAGUUAUUUUUGCUAUUAUGAUUAUGAUACAUAUUAUAAUGUUGUGGUAUUUAAUUUGUGAUUUGUUCAUGAUUCUAGAUGCAUUCUCUGUUUUCCUUUUCUUGCAGAUCUCCUUGUAUGGAUUACUCCGUCUAAAUUUAUAAGUUCAUUUGGGAUUUCUUUCUCCUUUCUUUUGUAGGGCCUAAUUUUCAAGUGUGAUAUUCAUUAAAAAGAAUAGUUGUUUGAUUUCUUUGACUUGUAUUUUUCAGGUGAAAAAGGAAUCGGUCCCAAAACUGGAAAGCCACUGCACUAUAAAGGGUCCUUCUUCCAUCGCAUUAUCAAAGGAUCAAUGGUUCAGGUAUGUUUUUCAGACUCAUUUUUAUGCCAAGAUUUUGGUUCAUAGAUUGAUUCUGGUUCAUAGAUUGAUUCUGGUUCAUUUGCAUGUGUCCUUCAUUUUCUGGUUGAGCAUGGCUUAGAAGUGGUCUUUGUCUUUUAGUCAGUUACCCUUUUUUAUGCUGUAGGAUACAGGGCUGAUGGUCACGACUGCUUUUCUUGUGAUGUAGUUUUAAGGUUGUACUUACUGAGUUGUCCAUCCUCAAAAUUUUUACUAAAAUUCACCAUGCCUCCAACCCAGUUUCAUACGCCUUUUCAAUUUGUUGCUUACCUAUGGAUUAAUGGUUGAUUUUUAUUCUGCAGGGUGGCGAUUUCCUUAGACGAGAUGGUAUGCUUUCUUCACUUGUCUCAUCUGAACUCGAGAAUAGCAUCUUUCUUUGUGUUUGUGUAGCAAAAUUAACGUAUUGGAAGGGAAACUUGUUAAUGUCUGGUAAUGUGAUCUGAAUUCGAAAUUGGUAGGGCACUGGCAUUUUUUGGUUAUCAGUCUCAUUACUGUAAUCUGUUUGGAGAAGAAAUCAGGUUGUGAGAUGGUAUGAAAUGGCUUCAUGGAUUUUUUGGGCAUUGCCAAUUGCUUAAGUAUGGUGAUGAUGGACAAUGCAAGGAAACCACUUUGAAUUGGAACACAUGUAGUCUCUCAAUAUUUUCAAGGCUGGUGACUGACAGAAAUGGUGAAGCUGAUAUAAAAGCUCUUUUUUGUUUUCCAGUGUCUGUUAUAACCAUUGCACCUGUUCUUAUUUCUGGAAUGGGAAAGCAGUUGUUUGCUGAACCACCUUGACCAGAUAUGAUAAAUAAUUUAACUCUCUUUACUAGAAUUUGGAGUGAACAAACUAAAUAUCCAAUUAACAUUAUCCAAUACCACUUCAAUAAUCAACUAUAGUUGAAUUGAUCCAUGCCAAAUUCUAAUCUAUGUACCAUUUUUGGAGAAAGAGCAACCUCAAUAACAGUGAUUUCUUGUAUAGAUCUAUGACACCCAUUUCCCCUCCUGUUAAAGUUGCUUAUUUCAGGCUCAUGUUAGUUGUGAUUUUCCUGCCACUGAACACAUGCCUUCGGCAGUCUGUCUCUUUUGUUUGUGAUUGUGCAUUUGUAAAGAGAGGAAUUUCAGGAUUUCAAGGGAUUUAGAAGUUCCAUUCCCCAAACUUAAAAGAGCUCACCUACUCUGGCUGUAGUCUACACCAGUGGCUGCCCUUUAUGGCAGGAGGCAUCCUUUUCUAGAUUUUCAUGUGUAGUUUGGGUUGUUCUUGUGCUUAAGGAACGUUGUUCUGUUUAUGUUUUUUUUUGGGAGAAUUCAAAGCAGGCUCUUUGUGUGCCCUGCACUCCCUCUGGUGCCUUUUCUUAAUUUAUUCCUUUAUCUAUAAAAAAAAUGGCUAGUAGUUGAUAAAUUUGUUUUUUUAAUAAGGUUCCAUAAAAAUUAGUUGGACUAGGGUUGGUAAAGCUACUUUUUUUUUCUCCUGGGAAAUUUAACCCCAAUAUAACUGUUUUUCAGAAUGUACUUCACUAUUGGUGCCACGGCUAUGAUUAGUCUAUUUUUGCCACUAAAUAUAGGGAAACAGCCAUAACUGUGGAUAAUGAACUAGCUAGGCUGUUCUUCACUAUGUGCUCCUCAAAAUACCUCCCCCCCUUCCCCCACCCAAAAAAAAAAAAAAAAAGAAAAGAAAGAAAAAACCAAAUGAACAUCUUUUGAGUGUAGUAGUAGUUUGAAUUGUUUUGUCCUAGAGGACUUGUGCUUUUGAGGCUUGCCUAAGCUUAGUGAAUUAGCCUUGAGGCUGUCACCUCAGUAAAGGAUAAGCCUCAUCCUAUUGAGGCUUACAACGUUGAGGUUGAAGCCUCAAAUAUCCAAUAGGUUUAAUGAGUUUGGUGUCUUUGUGGGCUUUUGGUAAAUAUUUGUGAGAAGUUUAAGCAAUAAUAUUCAAUUGGUUUUAAUGGGCUUUGUGCUUUUUAUAAGUUUCAUCAUGAGUUGAGAGUAGGUUGAACAUUUUACAAAAUAAGGGUUUAGUUGGCUUCUAUUUGACCAUUUCAAAGGAGGGGGAAAAAGAGAUUGAGAAGAAGAAAUAGAGGAUUUAUUGGUUAAUAUUUAUUUUGUUAGUGAUAAAUAAAGAAGAAUGACCAUUGGAAUUUAUGGAGGAAGAAGAAGAAUGGGCAGAUUUUUAUAUAUCUACGUAUAUUCUUAUUUGCCUAUCAAAAAUUAAAAAAAAAAAAAAAAGAAGAAUAGGCAAAUAUUAACAUUGGUGGGAAGGAUGAUAGGGCAAUUAGAUAUGAGUAUCUACUUGGAGGAUCCUAUUAGUGAUAGUAAUUAGAGUAUUGAAGACUAUUUGAUGAAACAAUAAGAAAAAGUUAGAUUUUAGAAGAGGGAAAUGGGAACUAAAUUAGAACUAUUGAUGACAAAGAGCUAAUUUUCUUAUUAUGAAUUUAUAGUUUUCUUAUUAUUUAAUUUUCAUGUGAUUUUAUUGGUGUUUUUUUAGGUUGAGGCUUACAUCUCUCCUCAUUUGGGGUAAUAUGCUUCAAAACUGCAUUUAGCCUUUUAAAACAUAGGUCUCCAUUAUUCUGAAGUGAAUCCUGCUUGACCAAAUCUAAGGUCUUCCUUACUCCUUUAAGUUUUAAAUAUUUGGUUAACAAUCAAGCAGUGAAUAUUAUUCGGGUAAUGAUUAUUUUUACCCUUCACUUGGAAAGUUAUCAUUUGGACAUAUAAGUGCCAUGGAAGUUCCUUGUUGGCUUUUCAUGUGCUUGGAAAUUUAUUUCUUAAAUAAUGUAUUUUAAUGAAAAAGGAUUGCUUUUUUUGUUUGGCAGGAAGUGGUGGUGAAAGCAUAUAUGGUGGAAAAUUUCCAGGUAUCCAUCAUCUGUCAUGUUUAUUUUUCUUCUGGCUCCAAUUAAUCUUGAUGCUACUUGUAGGUAGUGUGUAGAGUUUCUUUGGCAAUGCAUCUUUUUUCUUUGACUUGAUUUAUUUUUCUGCUAGUUCUAUAAUUAAGCCUUCCUGCUACAAGUAGGCAGUGAGUAUAGUUUUUAUGGCAUUCAUCUGUUUCCCUUUUUAGUGCACUUUUUCGCUUAUACGUUUUUAGUCUUUUUGGUGUGCUUCUUUCUAUCUGUUGGAUGGGAGGGGUUUGCGCGUGUUGUGGCUUUAGGCUUCUUCCAGUUGUGUGGUUUGGAAAGUUGGUGAGCUUUGAUUAUAAUAUUUUUCAUUAUAUUCACAACUUUUGUUAUAUCUUUAUUUUAUCAGACAAUUGCAAUUAUAUUUCAUUCUGCAUUUUGCAUGAAAGUAGGAUUGCAUUUUUGCAUGAGGCUUUUGUCCCAAUUAAAUUUGACAAUGCUAUUUCUCUUAAUGUGAUUUGUAGGGUUUAUAGAUAACUGUUAUAUCGAAGUCCUUGCUUGUUUAUUUGAUUUUUAGAUUGGGACCAUACCAAGGAUUUGACAUGUGCUAAAAGUAAGCAUGUUUUAAGUUUGAAAGUAAUAUUGAAUCUUUUGUCUUUUUUUCUUUUUUUGUAAUCUCUGGGGUAGUUAUCGCUUAAUAGCUCUAUUAUGCCCUAGAUUGUGUUAUGCCGUAGUAUUUACUUAUACAGAGGUGGUAACUCGGGAAGAUUAGACAAUCCUUAUCUAUGAAAGAGGAGAACAAAAAGGGAUUUUGCAGUCCUUGAUAUGUUUCUGAGGUUAAAGAAAUUUGCUGAUGGUGGUGUGACUAGGAAGUUGUCUGGUUCCUGGAUCCUAACUGCAAUGCUGAAAACUGAAAUAGAAGUUGAAAAAUAAUAGCUCAUUCGCUGAUCUUAUGUUUAAAAUGUUAUAAUUCCAAAUGAUUAUGUUACCAUUGAUGUAAAGUUUUGUAUCUUAACAUAUGCUUAGGUUUUUUUGUUUAACUGAAAAGAAAUAGGUAAAUGCUAAGGAUGGGCCAUAUUUAGGGAUGGCUUGUUACCAAAUUAUGAUGAUUUUCAUAAAAUACUAAGUGCAAGUCAUGGCAUUGUUUCAGAUGAGUCACCCAGGCUAAAGCAUGAUGGACCUGGCCUUCUGUCUAUGUCAGUUGCCGAUCGGGACACUGUUGGUUCUCAAUUUAUUGUCACCUUCAGUGCUAAUCAUCAUCUUGAUAGGUUUGUUUAUUUACUAGAUUGUUACAGCAUUUGGUUUUCUUCAAUGGAUGUUUGUCAGAUUGUUCUCAAUUUGGUUUUAUUUGUUUGGUACAUGAAGAAAUUCUCAUCUGCAUGAAACUGUUCAUUUUUGAAAUCAUUUAAACAGGAAGUAUGUAGUAUUUGGAAAGCUUGUACAAGGACAUGAAGUUUUGAAGAGGAUAGAAAGUGUUGGUGAUGAGGAAGGGAUACCGACUGCAACAGUGAAAAUCAUUUACUGUGGUGAAAUUCCCGAGGGUAAGAUACACAGAUCUGCUUACUGGAGAGUGGUGUUUACUGUAUUGACAUGGAAUAAUGUACAAGAUUUUGCAAUUGGAGGCCUUGUCUGGUUCCUUAGAUGUGGUUUCCUUUUUCUAAUUUUUGAAUGCUUAUUUUGAAUCCUGCCUUGUGGUUUUUUUUGCUUUCAUCACGGGCUAAUGAACUGUUCAAUGUCCUAUUGUAGUUUGUGUUUGAUAGUCUUUAUCGUUGUUAUUAUUAUUCUUAUGGUAUAUAAGAGAACAUCAUAGAUGAUGAAGAUUUGUACUUGGUGCACCUUUUCAAGUGCUUUUAAUAUAAUUGCUCAUUUUAUAUAUAUAUAUAUAAGCGGAUGAACAUUUAGUGAUACCCCUUUGCCCCCUCUAAAAUCCCUUUUUCCCAACCUUACACUGAUGUCACUUGGGGAAACCCUAUGGAUGCUAAUUGGCCUACACCCCUUGUCACUUUAUUAUGCAGAUACUCUCUCUCUCUUGCUUUCUCUCUCUCUCUCUCUCUCUCUCACACACACACACACACACACACAUGCACAUGCACGCACACACACACUGCUUAGAUGGCUAGGACUUGGGUGGGGGUGGGAUGAGGGGGGUUCGAGGUUUAACUCCUUGGAAAAAAGUUUACAUUUUAAAGAAGAACCUUAGAUUAUUUUCUGAGGGCUUGUCUGACAAUGGACAGUUGAUCACUCCUAUUUGAAGCAACAGAACACUUUCUCUUUUGCUUGUUGAUUUAAUUUGUGUGCGCACAUGUGAAAGGAAAUGAAAUAACUUGAAACAUAAUCCUUUGAGUGGAACAUAGGAUAAAUACCCAUGUACUUUUACAGUAUGGAAGUAAAAUAUUACAUCAAACAGAUUUUAUGUACCUUGGUUGGCUGUUUUCUUGGUGCUUGUUUAUAAAAUAAUUUUAUUGCAUAUGGAAAAAAUAUUUCACCAAACAGAUUGAACAUGAUACCAAGGAUUUAACAAGAGUUAAGGCCCCAAAAUAAAUAUGAAUGGUGAAGGAUUCAUGUAACCAAUAAAGCUUCAUUGUGAUUGUAUGAAUGCCAGAUUUUGUCUGGAUUUUGUUAAUUUUUAAGCCAUCUUAAAUUGCAAUUUAAGGAUUUUUGCAGCCAAAUCAUGCAGAUAAAACCUUGGUCUGGUGAUGGGUGAACUUGGUCAUUAUUCAUGAAUUAUAUAUUUGUAGGGUCUAGUGGACCUAAAUUUCUUGAGUGAUGUAGAACAAUACAUAGAUUGUUGUCUAUAAUUGGAUAAUGUGGGCUAGUUUCAUUGUUUACUUGAGUAGAUCGUGGAGAUUCAUUCUCACCAUUCUCUACUUAAGUCACCACACUUAAAAACACUUCUGGUUGUUUUGAUGGGUUUUAUUGUGAUUUUAGAGACAUUCAAUCAGUUUUGACUCCUGUCAUUGAGCAAGUUUUUAAAAUGUUUCUAAGUCAAUUCCUGGGGUCCUCGUCUUUUAGUUUUUGAGCAUGCCUAUAUUAGUCUUGCUUUAGAGUUUCUUUGGCUCUGCAUACCUGGCCUUGUACUUAUUUUUUGCGUUUUCUUCAAUGAAUUCAUAAUCUUUUUUGUAGUUUGAGGUUUCACCUUAUAUAUUUUUGUUGUUGCUGCUGCUAUUGUAAUUAUCUAUUGCAGUGUUUUUUGUCUGUUCAUACCCGACCUUAAACUCUUUUAUGGGUUAAUCAAUAAAUUGUUAAUCUUUUUGCAGUUUGAGGUUUCAUUUUAUAUCUCAUUGUUGCUGCUGUUGUUGUUGUUGUUAUUGCCAUUAUAAUUUGCAGAGUGAUUAAGAGGGUGUUGCUUGUUGUGUUCUUUCUUGUUCUUUGUGCUUUCAGGUGCUAUUUGUAUACGUCAUGUAUUCUUUGGUGCAUCCUUUUGGCGCAUUUUAAUUUAUAUGCAUUCUUAUAAAAAAAAACCAUUAUAAUUUGCAGUUAUUUUCUAUAUUUAUACUUGCUUGUAUCUAUUCUGUAGCAUUAUUUUCUUCUUUUUUGAUUGCUUGAUUUAAGUUUUAUCUUGUCUAGAGAAAAGGAAAUCAAUCAAAUCCAAAAUUGGAAAAGAUGCUUCUUCUGAUGCUAAUAGUCAUGAAGUGCGGCGGAGGGAGAAGCACAAGAGAUCUUCAAAAGAAAGAAGGAAAAAAAGAAGAAGAUACGAUACAUCAGAAUCAGAGUCUCUUUCUGAUACAGACACUGAAUCAUCUGAAUCUGAUAGUGAUUCUGACUCAGAAUCAUCUUCAUACAUAAGUUCUUCAAGUGAAGACAGACGGAAAAAAAGGAAGAGAUCUAAGAGAGACAAAUAUAGACGUGGAAAAAGAAGGGAUAAACGACGUGACAAAAAGCGCAAGAGACGUGAUAAGAAAUCAAAGCGCAGAUCAAAAAGGUAUGAUAGGCAUUGGCGAUAUAUAUUUAAUAUACCAAAGCGUUGUUUAUUUCCUGAUUCCUCUCAUCAAACUUUUGGGGUGUGACAUCUGCAUUAGAACAAUAGCCUGAUAUUCUUUCUUUUGAAAUCUCUUUUAAGGUCAUCGGAUAGUCUUACUGAUGAGGAUAGCAAUGGUAAAAGUGGCAGUAGCUCUGCUGAUGAUGGCACUGAUGUUCGAGGGCCAGAUUGCAACCCUAAAAAACCUCCUCAGCUAAUAGGUAUUGCUUUGAACUUUUUUUUUAAUAAUGAACAGAAACUCUUUCUUGCCUUUUCUUUAUUUCUUGAUUGUUCAUAUAUUUAUUUAUUUUUCCUAUGGAUUUAGUCUAGUUUUCUUUUUAUAUGCACCAUAUGUUUGUCUUCCUUUUUUUAAUAGCCGUUUAUGUGUCUUCUUAAUGUUAUUUACUUUCACUUGUCUUUCUUGCAAAUUAUAGCUCCUUAGGCAUAAUGAAUGCUCAAUAAAAGUUCUCUCAUCCACCAGAUCUUGCAUGUAUUUUUCAAAUGUUCAAUAAAAGUUCUGUUGCCCACCAGAUCUUGCACAUAUUUGUCAAUGUAUAAAGGAUUAACAUUAUUUAUAUGUUUGAAAAAUUACGUGAGGUAGAUUAUUGACAUUUCAUUUGUUUUUAUGAUUUAUAUCUUGAUUUUGGCAUGAACUGAAUUUUCUUUUUUCAUAUAUAUAUAUAUAUAUAUAUAUAAAUUCUUCAACAAUAUUGUUGACUAUAUGAUCAACACCCUGAUACAGUGAGGAUUGUAUUUAUUUGAUUUUGUUUUGAGUUUUUUGUGAUAGGUGUUCUUAAUUUAUUGGCCUUUUUUUUUUUACUUGUAUGUGAUUGUUUUUGUACAAAUUUCUCCAGCAGGAAAUGGAUCUCCUGUAGUUGAGGACAGAGAAGCUGUUUCCACUCGUCAUAAAAAGGGGGAGGUGGCUGAUGUGCUUGAAAAGGAAGAGGGUGAAUCACCCAAGGAAAACGGAGAUAGGCGGAGCAAUGGCAUUGAAGAAGUCAAAUCUGAUAGAAGUGCAGAAAGACAACCUGAUGUUGUAGAUGAUCACCCAGGAAAAUCUAGGUCUACUUUCCAUCCUCCUCACACCUCAGUUAUUCUUUAUGCUAACCGAUUCUUCCAGAUCCGGUAUUUUAUUAAAAGUUGAUGAGCAGGAGCCGAAGCAUGAGUCCCAAAAGGACCAUGAGUAAGAGUAUGAGUAUUAGUCCAAGGAGGAGUCUGAGCAAGAGCCCAAGUGUCAGCAGGAGUCAAAGUGUUAGCAGAAGCACUCCCCGCCCACCAAGAAGCAGAACUGUGAGCAGGAGUCCAAGUGUUAGUAGAAGGGCCCCACUGAGAAGCAGAACCGUGAGCAGAAGCCCAGCUCCAGCUAGAAGUGAUAGCAGCGGGAGCCCAGCUAGAAGCCUCAGCAGAAGUCCAGUGAAGGUCAGUAGAGGAAGAAGCUUCAGUAGGAGCCCAGUGAGGACCCGAACUCGGAGGAGCAUUAGCAGGAGCCCGGUUAGGUCACUGUCUCGAAGAAGUCCAAGCAGGAGCCCACCAAGAACCUCAUCAAGAAAAUCAGUUAGCAGAAGCCCUGUGAGGAUUUCAAAAAGUGGUGUCAGCAGAAGCCCUAUUAAAUCCUCCCGGAGAAGCAUUAGUAGAAGCUCUGGCAGAGCUCCUUCAAGGAAAAGUGUGAGUCGAAGCCCAAAUAGGGUGCCUAGCAGGAAUAAUCGUCGCAGCUAUUCUAGAAGUCCUGCAAGCUCGGGGCGUAGGGCAAGGUCACCUGCUUCUGAUCGUUCAAGGACUGUGUCAAGAAGUCCUUCCCCGGAUGGGUCCCCCAAGCGCAUCAGAAGGGGACGGGGUUUUAGUGAGCGAUACUCUUAUGCACGGCGAUACAGGACUCCAUCUCCAGAUCGUUCUCCAGUACGGUCAUAUCGUUAUAAUAACAGAAUUGACCGUGACAGGUAAUGAAGCAACCUACUUACGUGAGUUUUUUCAGUCAUUUGAGUGAAUGAUUUUAUACUGUAGUAGUUUAUGGUGCAUAUUUGUUCUUUGUUGCUAGAUAUCCAUACAGGAGGUAUGAUCGAUCACCCAGGCGUUAUAGAAGCCCACCAAGAGGAAGAACCCCUCCUAGGUACGUGAUUUUCCUAAACACCUCCAAUUCCCUUUGUUCUUCUGGCUUUUUGGUUGAUACUCACCCAAGUUUCGUGAAAUAUGGUAUUUGAUGCAAAACACGUGUGCCCGCACACACACACUCUGGCACUUAAUUAAAAUGUGGUCUGUUAAUUUCCAAUUUCCACUUGUGUACGAUUGAUUGUACAGAUGUAAAAGUGUAUUUCUUGUUCAUGGCAUCAUGGUGAUUUAUUCUUCAUGCCACAUUUGCAGAUACAGAGGCAGGAGAAGUAGGACGCGGAGUCCAAGUGCUUCACGUAGCCCAAUCCGCUACCGUAAACGACGUUAUAGUCGUAGUCCUGUUCGCAGUCGAUCCCCAGUUGAGCCAUCUAGAUACCGUGUCUCCCCUCGCCCUGAGAAACGGAGGUCACCAUCUAGGAGCAGAAGCCCAUCAGCAUCUAGAUCCUCACUGGAUUCCCAGUCGCCCAAGAAAGCAAGCAAAGAUGAGUCAAGAUCAUCUUCUGAAAGUCCAUCUGGGAAGAAGGGCUUGGUUUCAUAUGGUGAUGGGUCUCCAGAUUCUGGGCAAAGGUGAGAGAAUGUAGUAGUGGCUGUUGUAGAGAUGGCUGUCUUUGUUGUCUAGGAUGAGGGAGCACUCGCGGUUUUUGCCAACUGGGACUGUGGUCACUGUUUCUUUUUGUUGUUAUUAGAGCGUAUGGGCGGUUACCGGAUUUUCAGACUUUGGAUUUAGAUUUAGCUAUUGGCUUGUUUUAUAAUCAAAUAUGUUGAAUAAUGGUAUUACUGGGAUUAUAUUAGAUCAGCAUCUGGGAAUAUGGAUAUUCUCCAUUUUGUAUGGUUCUUUCCUUAUGGUGGUCUAAACAAAUUUGAGGUGUUGAGAUCUCCCAGGUACUGUUUCUGAAUUUGGUUGUUUAUGGUUAACCUGGAUUAACUUCUUAAACUUAAAUAGCUAAAUCAAUUGCUAUUGUAUUUACAAGAAUAAUCAAUGAAAGGUGGUUUAAGAUUUACAUGUAAAAAGCGGUAAGUGGCUUUAAUGCGACCUCAUUUCCCUGUUGGGCUAUGAAUGCUGCUGUUUAUUUUGUGCCCAAAACUUUCGAUUAACAAACAUUCUUUGUCAAAAUACAAAAUCUAUAUGAAAUGUGGGACAAAAUGCCUUUAUCAGGGUGCCACGUCGGAUGACGUUAUCUCUUAUCCAAUCAGCCCAUGUUCUCCAUACUUUCCCUUCUUUAUCCUCAAUGAUUCCACUAUCUCCUUCUUCGACCAUUUUGAAUUUCAACCCUUCAUCAUCUUGCAAGCUUGACUAGAACCAUUGCAGAUCAUCUUAAACCACUUAUUGCUCUCCGAUCUUUGGCUGGUCUUUGAAUUUGAACUUUGGUCUUUCGUUCUAGGCUGCAGAUAAUCACAUUUGGAUGCAGACUUUGAUCUUCUCGAAUUGCACCAGGUAGAGGAGCAAUUCCAAGGGUGCCACUACAAUGAGAGAGGGUUAAUAAGGCUUGUGAUUUCGUUGCCUAAAGGUUUUCUAGUCCUAAUGCUUGAUUGUCAGUGAAGGCAUUCAGUGAUGAAAAAGGGAAAGAAGUUGUUGGUGGUGUUGUUUCUUGAGUUUAAAAAAUAAGCAAAUUAGAUGUAGCCCAAAAUCAUCAAACAAGAAACAAAAUAGAUAGGAAAAAGGUUGCUUAUCAGAAUAAGUUCAACGAGGCAUGACAAACAUUGUCCUCAUCUUCAAAGAUAUCAUCCUCGGGCAAAAGUAAUUAAUGUUUUACCUUCAAGAUUCAACAGUCAAAUAAAUAUAUUCCUAGGUGCAUUAGGUAGGUGAGAUGUUGUGUAGCUUAGUUUAAAAUAUAUUCCUCACGGGUGGAUCAGUGGGGCUGCAGUAGACUGGGAGCAGCACUUGUGGGUGUAGCCUCGGGUGGAUAGUUACAGCAAUGUGGGUGUUGCAAAGGUGGAUGCUGCAGUCGGGUUACUGCAAAUGGAAGAUGCAGCGGGUGAUUAUUGCAGUAGAACUGUAGAAGCAAGCUGCAGUAUAGAAGAGCAGCACAAAGGAGCUUCCAGUUGCAGCACACAGGUUUUUCAAGUAAUUACCGCGUCUUUGAUAGCAGCAAGGGGCACAUAGAGAGAAAGUGGGAGACGAAAAAACUAGAGAGAGAUAGCUGUAGAGAAUGAGAUGCAGUAGAACUUUGAAGGGGCUGCCUUUAUAUAGGCAGAGGACUGGAUGGACCUCUCCAAAAAUUUCUUAAUUGCCACAGUUUUUUUUAUGGGCGAAGACAUGGUCAUAGGAAGAGUACAAAUAAUUUUUAUUUUUAUUUUUGGGAAGAGUUAUAUUGGGAAUUAUUUUUAUUUUAUUUUAUUUUAUUUUCUUAGUCUUAUAUUUUUGGGAAAAAUCCUAUUGAGAAUUAUUUUUAUUUUUGGGAUUGUGCUAGUAGAAUCCCAUUUCACUUAUAAGUAGAUUCCCCUUCCACUCUCUAAAUAUGAAUACCAAUUUUUCAAAAACUCUUUUCAUACAUCUAUUUGGAGGAAUUUUUUCAAAACCCGUACACAUCUCGCUUUCAAAGUGCACCUAUUGGCUGUUGAAUUCUGGAGGUAGACUACUGGUACUCUAGUGCAUUGAGUUCGUUUUUGAGGAGGGUGGAUCUAUUUCAAAGACAAUAUUUGUCACACCUCAGCCAAUAAGUCUUUCUUCUUAUUAAUUAUAUUAUUUGUUUGUGACUUUUGAGCUAGUUAUUUGUUUCCAUACCCUUAAAUCCAACCAUGGUUAGAUGGGCUAAGUCAAAGUAGUUGGCACUACCUAAACUCAUGCACUUCUCCUAUAGGUGGUGGUUUCCAUGGUGUUGAUGUUUAUGUUGAUAAUUGUGUUGCUUGUGAUUUAAGUCUUGAUUUUCGAAACUAAAUCCAUGCUUGUGAUUUGUGGUUGUUGUUGCUUUGAUGUUCCAAGUUCUAAAACUUGAGCCAAAUGGUUUUACUAGUGCAUAUUUUUGUUAUAUGGAUUAUGACUGAAUCAUGGUUAAGACACUUGUGCACACUUCUAAGCAUACAAAAGUGGAUUUUGAACCAUUGCAUGAUAAAAUUUAAUUGAGCGUACAAGGCUAAUGAACCAACCAUAAAAGGGGUGUACAUGCAGAUUUUAUUGUAUGGAUUAUGACUAAAAAUAUGUAUAUGGAAUUUGAACAACUGUGGAAGGUAUUUGCACUAACUAUAUAAAGCUAAUGAACUAAUUGUACAAGGCAAAAGAAUUGACUGUAUAAAGGGUAUAUAGGAUAACCUAUUUUAAAGGGAUUAUAAUAUUUGCAAUCAAUUUCCUUACUUCUUUCCCUCACUUAAGGACCACUCGCUUUCACGAAAUACAUUGGAGUUUCGAAUCCCUACCUCCUAACUCGGUUUCUUAUUUGGAAGCAAUCGGUUUAUGAAUUCCUUCUACCAAAUUAUCGGAAACAUGGUUAAUAUACUUGUGCACAUGAACUCAUAAUUUAAAUGUUUUUUAUAUUCUAAGGCUAUGUUUGGUUUCUAGAAAAUUUGAAGGAAAAUGUAAAGGAAAGAAAAUAUAAAAGAAAAAGGGAGAAUUAUCUUUUGGGGGUAGAUGGACCCCCAAAUUAACAAAAGGUUCAUAUAACUCUUCAAAUUGAGUUGAAUGAUAUAAAAUAGUAAUAGACAAAUAUACCCUUUAAGAACACAUAUAAAAUAUUUUAUAAAAUUAAGUUAAAUAAUUUUUUUUCAAUAAUUUUUUUUUUCAAAAAUACUAAAUUAAAUAAAAGUAGUUUUCAAAAAUAUUAAAUUAAGUAUUUUUUUAUUCAAAAAUAUUAAAUUAAAUUAAAGUAUUUAAAAAAAUUAAAUUAAAUAUUUUUUAAAUAUUAAAUUAAAUAAAUUUAUUUUUAAAAAAUAUUAAAUUAAAUAAAAGUAUUUUAAAAAAUAUUAAAUUAAAUAAAAGUAUUUUUUUAAAAUAUUAAAUUAAAUAAAAGUAUUUUUCAAAAAUAUUAAUUUUUUUUUCUCAAAAUCAACAAAGGGCAUUUUUGGAAAUACUGAAGGAUGAUAUCCUUCAACUCAAUUUCCAUACUUUCAUUGGGUCUUGGGCUCAAUUUGAAGAGUUAUAUGGAACUUUUGUUAAUUUGGGGGUCCAUCUACCCCCAAAACAUAAUUCUCCCAAAGAAAAAUAAAAAAAAAGAAAAAAUGAAGGAAAAUAAAAAAAUAGAUUAAAAGUUGAUAAAUUAUUUUUUUUGUUACUUCAAACUCAUUUUAUUUAUUUUAACUCAUCAAUAUAAAUAUUGAAUAAUUUAAAAAUACAUAAUUUUUAAUUAGUUUUAAUUAUAUUUGAUUUUCUUUGAUAUUUUUCAUAAAACAACCAAACAUAAAAAAAUAAUUUUUCUUUAUAUAUAUUUUUUUUCUUAGUAUUUUUCGAGAAUCAAACAUAACCUAAAGGAAUAUAAUACAUAGUUGGAGCUUGGUGUGUGAAUUUCCAUCAAAUGGUUAAAAUUUAGUGGCUAUCUCAACAUUUUAAAUUUGGUAAUAGAGGGUGGUUUCACAUGGGGUUUUUAAAAAGAAACGAAGGAAGAGUAUUUUAAGGAUUUUUGGAUGUUGACAUUUGAAAAUAGUCUUUUCACAUCUUCUUCUUCCCUUUUAGUCUAUUUACACAAAAUCUAUCAUUUUUAUGAUCAUUAUCAAAUUCAUCUACCCUUCAAGAUAAUUAUCUCAAACUAAUAAAGUAUUAGAUCAAAUUUCAACUUUAGUUGUUGAAUGUGAAUGGUAAAAUCUAGGUCUUUGAAUAAUAGUAUAAACGAAAAAAAAUGAAAUUAAGGUACAUAAUAUAAAUAAAUGAGAUAAGAUACAAAUAAUGAGAUAUGAAGAUAUAUAUAUAUAUAUAUAUAUAUAUAUAUAUAUAUAUAUAUAUAUAUAUAUAUAUAUAUAUAUAUAUAUAUGAUACGAUGAUGGUGCAUUUUCAAUAUUUAUAAAAAGUACACUUUAGUACGUAAGUGAACUUUUAUAAGAAACAUGCUAAUUUACCAUAAAUUUUCUAAUCAAUAUUAUUAGAUAAAAUUCCAAGAUAUUGCAAUUUUUAAUAAAAUCAUUUUUAUAUUUUUCCAAAAUUUUUAAUCUAAUAUUAUAAAAGAAAAAUGAAUUCAUCUUUUGAAAAGACGAAUUCAGUAUAGAAAGUGAACUCGUUUUUUUGGUACAAGAAGUAAAUUUGUCUUUCAAAAAGUGAGUUCAAUGCAAAAAUAAAAAAAGUGAAAUAUUUUUGUAUUUAUUUUUUAAACAACGCAUUUUUUUUAAAAAGAAAAUCAAGAAGAGAGAAUGAGGUUUCCAGGAAUGGAGGUGUUCAUACGCACACGUGCAAACCAAAUCCCCACACGUGUGACCCAAAACCCAGUGCAUGUUAAAACCGUGAAAUCUCGGACCCAUGAGUCACGUGUGUUAAUACAGAGCGAGACCAACAAAACAUUUUCCCUUCCGGAGAAACGAAGAGCAAAAAUGUGGAGAAGAUUGGUAUCAUCAUCGACGUCAGCUUCCCUUAAAACCCUAGCAUCGUCAUCGCGCCGAUCCUCACUGCCGACACUGGUCCGACCACUCACCUCUGUCUCUUCAUCUUCUCCUUCUAAUACGACUACUUUUCCUUCCCACAGUCCUAUCUCCUCCCCUUCCGGUAAUUUUCUUUUCUUUCUCUUACUUUUCUCGGCGAUCAUAUAUAUAGAUGGUUUUGAAUAUGUAUCGGAAAAGAAAAGAAAAUUUGCGAUCGGUCCAACAAAGUGUUACGAAACCGAAAUUUUGAGUGUGUGAUAGAAAACGAAUCCCUGGAUUCAAGUGAAUCUGUGGUAAUAGUUUGGAUGCGAUGAAUUUGAUUUGAUUUUUUUCUUUUGAGUUUCUAAACAGUAGGAUUCCUAUCCCACCUAUUUUUAUUUGGCUCCUCUAUGAGGUUUAGAUUUGGCUGAUUUAAGAUAUUUUGAUGUUCUCUUUUGGUUGGAAAUGUAAUUAUUGUUUUUAUUUUAUUUUGAAUAGAUUUUCUCUCAAAGGGGGGAAAGAAGGUUGAAAAUGUUAUACCCAUUGCAACCGGACAUGAACGCGAGGAGCUUGAGGUUUAUUUUUUGUUUGGGCACAUACACAUACAAAUGCAAAAAAUUUUGCAUUAAUUUAUCAUUUUUAGGAUUUGAUCGUAUGACGCUGAUUUAUUUGAUUUAUUUAAUUCAGGGAAGGACACUUCUUGAAGCGAAUUAUCCAAUUGGUCCAUUUGGCACUAAGGUUUGUUUCAAUUAAGUUUUUCUUAACUUUGUCACUUUGUAUUUUUAUUAUAAGGUAUUCAAUGGUGUUUAAUUUCAUUGCUAUCCAUAAAGAAAGGCUUUCAAUUGGGAUGAAAUGUUGGUCGCAUUUUGCUGCAUACAAUUGGAUUAAAGUUGUAACUCAAAUUUUAUGAAAUUUAAGAAGUUUCAUUUCUUCUUAGGAAUUGUUUUCAUGGAUUUAGGUUAUAUGGAAUUUAAAACAAAGUCUAAAUCUAUUGGCAUGUAAAGAAAGCAAACAAUGGUGAUACAAUUGGGGUCUCUAGUUCCAAUUCCACAGCCAUAAUUCCAUAGUCAGUGAGAUCUGUGUCCUUGUGUCUAGAUUUUUGAGGAGCUGUUGUGUUCAAUAAUCUCUUUCAAGGAUUUGUGGAAGGGUGUAAUUGAUUUGCUAGUCCGUAUGAUCUGUGUCCUUGUGUCUAGAUUUUUUAGGAGCUGUUGUGUUCAAUAAUCUCUUUCAAGGAUUUGUAGAAGGGUGUAAUUGAUUUGCUAGUCAGUAUGAUCUGUGUCUUUGUGUCUAGAUUUUUUAGGAGCUGUUGUGUUCAACAGUUUUCUUCUGUCAAGUCUGACUGUGUCAGUAAAGGCCAACCAUUAGGGGGUGUGGCAGUAUGAGUGCCACAUAGGAUAUAGCCCAAUCUAUAUCAUUACAAUCCCUUACUGUUCUCUUGAUAUUGGUUCAUUGUAUACUGUACAAGCUUGGAUCAUGAAAAAUCCAAGGAAUCUGAUUGCCACCUGCCGAUAACUGGUAAGCAUCUAAUGCUAUUGGUCAAAGAAACCAAAUGAUUGAGGAUUUUUUUUGUCUAUUAAAAAUAUGGCCCAUCAUCCAAACUUGUGAGAAAUGAGAAUGAAGACUCUAGACAUGAUAUGCCCAAAAUAGUAUGUAUUGCCUUUUGUCUUUGCAAAGCUAGCCCUUUUUUAAAGCAAUGAGCAAUCUUAGAGAUGCUUUGCAGUAAACUGACCUAUGGCGAGGAAACUCUGGAUCGUUUCACUGGAGGUUGUUUUCUUCAUGUACAGAUGUCUCUUGCUUUCUUUAGCUUAUGCCAUAUCCUGCUUCCCCUCAUUGUUAUUUUCCUAAAAAGAGCUAUUUAAGAUGGGCAUGUUUCUGGGACUUUAGACAUGCAUUAUUUCAGUAUUUGAUGAUAAAUAAACAUGUAUAUGCACAAAUUCUCAUUAUCUGCUUUAUGGGAGCAGAAGUAUCUACAAUUGUUGCGAAAUUUUUUUAAUCUCUCUCUAUCAAAAAACAGUUCUUGAUGAUGAUGAUGAUGAUGAUGAUAAUAGUAAUAAUAAUAAUAAUAAUAAUUCUAUAUGUCCGUGUUCCAUAGCCAUCCAACCUUUAUUCAACUAUUCUGAUAAUAAUAAAAAUCAUGUUUAUUAAACUGUUCCAAUAAUAAUAAAAAUAAAAAUCUGUGUUUAAUAAUUAUAUAUCUCUGUGUUGUAUAUCCAUCUAAGCUUUAUUCAACUGUUCUGAUAAUAAUAAAAAUCAUAUUUCUAUAUCUCUGUGUUCCAUAUCCAUCCAAGCUUUAUUCAAUUGUUGUGAUAAUGAUAAAAAUCAUGUUUCUAUAUCUUUGUGUUCCAUAUUCAUCCAAGCUUUGUUCAACUGUUCUGGAUUUAUUUCUGCCAACAGAGGGGUGCAAUGGCUGUUGGGAUGGAAAAACUUGGUAGUGUGUUAUGUUCACCUUGUUUUCUUGCAUAUCUUCCAAUUUAGAGAAUCCCAUGUUAAGACUGUCAUGGUAGAGAUGUGUCUGACAACUUUUACUGUGUAUGUCCCUUUUUGAAAGCUUUCUUGUGGAACUUAUAGUUGCUCAAAAUCGAUGAUUUAUGCUGUUGGGAGUAUCGCUUUUUAAUAAGCAGUAGAUAGAAGACUAAAGGAAGGAAACUUUGUUAUAAUUAUUGUUUAGGCCACAUAAUCUCCUUGUUCUUUUUCAUGCCUAUGUAUGUUUAAUUCUCCAAUUGUGCUUAAGGUUAUCUGCAUGUUGAAUAAUUUAAAAGCAUACUCUUGCAACAUCCUUUGUAAAAUUGCAUUCGUAACUAUAUACUGUGGGCUGAUCAGUGAGAUGGUUGUACAAUGAAUUUUCAAAUCAUAUUCUCAUAUUUCUGGUUGUCAUGUUUUACUUUGUAGGAAGCACCUGCUAUUGUUAAGUCUUUCUACGACAGAAGAAUAGUGGGCUGCCCAGGUGGUGAGGGAGGUAAGACCCUCUUUUGUAUUCUUUUCUUAAUUUUGUCCCUUCAACUAAUUCUUUCAUGAAUAUGUUUGAUAGUGUGAUAAUUAAUUGUCUUAUGUUAUUGAUUAUAAUUUACAGAAGAUGAGCAUGAUGUAGUGUGGUUUUGGUUGCACAAAGACCAACCACAUGUCUGCCCAGUCUGUUCUCAACAUUUCAAGGUAAAAUAAUCAUUUUCCUCAAAAUUAGUCAUUAUUUUACUCUCAUUCUGUGUGUGUGUUUGUUUGGGGGGGAACCAAUUUUUCCACGUUUGAACAGAAAUUUCUUCAGGUGAGGAGGCUCCUCUCUCUCUCUCUCUCUCCCUCUUUGUGGGGGGAAUCAAUUUUUCAAUGUUUAAAUGAAAAUCAGUGUGUGUGAGUAUUUGGGGUGGGGGAGCCAAAUGGCUCUCUUUCUCUCUCUAUAGGAACCAAAUUUCAGACAGUAAUUAUCUGAGGUUGAAGGGUUACCUCACUGCUGGGCUUUGUUCUUUUUGCCAUCUUUAUUAUUAGUAUAUCUUAAAGCAGAAAUUUUUGGAUUUUAAUCAAUGGAGCUUUCUUAAUUUAUUCUUUUAUGUUUCACAGUUGGAAGUAGUUGGCCCUGGUGGAUCUCCUUAUCACUACUAGCAUUGAAGGCUUCCUGCUGGAAUAAAAUUUUGUUUGAUGAAGAGCUAGUUUGCGCUGUGUAACUUUGAACACUUUUCAGUUUGUUCUUUUUGGUGGAUUCUGAAUUCUUGGGAAUAUCGUGUCAGACGCGAUAUUUGGGUAGGUGAUUUUUUGGUUUCAUAGCCUAGUCAUGGACCGACUGGUCCUCAAAUAAUUCUACCCUUCUACCCUGGCACUAAAUAAUUUCUGUAUCCCAAAAAUUUUGGCUUCUUUUGAACUCAAUAUCUUAUUCUUUCAAUGCCAAGAUGCUUGUGGUAUCACAUACAGCUAUAGACUAACAAGAAAUGAAUUAUAAUUUGUUGGAACUUUGAUACUAUCGUAACAAUGUUCAAAAGUCAAAAACUGCUAAAAUAGGGUUGAAACAGACAAGACAGCCCAGAUAUGGAGGUUUCUUCAAUGCAAUAAAACAUUGGAACCAUAAAAUUUCGAGGGAUAUAUGCUAAAUGAUCAUCUUGGAUAAUAUUAGUAUUGUCUUAGAACUGUUUAUACGUGUCUGCAGCUCUGCUUUGUGAAACCACUGCAGGCAUAUGACACACGGUUCAACCAUGUCAGCGGCUCGGAUUCGAGAAACUAUUACUGAGUGUCUCUCUAAAGCUCAAUCAGACUCCCCAGAAGUUCAGCAGAAAGCUCUCCAAACCCUGGCUUAUAUCACCAAGGUGAGUCCCCAAAACAGGAAUUUGCUUGCGCAAUCUGAUGGAGCUAUACCUGCCUUGCUUUCCCUCUCCAGAUCCUCCACCACCCUCCAGGCUCUCUCUUUAUCCAUCCUUUUCUACAUCUCCCUAAACCCUAAUCUGAAGCAGUCUCUUGCAGAGAUGGAAACCAUUUAUCACCUCAACUCCAUAAUUCUCUCCUUAAGCUCCCCAGAAUCCAGCAGACUAGCUUCCUCUUUGAUCUGCAGCUUGGCAAUGCUAGACAAGAACAAGGCCAAGUUUGGGGUAGCAGGCACCAUUCAGUCACUGGUGACCGCAGUGUCUGAUCCUGGAUGUCCUGCUGCCCAUCAUCUCCUUAGUUCUCUGGCCGAGCUGGUGCGGUUCCACGGAAACUGCACCUUAGCAGUCCGCUCAGGAGCUGUACCGGUCCUGAUCCAAGUAGCGCAAAGCAAUAACAGUGAGGACCUGGCUGGAACUUCUCUUGCUAUUCUGGGACUCCUUGCUAGGUUUGAAGAAGGGUUAAACGCCUUGAGGAAAACUGACCAGAUUGUGAAUUCAAUGGUAGACGUGUUGAAAGGGAGGUGCAUGUUGAGUAAGGAAGGUGCCGCAGAAAUCCUCCUCCGGCUGUUCGAUGAAAGCGAGGGCUGUGUGAGAGAUGCUUUGAGGCUGCCGGAGUUCCCAACUGUGCUGGCUGAUCUUUCUAUACGGGGAUCAGCGAGAGCUCGAGAGAAGGUUAGUUCAUUAAUGAAGAAGUUGAUGGAGGCCGACAUGGACGCCUACGGGGAUGGGAACUCCAUAUUUUUAAAAUGGUAGUAGAGGCUUGGCUUUAUUUAGUCACAAGGUUGAAGUGAUUUCUCCUUUUCCAGGGUUUUUCGCUGUCUGGUCGUGUAUUUUCAGCAGCCAUAAUCAUGCUGAGAAUGCAGAUGAAUUGAAUAUGAACAUUGUUAUAUUAGAAUUGAACCGGUAGCACUGUAAGUUCAAUCAAUACAAGCACCUCUGGUUUCUUCCUGAGAUUGGAAGUUGGGUAUUAAUUUAGGUUCAGGUCCAAUCUUAUUCAAACUUCAUCUGCAUUCUACUCCAUAUCUUUGGUUGCAGAUGAAUUCUGCGAGUAUGGCCUCCCUUGGUAGAUAAGAAAAUGUGUGCAUCGAAGAGACUAUAAUCUAUACUACUUUCUUUUCCUUUCCGGGAAUUUUUUUUUUUUUUUGAGUGAAGAAAUGGGUGAUCUUUGGUUGAAAAACAUGAUGAAAACUACAUGAGAAUCAGAACAGGUCUUCUCACAAGCAUUUGAUGCAUCACAAUCAUCUUAAUAAUAAUGAUAAGAAUACAACUGGGUUUCUAUUCCAUUCUGGCCAAAGGGAUAGAAAACAAAAUACAUGAAGGAUUUUAGGAUACCUUGUUUUAAUCUUAUGAGAUAGAUCGAAGCCCAUGAUCCAUAUAAACCCUAACGAACCUAAAGAACAUGUUUCCGAUGAUAGAGAUUAAAAAUGAACAAUUCAUUUCACCAUCCAUAUAAACCAUAAUGAAUCCUAAGAAUAUUUUUCAAACUCCAGGGUUGAAAAUGGAAAAUUCAUUCCAUUAUUUAUUUAUUUAUUAUUAUAAUUAAAUUAUUUAUUGAAAAUAAGAAUAAGAAUAAAAAUUUAUUCGUAUCACGGGUUGCUUUCUUCUCAUUUUUAUUCUUACAAACCAAAUGCUGUCUAAAAAGUCAUAUGAUUUUUAUUAAUAUGACGCAUGGUAAGGAUUUUAGGAUACCUUGUUUUAAUCUUAUGAGAUAGAUCGAAGCCCAUGAUCCAUAUAAACCCUAACGAACCUAAAGAACAUGUUUCCGAUGAUAGAGAUUAAAAAUGAACAAUUCAUUUCACUAUCCAUAUAAACCAUAAUGAAUCCUAAGAAUAUUUUUCAAACUCCAUAAUAGGGUUGAAAAUGGAAAAUUCAUUCCAUUAUUUAUUUAUUUAUUAUUAUAAUUAAAUUAUUUAUUGAAAAUAAGAAUAAGAAUAAAAAUUUAUUCUUAUCACGAGUUGCUUUCUUCUCAUUUUUAUUCUUACAUACCAAAUGUUGUCUAAAAAGUCGUGUGAUUUUUAUUAAUAUGACGCAUGGUAAGCGAUUAGUCGUUCGAAAAUUAAAUGCCCCGACAUACUCAACUAAUUAUUGAAAACUUUUAGCCUAAUCUCCAUUUUGAACCAUUCCUAUUGAAUAAAUUAAUCCUCAUUUGCAGUAUUUAAACUCCUAAUAGCAGAGUGGUGGCAUCAGCAUAUUAGAGAAAAAUUGUAUGUCUCCCAUCUCAUGAUUAUUUAAAUGGAGAGGCCAUCCAUCAACUUUAAAUUCUUAAGAUUUUUAUAAUAUAAGUAGGAUUCUCCAUGUUGGGUUAUGUGAUGGUUGACUAAUUAAAGCAAUCCUUAAUCUAAUCUACAAUAAAAUUACUUUUCCUCGUGAUUCCCCAAGCAUUCAUACCUUCAAUAGUUGUUAGUUAGAGAUCAUACAAAAUAAUUGAAUGAUUUAGACAUUUGAUUCUAAUUAAAGUUUGAUCAAAUUUAUGGGUUAGAAAAUAUUCAAGUCCACUUUAUUGGAAUAAAAGUUAGAAAAAUGUUGUUUCCUAAAAUUUUUAUUUUGAUUUAUAUAUAAAUUAUUUAAUAUUUAAUAAAAUUUUUAUAAAUAUAAAUAUUAUUUUUUAAACAUUUAAUUUGUCUACAACAUAAAAUAAGAAACUAUCUAAUGAAACCUAAAAAAAUAAUUGGAGUUCCAUGUAUCACAAAAACCUAAUCCAAUGCUUUGAACUUCACCUCAAUGUGUGAAAAUUCAUGAUUGUGAGCUAAAAACUUUAAUCUAGAUCAUCCUUUUUGAAAGUGGAAAAGAUGACAAUAUGAAGAAAUGACCCUUCUUUUGAUCUUGAAGUAAUCCUGCUUUUUCUCUUGAAACAAACAAGAUCUGAGUUUACAUUAUGAAAUAACUAAGGUACCCCUUCAAUCUCGAUCAGGUCUACUUCAAUUUUGUCCCUCUCCCACUAUCUUUAGCCAGUAGUGGACGGCCAAGUGGGUUUUGGAAGGGAGUGACAAAUGUCACAUGAGAGCAUAUUCAUAUGAGAACAAAUAAAAGUGCACCCUUUUGGUGACGUAUGAAAUUUGGCAUCACACCUUCUUGACAUAGAACAGUAGAAUGUGAUUGGCCCCACAAAAAACAUACGCUUUCAAACUAUAAUAAUUCAUCCAUGGAAAAUGCUGGUUUUGAAAAUGAUAGCCACAUGGAAUUAUUCAUGAAUAUUAGGACAAAGUUGGAGUACUUUCAGCUUAUCAACCUCAACCCCAUUAUCAUAUUUGUUCCUUCUUUCAUUUUCUCAUAUUCCUUGCUGAUUAAUUUUAUUUUAUUAGCAACAUUCUGAAGUUUUUAAAUCAUAUUAGAUUGGAAGCUUGAGAUUGAAUCCAGUGUUCAUCCAGAAAGGAAUUUUUUCCCUUUUUUUUCUCUGAAUGAUGAACAGUUUCAUGGGAUUCUUAGAGAACAACAAUUAUUCUUGAUUUUAUAAAAUUAUUAUUACAUGUGACGUGAUUGGACAAGAUCUGUAAAAGCAUUUUCGAAAGGAAAUUAUUGAUAUAUUAUUUUGAAUUCACUGUAUUGUAAUUUUCCUAGGAAAUAAAAUAAUUUUGUCUGUGAAGAGGAGAAGACUGAAGACUGAAGACUGAUUCGAUUGAAUGAGAGAGAGGAGGGUUGUGGGGGAAGAGUAGGUUGAGAAUAUGCAGGUGUUGGGGGGGCAUCUUGGUCAGAAAAUAAAUGUAAGAAAAGGACCAGUUUUGGAUUUUUCUAGCGUCUCUAUGUGCUGGGGAGUUUUUCUCAUGUAUGAACAGACAAAAACUAAAGGAGGUGAGAGAAAGUUGUGUGAAGCAAAGAAAGGUAUUACAGAGAGGAAAGAGAAAAGCCCAUAUGCUUUUGGGUUUGUUCUAUCCCCAGUCCAGGUUGGUACAAAAAGCAUAAACCCCACUUCUCCUUUUCACAUCCAAAUUCAAUCACUUUUAUUUUUAUUUCCAGCAGAUCUUUACUCUGUCUGCAAGUUUAUGCUACUUCCAUCACUCUUAUUCCCUCUUUUUUUAAAUAAAAGAAAUAUGUAUUGCCUCACUAAUCAAAUGAAGAUUUGAGUAGUUUUGGGGUUGUAUAUCAAUCAAACAUUACAAAUAUACAAAAGCAAAUGGAAAAAUAUCUUUUUUUUGCUGUUAGUAAUAUUUUGAUUUUUUUUUUUUGUGUGUUUUUGCAAAUAUUCUUGGGUUAUUGUAGUUGAAGUGCUUUACUUUACCCACUGUCCACAAGCAUAGAUUCUUUAUGUGCAUUACAAACUAGAGAGACUGGUGGCUGGGUCGUUCAUUUUAUGCAUUGAUGUGCUUUGAUCUGUUGUGGAUUCUUUGCUCACAAAAGAGUGCCCGCUUUUCCUUUUGUCACUUUCUUUAUCUCUUCUUUUCUUGGGUGCCUUUCUCUUUCUUAUAAUUUUUUGAAGGUCUCAAGCAGUGCUCAAAUUGUGUAAGCAGUGAGUGCUUGAUGCAGAUUCAUGGCUUAUAUUCCAUUUUUCACCCUCUCAAAUGGGUAUAAAUAGAGAUGGUCAAUUUUGAUUUUUAUUCAUUGCAGGUGCUCUUCUCAAUCAUUGCAACAAGUGGUCUGCACAAUAUAGUCAUUUUUGUGGAAAAAUAAAAUGAGCUUCAAUAGCUCCACUAUGGGUUCUGGUUAGUUUUUUUUUUUUGAACCUUUUCAGUGUCUGGGUUUUCUGGGAGCAUACGAAGUGUGUAUGCCUGCUAGUAACUAUGCUUCAUCUUUAGGUCUUCUAAGCUUUGUCCUUGGCCUUCUGGGUUUUUGUUCUGAAAUUUGUUACUGCAAUAUUUCAGGUAGUAGAACUACUAGAAGAACAUUUGAGUUUGGAAGGACCCAUGUGGUCAGGCCCAAAGGGAAGCAUCAGGCCACUAUAGUUUGGCUACAUGGCCUUGGUGACAAAGGUUCAAGGUAUUAAUGCUGGUUUCUUAUCAUUAUAGUCUUCGCUGAUAUUGGCAUUCCUUUGGUUAUAAAUUCAAGAUGUUUCUUUCCCUUGUUUUCAUCUGAACUUUUUGUGAGGCAAAACCAUCGAGCUGCAUCUUAUAUACCUAGUUUGAGUAAUGGGAUUGAAGUGAGUUGAAUGUACAUGGUAGUUUGUUUGGUUAAGUUUAUACACAUUGUGUUAUUCCCUGCUUUCUAAGCACCAUUGAUGAAGUUCAAAGUCUUUCUCUUCGUUUUAGGAAUAUGCCUGUGUGAGAAUGGUGGACUGGUUUUGUUCAAAAGAAAAAAGGGAGUAAGAGAAUGUCAAUGUCUUGUCUUGUUCAUGUGGAGAAUUUUGAUGUUUAAUUAACUUCUUGAACCUUGUCUUCUUCUAAAAAAUUCACAUUCUGAUUGAUUUGAUGGGGGAAGAACUAUGUGCCAUGGAUUAUAUAAGAUAUCAUGAGCUGUCGUUUUCUUCCAUCAUCUCUCUUGAUUCUAAGUUUUAUUGGAGCAGCCUCGAAUCUUAAAACUGUAUAUGCCAAAACCUAAAAUGGGGGACCACUGUUUCACUGUCUUGCUUGUCCUUUCAGCUUUGCAAGAGUUAUACUAUUUAUAUUUAUAGUGCUAAUGCUUAAGUAUUAUUCCCUAAAUUAUCAUCAACUGAAUCGUAUAGUUUAUGAUCUCUACCAUCCUUGCUAAAGCUUCUACUCAGCUUUGUGUGUGGUCCCAUUAGUAUGAUUUAAAUAGUUUAUAUCGUAAUGUUCUUCUAACUUCUUGAAGAGCCCUAACAGCUAUCUGUACUAUUGGUUUCUCAUGCUUUAUUAUUUCAGCAUUUGCUUAUCCCGGUUUCCCAGUUGAAGGAUGGCCAAUAGAAACUAACAUGAGUUUCUCAAUUUUUGUUUUCUUUUGCAGCUGGUCCCAGAUCUUGGAGACCUUGCCUCUUCCAAAUGUAAGGAUACGAUUCUUUUUCAAAUUUGUUGCUUCUUUGUAUAGGAAAUAGUGCAUGCAACAUGCAUAACUACUUCCCCUAGUCCUUCUGCAUGGAAAGAAUGUACUAUCGUUCCACAAGUAUAAUUAUUCCACACCAAUUGGAAUCUAUGAUGCAGAUCAAAUGGAUUUGCCCAACAGCUCCUACUCGACCUGUAGCAUUACUUGGUGGAUUUCCAUGCACUGCUUGUAAGAUUUAUUGCCUUGAAAAAGUUCUUUAUAAUGUUUAUGUUCAAAACUACCAGAAAUUCUAGGUGGUUGCAAGUUUUAUUAGUUCUCUUGUGGUUACUCAAAAAUAAGAAAUUAUCCAGUGAUUUAUUGCAUAUCAUAUCACAAGAAUUUAAUGUUCCAUUAAAAAUUUUCUGCUAGUUAAUACUAAUGAAGAGAUCUAAAACAGUCACUUGUGUAUAUCAGGGUUUGAUGUAGGAGAGAUUUCAGAAGACGCUCCUGAUGAUUUGGAAGGUUUAGAUGCUUCGGCAGCUCAUGUUGCAAAUCUGUUAUCAACAGAGCCUGCCAAUAGUAGGUUUAUCCCCUUUGUAGCGUUAAGAACUCUCCAAUCUUAAUUUUCUACAUAUGAAAUGCUCAGUAAAAGAAUUCUGGACAUUGUUCAUUUCUGCAUGUUGCUUUCUUUUUGUUGAACAAGAAAAUUUGGAAAAGGUUAACUUCCUUUAUCUCCACUUGGGUUUCUUUGAACUAAACCAGUAAACUUGGUUCAUUUUUCAUUUUUAUUUCUCAUCUUAAUUUAGCUUGAUCUACUCAAUAGUAAACUAUGCUUACUAGUUUCUGCUCCAACUUUCUUUUACUCUCACCUAUUAUAUUUUCCAAAUUUCUACUCAUUUUGCAAUAUUUGUAAAUGAGGUGUUCCAUGGCAUUGAAAUCACUAUUAAGGUCGUCAGCACACAAUGCGGGCUGCCCAUAUGAAAUCACUACUAUAAACCUCAGUAUGCUACCACAGUUCUAGUAAGAAAUAUUCUUCAGCUUAACAACUAAGCCAGAGGUUUAUUGCCAUUAACUAAAGUGACAAGUUAGGAUUAUCAUGGAGGCCAUCUUAUGGUACAUCACAACUUCAGAAGACUGCAAUACUUCCAGAAACCCCAUUUGCGCUCUUUUUAUAUGCGUAUAAAACAAAACCGAGUAUUGCUUUUAUCAUCCCUAUGAACAUGCUAGCAAGUUGUUACCAUGUCCAAGAUGCUCAAUAAACUAAUGAUGGGGCAUCAAAAUUUGAAAUUUUACUUUGUACAGUCAAACUCGGUGUUGGAGGCUUCAGUAUGGGUGCUGCAGUAGCCGUCUACUCUGCAACAUGUCGGGUUUUAGGGCAAUAUGGGAAUGGGAACCCAUACCAAGUCACUCUAAGUGCUAUUGUUGGACUAAGUGGCUGGCUUCCAUGUUCAAGGUUUGGAUUCAGUUGUAUGUAUAAAAGAAGCACCCACAGACACAACUGCACACAGGCACGUAGAGACAACACCAACAUUCUCUUUGUGGUUUAGCAUUUCUUUCUACUCAGCAGCUAUCUUUUUUCCAGGACCUUGAUGAACCAAAUGGAACGAUCACAUGAGGCUGCAAGGCGCGCAGCAACCUUGCCUAUUUUGCUCUGUCAUGGAAUAGGUAUUUAUAUUUAUGUUUGACAUUUUGCUGGUACACUCUUGAUCUAUUUUUAGUCACUUUUAAGCCUAUGUCUGCAAUGUUAACAUCACAGAACCUUCUCUGCUAUAAAUUUUGCACUUCUAGUAGCUGGAUUUAUGGGUUUAUUCAUCAUAUCAAAAUUUUAAAGCAAGAUGCUAUUUUCUGUUUCACUGAAUCAGGAGCAGUAACUGCUCUUGUUUGGCUGUGUUUAUUUGAUAUAAACUUGAGAAAAACCUUGAGAACUCUGUGCAUCCUGUUUGAAGUCUAGUUUGUUCCUACAUCUUUGCUGCCAGUCAGCCAGUAAAAUAUCAUAAAGAUGUUUUUACUGUUCAUGUCUCCUUUAAUGCCCAUAAGCUGUUUCUGUUUGAUUUCAUAGGUGGAACAAACCUAUUAGCAACCUAGUAUCCUUAUAUGACCUUGCAUGUGUAUGUGCACAGGAGUUUUCUUGGAAACACAAAUUUGCUAACUCCUAAUGUUAUCAUUAAUUUUCCCGCUCAUCCACCUAGGUGUCUUCUCCUAUGGAAAUAAUUUAUUAUUGUUUAUCUUAAUUGUGAAAAGUAGCAGGGUGCUCGGCUUGGGCUAGGUUAACUUGUACAGAAAGGCUCAUAAAUACAAAUAUCAUAUGGUCACAGUUUCUCUUCUCUUUGUUAUUUGGAUGGGUGGGCAUGUGGCGGUAAGGAGGGAAAUUAGAUGUAUGGAGCUAAUAACUACCUUGCACCAAGGUCAGGCCAUAAAAUUAAGAUUUUGAUCCCCAUUAUGCUCAAAUAGUUCCCUUUAGAUUAAAUAUCUUAGUUCCUUUCCAUUUCAUAAAUGUUGCAAAGGUCUUCACUAUUUGCAGGCACAGGAAAAGUAAAUAAGAAAACAAAGAGCAGUACACAUUAAAUGUGAUUUUCUAAGUGUUUUACUCUAAUUGAGCAGACAAAAAAUUGUUGCUCUCAUAGCAAAUUUGUGUUUGUACAAAGAAAAAAAAGGACAUUCCCAAAAUGCACUCAACAAAGAAGGAAAUGAUAUUUCAUACAUGAAGCAAAGAGCCAUGCCACAACAGAGGUUGGAAAAAAAAUGCUUCUAAAAUCCUUGAAAAUAGAAUGAAGAAACAAUGACAAAAAGGAAAAAUAAAAAUAAAAAAUACUUCUUAGCUGCAAUGAGAAGGGAGAACCUAUAUCAAUGGUGCACUGGUUUCUUCAUUAUAUCCCAAAUAUUGCUAAAAUCACUGACCUGCAUCCCUGAUCUCUGUCUUGUACUGCUGUGAUCUUGAACAUCAUUGUAGUGGCUCAACAGAGGCAUUGCUCUUUCUACAUAUGAGGAUAAUAUCUUAUUUUGCUGUUGCAGGUGAUGAUGUGGUUGCGUAUAAACAUGGAGAGAAAUCUGCACAGACCUUAAGUGCAGCAGGAUUUCGGAAUCUUACAUUUAGAACCUAUAAUGGGUAUUUGGUGUUUUUUUUUUUUUUUGUUUUCAAGCACAGAUUGUCAUGCUCAUUUCUUCCUAACAGCAAUGUGAUCAAUUCUGUAUCCCGCCAUGCAGGCUUGGCCACUACACCAUCCCUGAAGAGACCGAUGAAGUUUGUAAUUGGCUAACUGCAAGGUUGAUGCUUGACGGGUCCAGGUCGUAAUUGCGGGAAAGCUGGUGAGGAAGCAUAUUAAGGAAUAGAAAAGGCAGUAUAGAGUGGGUGUUGGUAUGGGGUAUAUGGUAUAGCACAAAUCUGUCCUUCCACUUAUUAUUCCCUCUUGAUCUCUCUUUUUUUUUUUUUUCUUUCCUCCCUAAAAUAAAUCUUUUAGUAUUGGCUCAAGUCUGGUAUUUGUUUAGUUGGCUACUUGGAGAAGGUAUUGGUUUUCCCCUUUUCUCUCUAUUUUUAACUUCUAGGGUUUGGGUUAGUUAACGCUCUCUACGGAGAGUUUUGGUGUUUGGGAGACGAUGUAAUUGAGAAUAUUUUCCUUUCUUUAAGGUUGCUGAAGAUUGGAUGUCUUUUUAAGUGCAUUAGUGGAAUGCUGGAUGCUGGUGGAUUCGUUUCACAUCCUCCACUUUGUCACCAGGCAUGCUGAAAUGGUCAUCUUUCUAUCAAUCUUCAAUAUAAUGGGAGGAUUCCAAUUAUCAACUUUAUUUUUCAAUAUUUGUCAGAAAAUGAGAGAAACCAAUGCAUCUGCUGAAAGAAUAACAGCUACCAUACCUCCAGCAGAAGGAGACCAUCUGGGAAAUGUUGCCAUUCUAUCAGAAAUUGAAGCAAUGGUUUGAUUUCUAGGGUUCAAAUUUUCAUUUACCGUGAUGGAGCAAGAAACUUCUGUCAGAUGGUCCACAAGGCAAAUUUUGUCUUUCAAGGCAAACAGCAAUGACAAUCGGUAAUGAGGAAUUCAAACCAAAAAUCAGUUUCCGAGAAAAUCAAAACCAAAGUUCAAAGUUUCAUGUACUGAAAUGGGAGAAGUUUGUUUCUACAUGACACAAGUUAAAUCAUCCCAGGAAAAUUUCAGUAACAACUGCAUCAUUGUUUAUUGAUAAUGCUGGCAAUCACAACAGCACAGCAAAGUUGGGUACAAUAAUGGGGCUAAGAAAACAGCCCAACUGGAAUAAAACCGGGAGCAAACACCCCUCCAUAAAAGCUCCAUUCGACAUUGACUAGUUGCUUAUUUCUGCCCAACCGAAUAGGAGGCAACCUCCAAUAAUCCCUAGAUCCCAAUUGACUAAACACUAGAAACAUGCAAUUGAACAAGAAAGAAAUGCUCAAAAAUGCGGAAAAAAAAGAGUAAGAAAAAGAGAACAUGAAUGAGGAGCAGCAGCUGUCUGACUAAAUUCCGUUUUCCAUCUUUGCCCAUUAAUCCUUGCAAAUGGUUGUCACUUGGAAUCCUGCUUCCCACAAAAGCAAUGAUAUUAGUCAGUAUAUUUGAGUAAACACAUCAAAAGAGUUACAAAUGAUGAGAAUAUGCAAACCUGACACAAUCUUCCAAUCCGCAACUUAGAGUUCUGCAAAUGGCAAUUUUAGCACCCAUAUCCAUAACUAGGACAGUUAACUAACAACAUUAAGCAUAUACUUCAAUAAUAAAGCUCAAAGGGCAGUCUUUCUAAACAGGCAGGACAAAUCCAUGAACAGGACUCACAUCCAAUUCCAUGUAUUCCAGUUACUUAUUGCUACUACUAUCUUGAGGAUCACUUGAAUUUUGAUGGGAGCUGCUUUUGGUAUCAAUGCAUGGGGUGAGAGGUGGGAAAGAAGGAACAGCCUGCAAUAUGAACUUCCGGCCACUUUUCAAGAUUGCCAAGGAGCUGGAUGACCCACGCUCAUGCGAUUGAAUUUUUGGAGGAGAAACCCGUUUCUGCUUAGGGGAGCUUGCUUUUACUGCCUUGGUGGGAGUAGAAGCAUCUUUCAGUAUCGUGGGUGUGUCAUCUUCCAGUAUGUCAUAAAGCUCAUUGUCAGAUUCAAGUCCCUGGAAAAUUUUGGUCUCACCUAACUGAGUUGAUGGUGGAAUUGGUGAACUACGCCAACGAAGGGAGCCACCUGACACAAGAUGGUCACUUCCAGGACAUAAUUGGCCUCUUGAGACAUUUGUCAAUCCACUUGUUUUGGAUGAAGCUGAAGGAUUCAUGGCUGUUGUUGGAAGAGAGCUUGGCAAUGAAGUGAAAUGGCACACAUCAGAAAGUCUGUCACAUCCUGGAGUGAAUUGAUCUACUUUUUCUGCAUUACCAUACUCAAAUUCAUGCUCAUAACAAGCCAUAUCCCAAAUUUCUUUUCCUGGUUCAGGGAGAAUAUUGUGACUAUCUGAAUUCUUUGGAGAUACUGGGGAUUUUCCAUAAGACGAUAAGAUCGAAAAAUCAGAUUCUGGUGAUUGAGCAUAUCUUCUGGAAGGAAUUUGAAAAUUUGCUGCAUCGUUUCCAUGGCUAGAUAGGAAAAAAUAUCAUUCAGAAAAUAAAGGAAUAAAGAUUAAAAAUCUGGUGUAUCAAAAAAAAAAAAGAGAAAAAAAAAAGAAAUAAAAUAAACAAACAAGUCCUACUCUGAGCACUGAAAUGAUGGCGUCAUGGGUGUCAUGUUAUGUGGAUUACAAAGCUCAGGGCGUAAGAAGUCACUCCUUGCUGCAACCAUUUCCAGCUUCUUGUCAAAAGAACUUUCCAAUCUAUCAUCAUUGGCUCUUCUGCUCAUCAUUUCUUUGAAUGCACCAUAUUCUGGAAAAGGGGGAAAAAUGCAAUCAAGAUUAGGCAAACUUUAUUAUUGAGUACAUGUAUGUAAGGAUGCUUCAUAAAUUUCAGUUGAUUGGAAGUAGAUACUUUCAAUCUCAAUACAGAUAAUUUUAUAUUGUUGAAAUGUUCCUUUUAAUCCAAACUUGAUAAACUAGCCAAUAAUUAUAGCAACAUGACCUAAACGUAUGACUGGGUUAGUUACAAAUGAACGAACUUUGUUAUGAAUGUUGAGGACUACAUGAAAAAUGUUAUUUCCAAAAGCAGUCAUUUAAGCAACAAAUUCUAGAGGUGUUUUUGUUUUUUUGACUUAAUUUUAAAUAUUACUUAAAACUAAAUGGUACUUAAUAGUAUUAGGUAUUAAGUUGUUUGUUUUUUUAAUAUUUUAUUUCUAUUAAGUAUUAAAAAGUAAAAAAAAAAAAAACCAAUAUGUUACUUUUAGCAUUCAUUCGGUCAAAAAAUUUAAGAAAUAAGUAACUAGUCAACAAAAAGUGAAAAAACAAACAAUUUGAAACCUCAAAGCAAAUAGCUUUCAGCAAAAAGUUAAAAACACAAACACCACCUAACAUAACAAGCAAUCAAGCAUUAAUGAUGUUGCUUAAUUAGUAUAAACAAGACUAUCGUUGGUGCUCUUUUUACUCUGUUUCUAAAUUAGCUAUAUCAGAAUUAUUUUGACACAAUACAUAUAUAAUGACACAAGAUGCUAUCAAAUAUAGUGGUAAAAUCAAGUGGAGAUCUCACUCUUGAUUAUGGGCUUAUUUGGUGCGGUUGUAACUUCAAGUCAAAUACUAUAUAUAAAUAUAUAUAUAUAUAUAAUAAUUAUAAUAAAUUUUGAAUCCUCUUCCUGCAACUUGUUCUGUGAAAGCAUCCUAUUCCAACUGUACUAAAAAAAGCUUUUAAGGCCCAAAACUCUUUUACUUUAGAGUGCUUAGUAUGUCAAAUGGGAUCUAAGGUGGGGUUUGGUUUUCUAUCUGAAGUGCGAGUCUAGAUUUGAUUGAAAUCUGAAUAGAAAUCAAUGCAGAAGUGUCAUUGAGACUUUGGAUUUCAAAUAAAAGUUAAAAGUUUGUCUUUUGUAUUACAAAAUAUGUAAAAAUAAGACUAAACUGAGACACACAUGCAAACACACAAUAAUAACAUUAGCAGCAGCAACAAAUAAACAAACAGGGCCUAAAGUCUUCCUAGGAGCAUAAACACCAUUUUCCUCCCUUAACCAUUAACUAAAGCUAACAUUUGACUCUUGCCCAACCAAGGGGCAAAAAAACAUUAAUGAUAAAACAAAACUCAGAGUGAAGUCAUGUCUCAACAAGCAAGGCAUUUAAAGCUCAUUAUAUAAGCCCCAAAAACAACCUCAUUCCAUCAUAAUGGUAUCUUUCUGUUCUUUUCCUUUUAUUACCCCAUUGAUAUUAGGAAUACUAUCAUAUUAAUCAUAAUGAAAUAAGUUGUAGAGUCCUCAACUUACCUUCCUUCCUGCCAUAGACAUUUUUACAACCCUCACAACGGCAUCCAGCAGAACAUCCAACAUUAGCCUUUUAAGAAAAAGCAACAAAUCCCAGAACAUCCAACAUUAGCCUUUUAUGAAGAAGCAACAAAUCCAAGCUAGAAUAAGUGUAAAGGCCAAAAAAGAGAUGAGCAUGAUAUCAUAAAUACAGUGGUAUCAACAUAUGAAACCUGAUAGCACUCGCAGUAUUUUUUCAAACACAUUGACUUCUUGCAAUUGCAACCUCUCUUGUGCCUCGCUGAUGAUGGUGUUGACCUUCCAUCUUCCUGUACAGUGAAUCCAGCUUGUGAAGAGUCUAUGUCAUAUAUACAUAAAUCCUUGAAUAGAAUCAAAGUUGAGAGGUUCAAUACCCCACUAUUUAUUGGAGACCCAUUGACGGGUGGGACAAUCUUUGGAGCAAAUGCGAGAGGAUUUCGAGAUUCAAUUUGUUUCCGUGUCUCAAGAACUCUAUCAUCAUAUUCAGCUCUGUUGAAGCAUCCUACGCAAGCACAACCUUCAGCGCAAUAGAUUCCGGCAGCAAAACAAUCACAAUACCUGGAGAGAACUACUUUACAUAAAUUUACAAAGAUGAUAUGCAUUGGGUUUACUACUAUGACUGGCAUCACUUACAGUUUCAAGCAUUUGGACUUCUUACAAUUGCAACGUUUGCAACCGUCUCCAUCAUUGGUGCUUGAUGCCUUCUUUCUGGAGUUAAAAAGAUACCCCCCCCAAAAAAAAAAGAAAGAAAGAAAAAACAAGUAUUGAGAAAAAAAUAAAAAAAGAAAGAAAGAAAGAAAACCAAGUAUUGAGAAGCACUGAAAAGUCAAAAUUGUGAGAAAUAACAUGGAAGCUUAAGCUUGCCUUCUCUUUUUUGGGCUUGGUUGGUUGAAUUCCUCAAGACUGUCCAUAUGCUCUGAGUUAAACUUUCUCUUAUCACAUGGAAUCUCAUGAAGCUCUAUUGGCUUCAACAGCAGAGGAUCCUUUGAUGGUUCCAGACCAUGGGAAGACUGAGAAGUAGCAGAACUCAUUGCAAUUGAAGCCUUAUUUUCGUUUCUCCUAUCUUCAGUACCAGCUGAAUUCUCUAUUACAUUUGACGGAAUUGAGUCACUUAUUCUCCAUGCACUCGAAUAAUCUUUCUCUUCUACUUUCAGGCUUGUAGUAGAACUGAAACCCAUGGGCACAGCAUUGACAAUGCUAUUUAAGUGCAGGCCAAUACCAGAUGGCUUGGAACCUGCUAGGGACGAGUUUCCACUGUUUUGAGGAGGAAGCAUGGCAGUUACUGGUUGUGAGUAAGCCAAUUGCUUGUUGCUGGAAGUUGUAGUUAAAUCCACACAUGAGGAUUCUGGAAGCUCUGAAUCACUAGGAGUAGCAAGUAAUCUUGAAUUGGCUGCAAUACUUGUUGGAUAUGAAAAACUAGGGUUGUUUGUGAUAAUAUUCAAUUGAGCCUCUCCAAAUUGAAGGCACCGUCUAAGCAUGCCACGUUGGUGCUGAGUCUGCUGACUGGCCUACAUCAAUGUUGUAAUUAUUAUACAGCAAACAGCAAAUCCUAAAAGAAUUUGAUAACCCAAAAAACAGAAAACAAAUCCAAAUGCUUGCUUCUUUUGAUGGCAUCAUUUCAAAAGGCCAGAAUGAUUCUGGUCAUUUAUCAAGUAAACAAAGCCACUUGGCCUUAGUGGCAUUGUAAUCAAGGAUCACAUGUCUAGAUAAACUUAUCACUGUAAAAUAAAUGCAGAGAAGUAACAGUUCAUGAUGGAGUUGUCUUUCUAUAGUCGAGCAUCCAUUAAGUCUCUUGGGACAUACUUUGUUAUGUUAAAAACAAUAUUUGUCUUAUUGUUUGAAAUUUCAAAAAUUCCUAUUAAGACUUUGUUACUCGAUUACCGUCUUAUCAAUAUUUUUACUCAUAAAUCCAUAAGCAGUGUUCCGGAUGAAAAGCCAAUAACCUUCUAAGCUUUUAAGCAGCCUUUGGUACAAGGGGUGGAGAGUGCAGGUGCAACUUUCCUCUGAUGUGACAGCUUUCCAUGCAGCAUUGAAGUUGCACAUUCCAUCCAAAAACAGGACAGUUAGGCCUCAUUUUCCAGCAUUAUCUCAAUUUAUUUCCCAGAAACUCGAUAGGAAACUUUAACAGGAAAUAAAAUUUCCAUUUUCUCUGUAACCUCUUGCUAAAUUAACAAAGCCUUAAUGGGUUUGUUAAGGCAAAAUGAAGUAUAGUGAAUACUAUCAAACAAAGGAGUUCACGUUUUCCGUGCUGUCACUAAAAUAUUGGCUUUUCCCUUCCUUUCAAAGCUUUCCCAUUUCUUUUUUCCCAUAUUAAUCAUAGAAUCUUAAAGGAAUCAUUAUCCACAUCACAAAGGUUCUAAUGCUCCACGCCUGACAUUACUUUCCAUCAAGAAGGUCUCUUAAAGAAAUAGGCAUCAUGUAAGAGCCAUAUUUAUGAAUGAAACACACCCAUAUGGCCAAAAAGAAUGAAAAAUAAAGUUGCAUAAGACUAAAGUUUCUGAGCGUGUUAUAAGCGAAAUUUCCCAUAUGGCCUGAGAAUGAACAAUGAAGUCACUUAGGAAUAAAAGAUAUUGACCAUGUUUUACCAAGAUCAUGACAAUUGGGAACCAUCCAAAUUUUGGAUAUAUCAAGUUAUCAACCACUAGUGUUUUGUUAACAAACUGUGUAAGAAAAUAAUACUGACCUUCGCCUAUCAAAAAAGAGAAAAAAAAAGGGAUACUGCCAUUUGAAGUGCGGACUCCCUCAGUAACUUCAAACAAAGCAUGCUGUUUGCACUCAUAACCAAAUAGAGGAAGAAUGGUUGCACAGAAAAUGUACGUGCUCUAUCCAGAACUUGUUUUAUUCCUGACCAACACAACUUGUCUUUGUCUAUAAAAGAUGAUCCAGUAGGUCCUCCAGAAAGAAUGGUUGCACACCAAAUUAACAUGCAUAACACUAUUUCUUUCACUAUACUCUAGUUUAGCUAUUUAGACACACUCCAUGAAUGCUUUCUUGAAAACUAAUAUCAAAGGAAAGGAGAAAUUUGUCCAUAAUUUCAUCCAAGCUAUUUUAAACACAAACAAUUUGACUAAGAGCUGCAGAAUCUCUCUUUAAACAAGAUUUUAACCUCUCUGUCACUUCUCUACUGUCUAAUGCAUCCUGAAGGAUUGAACUUCUUAAAUCCAUAUAUUACCCUCUAAAUGAUUAUAUAUAUUCCCUGAGAGCCCUCUAAACUUGUUUCUUUUCCUAUGCAAAAACACUCUGUUCUAGCAUUUAUAUGAGAAAUAGGCAAGAAAACUAAAUGGUGCAACAAGAAAACAAAAGGCAAGCUCAUUAGCAGCCAAUUGUCAAAGAUGGGACCAAUAUUGACAUGUUCAUCCCACUCUUCAGGCCUGUUUGGGAUGGCUUUCUAUUCUAGAAGUUGAGGUCGAAACCAAAGGCAUCAUUGUCUAACGGUAACAUUGAUAUGAUAUGUAUAAGUUGUAUUAAACAUGAAUAGCUUCUUACAUAAGUCAAAAUAGAUUUUCUAGGGAGAAGUAAUAUUUUCCUGACUGCAUGUUAAGAUCUAUUUUAAGUCAUAAUCACAUUGAAAAAAAAAAAAAAAAAAUCACCCACGUAGCCACAAAACUCUAAUUGAGCUUGAAAAGAGCUUUUGGCUUCUCAAAAGCCAAUCCAUACAAGACCUUCACCCUCUAUUUUAUUAUGUGCUUCAUUUAUGCAUAUAGUAGAUGUUCUUCCUACACACUAUCACUAAAAAAUGCAUCACAUUAUCUCUCAAAGAAAGUGCUUUAUCAUACCUUUCUACAUACAAGUGAGUGAGAACAGAUCAUAGUAAUUUUUUUUUUUUUGAUAAACCAAGAGAAGAAAUCAUAUUAGAACACGCCAAAACAGGGGGCGCUCCCUAAGUACACCGGCAGUAUACAAAGAAGGCCUCACCCAAGGCAACAAAGGAGAAACAAAAACCUAGAAAUGCCACAGAUGACCAACAAAAUCAACCACCCAACAUAUUCAUAAAAGAGAGAUAGUCCACGUCCAUGAACUGUUGAGACCAUUCAAGAAGAGCCCGAAGGAAGAGAUUCUUCAAGCUCGUAUCUGACUUCUCUUCUUCUUGGAACAUUCUUCUAUUCCGCUCUCCCCAAAUAUACCAAAACAAAUAAAUAGGCGCCAUUUUCCAAACUACACUCCUCUUUUUUUCUAGGCCCUUAAUUUUCCAUUCAAGAAGCAAAUUUCUCACUGAGUUCGGGAACACUCACACCACCCCAAAAGAAGAGAGCACCACAGUCCAAAGCUCCCUUGUCUUACCGCAAUGAAUUAGAAUAUGAUCCGCCGAUUCCUCAUUCUCUUUACAAAGAUUGCAUCUAUUAACCAUAGACCAACCCCUCCCUCAUUAACAUAUCAACAGUAGAAAUUUUACCCCAAACAGCUUCCCAAGCAAAAAAACGAGUUCUUAAAGGGGCACACGAACCCCAUACCUCCUUUGCUGAAAAUAAGGGGCUGUUCUCCACUUUUAAAGACUGAUAAUAAGAUUUAACACUGAACUUUCCUUUUCUCUCAAUCUUCCAAAUUAGAGAAUCCUCCCAUUUUUGGACAUUUACUGUAGAGAUGUAAAUUGAAAAAGAUUCACCUCCUCCAAUUCCCAAUCAUGAAAGGGUCUUCUAAAGUGCACCUCCCAUCCCCCGCCACCACCUCCUUGUCUCCCCCAAAGAUCAGCCACUACAGUAGAAUUAUGGGUUGCAAUUCUGAAGAGCAAAGGAAAGAGCUCCUUCAGCUUAGAAUCUCUAACCCAAUAGUCCCACCAAAAUCUGGUACGUCUACCAUUUCCAAUACGAAUACUAGUUCUAAGGAAGAACUCCUCCCAUCCCUUUCUAAUGUCUUUCCAAAGGCUCAUCCCAUAGGACUUCCUUACCUCUCUAGUGGUCCAACCCCCUUUCCCCUCUCCAAAUUUACCACAAUGACUUUCCUCCAAAAACUCUCCAUUUCUAAAGAAAAUCUCCAGAGCUUUUUUCCAAGCAAAACAUGAUUAAAUUCCUUCAAGUGCCUUAACCCCAAACCCCCAUACCUCUUAUCUUUGCAAAUAGCCGUCCAUCUUACCAAGUGGAUCCUUCUUCUCUCCUCCACGUCUCCCCACAAGAACUCCCUUUGAAUUUUCUCCAAUCUAAUUCUCACUUUCCUUGAGAUUACAAAAAGUGACAUAAAAUAGAUGGGGAGAUUUGAGAGAGUGCUCUUGAUGAGGGUAAGACGACCUCCCUUAGAAAGGUAUUGUUUUUUCCAUGUAGCCAAUUUUCUCUUGAAUCUUUCCUCUACCACAUCCCACACUCUACAAGAAUUAUGAGGGGCUCCAAGAGGUAAGCCUAGAUAAGUAGUAGGGAAAUUCCCUACUUUACACCCAAAAACCGCAGCGGCUCUGUCCACAUCCUCCACUACCCCAAUUGGGAUAAUUUCACUUUUUUUCAAAUUUAUUUUUAGGCCUGAAACCACUUCAAAACAAAUAACAACCCACUUCCAAAAACCAACUGGUUCCUAUUAUCCCCGCAAAAAAAAUGAGUGUCGUUGACGAACAAGAGAUGGGAAACCGAAGCCCCUUCUCCAUUUCUCCCUAUUACCCUGAAUCCUCUAAUGAAACCUUUCUCCUCAACUUUUGAGAUUAAGCUACUAAAAGCUUCCAUGAUUAGCACAAAUAGAUAAGGUGAGAGUGGGUCUCCCUGCCUUAGGCCUCUACAUGUUGAAAAAAACUCUGUGGAAGUUCCAUUCACCAAAACUGUCAUUCUCACAGUUGAUAUGCAGAAAAAUAUCCAACUACGCCACUUGGGCCCAAACCCCAUUUUCUCCAAGACUGAAAGAAGGAACUUCCAACUAACGUGAUCAUAAGCCUUUUCAAUGUCCAAUUUGCACACUAAACCUGCACCGGCGCUUCGCUUCCUUGAGUCUAUCGCCUCAUUAGCUACCAAAACCGCAUCUAAUAUCUGCCUCCCUUCCAUAAAAGCGUUCUGACUGUACGAGACUAGUUUUCCCAUCACUCUUUUCAUCCUAUUUGCUAAGACUUUGACAAUAAUUUUAUAAAGACUCCCUAAUAGGCUGAUGGGUCUAAAAUCCUGCACAUCACUAGCUCCCUCUUUCUUCGGGAUAAGCACUAAAAAAGUUGCAUUAUGGCUACGAAAAACAGUAUUCUUCACAUAGAACUCCUCAAAGACCUGCAUCACUUCCCCCCCAACGAUAGGCCAACAAAACUUCCAGAAUGCUAACGUAAAACCAUCCAGCCCUGGAGCCUUAUCUCCUCCCAACUCUGAGAUAGCUUUGUAAACCUCCUCUUCCGAAAAAUGCCCCUCCAAAGUCUCAUUAUCCAAAGCAACAAGCGUUUUAAAUGGACUUGACUCCACAUCUGGUCUUCUCACCCGAGGUUCCUCAAACAAGGAUUUAAAAUAAGACCCAAUCCCUUUAAGCUCCUCCUCUUUACUCAACCGAACACCCUUAUUUGUCAGGCUGCUAAUAAAAUUUUCCCUCCUCCUUGAAUUGGUCAUGCAGUGAAAAAACUUAGUAUUGCUAUCUCCCUCCUUUAGCCAAAGAGCCCUUGACUUCUGCCUCCAAGAAAUUUCUUCAAGGAUGGCACAGUGGCUGAAUUCAUCUCUAGCUAUCCGCUGGCUAUUCCUAUCUUCCUUAAAAAGAGGACCACACCUUUCUAAACUGUCCCAAAAUUUUAACUCCUCCAAGGCAGCAUCCUUCCUAACUGUCACAUUGCCAAGGGCCUCUUUAUUCCACCUCUUCAAAUCAUAUUUCAAAGCCUGAAGCUUCUUUGCAAGCACAAAGCUAGGUUCCCCCCUACAACUGUAGGACUGCCACCAAUCUUUAAACUUGUCCAUGAAACCUUCCACCCUUAGCCACAUAUUUUCAAACCUAAACGGGCUUUUACCUGUUCUCAUCCCUCCACAGUCUAACAAGAUCGGCCAGUGGUCAGAAACAGGUCUUGAAAGAAAAACUUGCAUUGCCCCCGACAUCUGUUCCUCCCAAUCUCCUGAAAACAGAAAGCGAUCUAACCGAGCCUUUAGGGAUCCUCCUUCCCCUCCACUCCAAGUGAAAGUUCCACCUCCCAGGGGAGGAUCAACUAAUUCAAACUCCUCUAUAAAGCCUGAAAAAUCCCUCAUCAUGGUUGACAUCUGUCUGCCAUUACUCUUUUCAACUGGGAACCUCACUACAUUGAAAUCCUCUGCUAUACACCACGGAUCACCCCAAAGCCCCUUGUAGCGGCUAGCUCCUCCCAUAGCUCCCUCCUCUCCUUACCAUUACACGGUCCAUAUAAACCAGAGAAGACCCACAAAACCCUCCUCGUAGUUUUUAAAACUGCAAGAAAUAGAAAAAGAGCCCACUUCAGCCUCCAACCCUUCCAAGACUCUCUUAUCCCAUAUCACUAGCACCCCACCUGCCGAGCCCCUUGCAUCUAAGGAAACCCAACCCAAAUUUCUACCAAUCCCCAAGCUUCUUACAAUUCUAUCAGACAUCUCCUUCAUUUUUGUCUCUUGAAAACACACCAAAUAUAGUUUGUGUUUUCUCACCAUCGACUUAAUAACCAUUCUUUUAUUAGGGUCAUACAACCCUCUAAUGUUCCAGGACAUUAUUUUAAGCUUCAUAAGGAACCACAGUAAUUUGCCUUCCCAACUCCCCUUCCUCUGCCUCUCUUCCAGCCAGCCCAUCAUAGUUAAUAGUACUGACCAGCUUCUUCAGCUCCUUUUUCUCCCUUGAAGCUGACAAUGUUCCUCUCUUGCUAUCAUUAGGCUUCCUGAUAACACCCCUUCUAUUAUCAAUCUCCUUAAGGAUUCUCAAAAUGUCAUCUUCAAAGCCUUCAAUCGAGACCCCCACCGUCUUACAAAAUCCCAGAAAUUUCUUCUUUACCCAAGGGGAUUUGAUAUUUUCCCCUUCUCCUGCUACAGUUAUGUGAAGAGGUGGCGUCUGAAGCUCUUUACCCCGAGACUUAGGGGUUACCCUUUCUGGCAGGGUGAAGGAACGACCAUCCUUGAGGAUCACCCUUAACGGCACCUCAGCCUCCAAAGGAUUGUCACACGUCACCUCAAACUGCCAUGCCAACGGAUACUCCACAGAGUCCCCCAUUCCCGAAGUAGAAGGAGAAAAAAAGCCAGAAAACUCCCCAAACACCCCUCCAAAGGUAGUCGAUCUAGGGAACAUACCUGGCGAAUGACUUUUCAGAGGCAACUCCCUGCUGCCUUGGUCCAGCGGGUCGCCUUCUUCUCUAAACUCUCCCCAACAAAGCUAGGCCUCUGAAGCUUCGUCUUGAGCUCCCCUGACUUAGAGGCAAGGAGCCCUAGGAUUGAAUCUUGGAUUGAUUCUUGGGCUAGCCCCUUUUUAAGCCCUUUUAAGUUAUUAGGCCUGACAAUCACAACCCAUUUCCCUUUCUUCUUAUAUAAGCCCAAGCCCGGUCUUUUAAAAGGAAGCUUGGCCCGAUGGAGACUGGGCUUCCCACUGCCAGAUGGCCCUCCCAGCUUGGCCCACUUAGAGAUUUCCUCGCCCAACCCAUCCACAGAUCUCCUUCCACCGCCAAAAAUCAGCUUUCUGUCUCUCCUGUCUACUGCAGCCGACCCACUCCCUGUCGUGUCACUCGUCUCAUCUACCAACCCAGCACCCUCUUGCAUAGAAACAAGGUCUUCACAACCUACUAUCCUAGCCUUUUCCUCGGGAAUCCGGAGCCCCUAUCUAGAGACUCCAUCACCUACGACUGCAUCAGAGUUUCCUUCUCCAUAGCACAUCCCUUUCACGCGCAUCAUCUUGCGUGACUCACACCCCCCUUCCUCCUACUGAAGGGAGGCCCUGCUCUCUGGUUCACCUUCCCUUUGAAUCUUUAAACUAUUCGCCACCUGAAGAGACGAGAACCACACCGAGUCCUCCCACCAUAACGGGAUAGAGAACGAAGCAAACCCCGCUAUUACCUCUAAACUUCCAGGCACCUCCUUUCCAUUGUUCUUAACAAGGAUUCUAACCCCCUUCCUGUAAAUAGAUUUUUUGGUCUCCUCAUCCAUAUCUACAAAUCCCCCACAAGAAUCCCCCACCCUUUUAAAGAACUCCAUACUCCAGAACUGAAGCGGCAACCCUGGGAUUCUCACCCAAGAUACAUCCCUCUGGAAUUCCCUCCUAGAGCACCCCAUAGUUGGAGCCCACCAGUCUAAAGAUAAUCGGACACCAUUGAGGCAUCGGCUCCCCUCCUCCAACACUUUUUGAGCAUCUCCCACUUUAGAAAAUUCAAAAAGAAACAAGGAAUCACUUAAGGAAGCUACACUCACUUGACCACUAAAACUCCAAUGGGUGUUUGCCCAAAUCUCCACCACCCUUAAGUCGGGAGCUGCCUCAUUCUCGGCAUUCCAUCUUCCCACCAAACAUCGUCUGAGAUCUUUCAAUUUGGAAGUCUAAGCCUCGUUCCCUACUUCAACCCAAACUUCCUCACUUCUUCCUUUAGCCUUCCUCUUGAAUGCAUCUACAUAGCUUAAACCGGGUCUUACAAGAGAAGUUUCAUUCCCUCCACCAUAGGUGCCAGAGUCCUCUGCUCCAUGCUUAGAGCCAUCACCAACUUUGGCUAACUCCUUCAGCUUGCUUCUGAAUAAGUCCCAACCCAAGAGGUCAAAUCCCUCUAGUAUAAUAAUGAAAUAUCUCCUAUCAUCUUCUGAAAGGACUGAAAACAAGAGGUAACGUCCAACAUCAUUUUGGUGCAUUUCUAUUCUAAACCUCCUACCUCGAUCAUUCACGUCUCCCUUGAAUAGUUUCUUCCCUCUCCACUUGCAGCAUGCUUCAAUCGACUUCAGAAACCACACCACUACCCCUCUACUUGCCUUGAUCCAUCUUCGGAAGCCUUUACCUUUCUCCACUAUCUGCACCUCACCCCUACCCUUUGACCAGACAAUCCUCACCUCAAAGGAUUUGGAAUCAAUGCGGAAGAAGCAAGACUCCAUUCUUGUUCAUAGAACAUAUCAUAGUAAUAUAAAGUCCAUAAAGAUGGAAAGCAUAUAUCUAACGAGGAAGAGUGCUAGUUAGAGAAACUAAUUCAAAGUAUGUGAAUGGCUAUACAUCCAAAAUAUAAAAUACAUGUUAAAACACCAAUAUGAUAAAAAUAUUUAGAAUGAUAUCAUAAAGUGAAGGGCCUAGCCAUCUUUCAAAUUAAGCCAAUGCUACAAAGCUUAUAAUGAUGUACUCAUCUAGUGUUUGUCUUUUACAUCCACAUUGUUUUGUAUCCAUGUUCAAUCUCUGCAUUCAUGCAACCCUAGAUAAUAUAUAACUUAGUAUAAAAAUUAAAGAUGUAAUAGUUUGCACCUCAGGAUCAUGCAGCACUGUGUUCUCAACAGGCCCAUUUGAGAUUUCUCCUGCUUGCUGAGCACAAUUUUCAUCCAUCCGUACAAUCUGCAAUGCUUCGGGCAUCAAAUGGGGAGUGCAAUCCAGUUCAUCCUGAUUGCCUCCUGCAGUCUGCAAUUUAACAUCUUGUGAUAUAUUAUAACAGAGUUUAACAAACAGAAACUUCUCUGUCAAGAUUUAUAAUUUUAUGCUCCUAAUUUGAUAUAAGGCAAGAAUCAGCAGUUACCUGAGCCACUGAACUUUCAUAUAACUGUUCAGAAGCAUAGUCCACAGACAAAUUAGAUUCUACAUUUAGGACUUCUGUAGAUGUCCUUUCACCACCUCUUUGCUUUCCAUCAGUUGGCACUGGCUUAACAUUGAAUGCUGACUUUCCUUGAAGUUCAUCUUCAGCUUGCUCUAACAAAGCUGGAGAUGCAUCCAGUUCCCUCUUUUUAUCUACACUGAUAUUUUUUUUGUCAAAAAAUCUUGCGGUGGUAUUGUUUGAGUCUGUAAAACCACUUUGUAAUGAUUGAAGUGCAUCAUUAGAUUGAUUCAAACAAGAACCAGCUGAAUGUGCAGAAAUUGCAGAGUCUGCCUCCAUGGUAUCAGCCAAGUAUUCAUCAACACACCCAGAGGAGCUGCAGGGUUGGUCUUGCACAGAGUCCUUAAUAUCACAUUCCUUCUCAACUUUAGCUACCAACCCAGUGUUCAAUUGGGCAUUUGCAUUAUCAGAAAUAUUUGAAACAGCGGCCACUUUCUUGCCUCUCCCAUUGUCUGUUGAAAACUGUACAUGAUGGCAUUGCGUCCUAAGAAAGAAUGAUAAGUUUUCAGAUAGUCAAUUCCAAAGUCCCAAUCCAUGUACUUCAAUCUGAAAGCAAUUCUAAAGUCUGAAUCCCAGUACUUCAAUCUGAAAGAAAUAAGUUCAUAGUGAAACUAAAAUAUGCCAAACCUUUUUAGAAAACUUGUUUCGUGAUGCGGAUUUAUCCGUGGUGAUGUAAACACAAGAGGAGGAGAACAAAGUCCUGGGAAUUCUUGUGCAACGUGUGCAGCCUUGACAGGUUUUAUAGGAGACAGGUUGCUAACGUAUGUAGAGAAAGGGGAGUCCUGAAAUCAAAAGGAAAUAAGAAAUAAGAAAUCCGAACUUCGAAGAGGGGACAAAGUGAUAGUUUUGAAGGGUUGCCUACCAAACAUGAUGUUUAGAAUCAUAAAAUGAAAUCUCCAGUUAGAAAAUCACAAUGUAUUGUAAGCAUUAAAGACUUCCUGUGGCACCACUAUGUGUUAGUAUCUAAGUGAUUAGCCACAUGAUGCUGACAUAUAAUUCUCCCAGGAAAAUGAUAGCCUAAAGUAAUCUCUUCAGAUCAUUCGAUGAAAUCUCAGCAUCCCUUCGGAUAUCAUCAUUCUGAGUGAGAGAGAACAUCUAAAGAAACUUUGUAUUUUCGGUUGAGUAGAAAAUGCAAAACAAUGGCAGCCUUAAAACCGCAAUAAACCUAAUAACAAAGUUCACACUUCACACAUCAAAUGCUAAGUGGCAAUAAUUGCAGAAUCGCCCAUUUAACGAUACACACCAAUCACUCAGAAAAACCACACGCCCGCCUUAAAACCGGACCAAAACCCUCUACACCCACUUUAAAUCCAACACCAGAAUUCGACCCAGAAAUGAAGCAUUAAACCCUAACCUCAAUGGGCACCAAACCUUCACCACAUAUACAACAAACUAAAAACAAAAAACUGCUUAAAGUGACCAUCACCCACAAGGAAAAUAAAUAAAAAGAAAAAGAAAAAGAAAUGACAAUCUAGAUCAACUGGAACUAAAACAGCGAACAAAGAACUGAUUGCAUGAUACAAAGAAAUGAAAUGUAGAAGAAUACAGAUACAUAUAAGGAGAAAGGUGAUUACUUGAACUGGAGGAGAUUUUGAUGAAGAAGUGGCGGUGGUUGCAGCAGUUUCAGGAGGGGGAAUUGGAGGAAAUGUAGUGACUUGAAGUGGGGGAGAUUGUGAAGAGGAUUUGGUUGUGGAGGUGGUGGUCUUAGCAGUUUCAGGAGAAUCCAUAGUAGUAUCAAACCCUAACCCUAACCCUAAUCCCUAAAAGCCUCUAUCUCCCUCCUCUCUUUCUUGAUCUCCUGAAACAGAUGACAAAAAUGUCUCACAUUUUUUCCUGAGAAAAGGAAAAAAAAUAAAAAUAAAAAUGCAAGGGAGAUAGUGUGAGAGAGCGGGCGUUUCAAAAGCGAGCGGGAACACUGGCCUUGUCACCAUUUGGUCUGGGCCUGGCCCAUCUAACUCCUGCCUGUAUGGUUCUUUAGCCCAGCUAAAGUCCGACUCUAUCUUCAGUUCGUUAGUAUGAAAUAUUUUUAUAAAUAGUCAACUAAUAUUUAAAAAUAAAAAUGAUCUGAAUAAUGCUUUUGAUAAUAUUGUAUAACAAAAAAGAGAUUUUUGAAAUAAAUUUUAUAUAUACUAAUCCAAAAUUUAUUUCAAGUGAUUUUUUAUGAUAUUGUUUGAAUACGUUUUCUUAUUUUUUUUAAUUUUUUUUUUAAAAAAAGAUGAUAUUACCUUCUAUCUAAAACUCAUGAAAUCUUAUGUAUUUUAAAAAUUAUUUAAAAAAAUUGAGGUAUUAAAAAAUUUUACUAUUUCAAUUUUAAAAAUAAUAUUUUAAAGAGAUAAAUAACUAAUUUUUUAUUUCUAAAAAUAAAAAAUUAUAUUCAACCAAGUAUUAAUUUUUUUAACUGGUUUUUAAAUUUUUUUUUUACUAUCUCAUCUUUAUAAGAAAAGUUUUUUUAAUCAUUAAGAGGUGUUUAGUAAAUUAACUUAAUAAUUUAUAGUGAUUUAAUACUUAAUUAUGUUUUUAAAUAAAUUAAAUAUAUAUUUAUUAAAAUAACUUAAUAUCUAAAAAGAUUGUGUUCUUUCUACAUAUAUGGAAAUCUAAGUCUUUCAACUCUCUAUUUUAUUGAAUUAACUAUGACUAAUCUAAUAGAGUAGGGUUAAUAAGAAGUUUAACUAUGACGAUCGGAAGAGGCACAAUUUCAAUUCAACAAGUCGAGUAUUAACUUUUCUACAUUCCCAAUAUCCCAUUAAUUGAGACUUCCUAUGCAUAACUGUAGCCUUUUGUUAUACCCAAAGGGUACUUAAUGCCUCCAUCAACUACUAAGUUGUAAUACUUAAAAACUAUUUUAAGUCGUAAGUUAUAAUAAUUAACUUAUUCUUACUUAAAUUUAGAAUUAUGUUUACAAAAUUUUUUUUGAGAUUGAUAUAAGUUAAGUUAUAAAAUUUAAGAGGUGUUUAGUAAAACUUAAUACUUAUUAUAUUAAUAACUUAAGUUCACUUUAAAUUAAAUUAUAUUUAAUUUGUUAAUUUAAAACUUAUUAUUUAAUUUUGACUUUAAAUAUUAAAGUUAUUUUAUAAAAUUAAUUUAAAAUUUAUUAUAAAUCAUCAAAUAAAUAUAUUUAUCCUUAUAAAUUAUAAUUAGGGUAAAGAAGAUCAAGUAACAAUGAAGAUUGUAAAAUAACAAAAAAAAUCGUGAAGGUAAGUAAGGUAAAUAGAGGUAAAAGGUAAAAUAAAAAGUUGGAUUUAAGAAUAAUAAAAAUUGUUUUUACUUGUUAUUUGAAAUUAUUUUUAAUUUUAAGUUGUAUUAUUAAAUUAUUUUAUUAAACAUAUUUAAUGACUUAAGUUAUUGAGUCAUUUUAAGUUAUAAAAAUUAAUUUACCAAACACCCACUUAAUUUAUUAAACAUCGAAAGUUUAAUUCUCUUACUACUAUUUUAAAAUUUUAAUAUGUAUAGAUUUACAUGAAUCAAAUUGGAUAAAAAAGAAUAAAUAUCAUCAAGAGGGUUGAAUUUAGGUUCACAAAAUACACUACUAAACUUUGAAAAUUCAUGUAUUUUAACAUUAAAGCUUUGAAAAAUUGUAUACAUAUAUACAUAUAUUUUUUUUGGACACAACCUACUGAACAUGAUAGGCCCUAAUACUUAAAAUAUUGAUAAGGCUUGUUAAAAGCAUGGACAAAAUAAUGCACCAUGCUAUUUUUGUUUGGCAAAUUACUCAGUCUAUAAUAAUAGAAAUUGAAUAUUCUUUUGGAUUUACAUGAAUCCCAAUUUAAUAAUACUAUAAUAUAAUUAAAAAAUGUAGUAGGUGGGAAACCAAUCAAACCAACCAACCAUGAAGAUUAUUAUGUUCAACAACUUUAUACUUAUUUAAUAUUCUCUCAUAAUGUGCCAACAUAUUUAAUAGGUUUAUGUAGUCAAUCAAGCAUGCAAAAGAUUUGAUUUGAUGAUUUUGUUUUAUAUUUGUUUUUUUAAUGAAACAUGUUUCACGCAAUCACAUUAAAAUAAUCAUAAAAUAAUUUUUUUUUAAAAAUAAUUCAAAUUUUAUGCAAGUCAAAAGUAGUAUUUAAGAUGGUCAAAGACAAUACCUAUAUCAUUAACAUGUAGUAUAUGAAUGAUUACAUAUAAUACAUUUGACAAAAAAAGUACGAAAUAUUAAUUAUUUUUAAAUAAUUGCUUGAAAAUUAUAUUUUAUAAAAUUGAGUUCCUAUUUUGUGUAUGAGAACACUUUUUUUUUUUUUGUUAUUUUAUGUAUCAUCUUUUGAAAAUUAAAUAAUAAUUUCUUGAAUACAAUUUUUAACAAACCCAUUUGAAAACAAAUUUUUAGCCUAAAUUGAAAGUAAAAUCUCCAUUUACGAUAUUUGAUUUUAAACUUCAAGGUUAAAUUAUAUAUAAAAUAUUAUUAAUAUGCUUAACGAUUUAAGAUGAUUUUAAGUUUUCGUAUUAUAAUCAAGUUAUUGAUUAUUUAAUUUUUAGUUUUAAAUAACUAUAUUUAUUAAAGAUAACUUACAUACAAUUUUUUUUUUUUCCGAAUUGUUGAAGUACCAUAUUUACCUUUAUUGAUAUUAAGUAAUGGGGUUAUGAUGGAGAAAUGAGGGGAAGAAGAGACAUGAACCAUUAAGAGAAAAUAUUUUUAAAAUUUAGAAAAGUUAAAUUAUUUUCUUUUAUUUUGAAGUAUAAUAUUAAAUUAUUUUAUUAUGUUAAUAUAUAUAAUUAUUUAAAUUAAAAUAUUAAAAUAUUAAUUAUGUUAACUUAUUAAAUUAAUUCUUCCAAACAUUCCCUUGGCAUUGUGUAAAAUUUUGCCUAUUUGUCCAGGCCUUGGUCUUGAAUUUUUCCAUUUACAUGAUGUGGUGGCAUAAACAAAUACACUAGCUGUGUACUAUUAUAAUAUAAUGUUCUUGGCAAUAUGCCAUCAAGAUUUCAAUAUCUUGAUUCAUAAUUUUUUUCUUUGAUUUCAAAUGGGUUGCUGCAUUGGAAUUGUCGGCAGCUUCGCAUUUUGACUUUUCAUGCACAAGAUUGUUUUCAAACCUUAUUGCUUACUGACUGUAGAUGAACUAGCUUUUUUAAAAUGGUCACAACCCGUGGCCUUUGCAGGGUGGCGCCCUCUUUGCAAUUUGAACCCGAUUUAAGUGCAAAUAUUUAUGCCUGCAUGGACUUUGUGGAUCACAAAUAAACAAGGGGCAAAUCUACUUUGUCAUACUUUGUGACGUAGAACGGAUGAAACUGCAAUAUCCCACAUUGGUUGAACCUUAUAUGGGAAUGUGGUCUCACAUCAUUUGAUAUUGGAAUAAAAUUGGGCCUAGCUUGCUUGUCUCAUACUCAACCAUUGAGUGGGAGAGUAUGAUGUAGGAUGGAUGGAAUUCCAACGUCCCACAUCAACUAAUUGCUAACUUUGGUUGAGCGUUAUAUGCAGGAUUACCUAUACUCCUUAGUAUUUUUCAACUUUAUAUGUAGGAAUUACCUCUACUUCUUAGUCUUUUAGGAGCGUAUGUGGUAUUACAUCAUUUAAUAUUUGAGUAAGGUUUUGUAUAACUUGCCUCAUACUCAUUGAUAUAGACUUUAACAAUUGAGUGGAGGAGUGUGACAUAGGUCGUAUAGGAAGUCCAAUGUCCUACAUCGACUGAUUACCAAUAUUUGUUGGACCUUAUAUGUGAGACCACCUCUAGCUAACUCCCAUUAGUUUAUACUUUUGGGGAGUGCAUAUGAGACCUACAACUAGGCCAUGAGGCCAAUGCCACUGUCCUAUCAUUGGGUUGUUUAAAGAGGGAUAAAUUAACACUUAUUUGAAUUACCUAAUAGUUUCACUGAAAUUUAUAUUGCAUGUAGUUCUGCACAUAAGAGUCAUAACCUCUACUCCUCAUUGCUUAAGCUUUUGGAGUGUAUGCGAAAUUGCAUCAUUUGGCAUCAAAGUAAGGUUUGACCUAGCUUGCCCUG
rnacentral:lncRNA from 1 species